rnacentral:lncRNA from 1 species
UUUUUUUUUCUUGCCCUCAGUUAUUCCGGUCUCCAGGUCGUCGUGUAACGUAGUAACCGAGAACUCUUCAUAGUGAACGAAACAGACUGAUCUUUUCUUUUCUCUUUAAGUUAAAGAGAUUUCCUCCAUUGAUUUUUCUCAGCCAAGUAUGUAUUUCGAAGACACUAAACCUUUUAGUAAUCAACAACUACUUUUCUAUCGUUUCUUUUCUGCUAUUGAUGAUGAUUCAGUAGUCCGUAGUCCGUAGUCGUUUCUGCUAUUGAUUUUUCUCAGCCAAGUAUGUAUUUCGAAGUUCCUAAACCUUUUACUAAUCAACAACUACUUUUCUAUCGUUUCUUUUCUGCUAUUGAUGAUGAUUCAGUAGUCCGUAGUCGUUUCCCCUUCUUUUUUGCCUUCCGGUCCUGGCUGGGUUUCAGCCCUUUCGCAUUUGAUUCCUGCUUCCCAUAGUGAAAAGCAGCUCACCUUUUUAGUUCAUACUCCCUCCGUUUCUUUAUAUUGGGCAGGGCCGGAGCCCAAUGGGCCGACCCCGAGGCACAGGAAUACGGGUCCAAUUUCACAUUUACUAGUACAUGUCAUACUGAAAAAGGCUUGGGCAUCAGGGUUGAGGUGAAGUGGUGCAUCAGGGUCCACGAUCGCAGCCGCAUGACGGCCUACGCCCGCACACGUCCACAGCCCACAGCCCACAAUUGGGUCGUACGCUUAGUAUGGCCUCUCCACGCCUGGCUAUCCAUUACCUGUGCGCAGCCACGCAGCGGUUUCCAAUCCCCACUCCUCGCCGCCAAGUGGGAGCGGCCGAUCGAGGCUACGCCAUGCGCAGGAGUGGCCGUGCCGAUCGACGCGACUACGCCGGCUUCGUGAAUCGAUCUCGGCAAGAACGUGAUCUACUUUGUCCAAUCCUUCGUCUAGACUUCAGAUUGCAGCCAAUUCUAGUUCUGUCUGGGUAACGCCCUUGCCUCUUGUCUAAUUCUUUUCAAUAAUUAUUCUCAAUCCUUAUAAUUAUUUGUAUGAAUUUGCAGUCAAUAGAUUCCAAAAAAAGGCAAAGGAUAUAUUCACUGCCUGGCAUAUAUACAUCUGUCCUUUCGUUUUGCUUUGCAUAGUAAAUGUUCUGGGCAGCCCACGUUUGGCUGCUACGACUCCAUUUAAAUCAAUGGGUUUUGGCCGAACAUAGGCAUUGGAAUUUGUAGUUGUCAAAUUUUUCAUGUCCCACGUGGAAUUUUGCUAGUCAAAUUUACAUAUACCAUGGGCAUGUCCUUAUUCAAAAGUAAAGCAUUAUCACGAGAUCUCCGAAAGAAUUGAAUUAGGAAGAGGAGAUCCAUUUUGAUUAGGGCAAAAGGAAAUUGAUAAAACAUGAACAUCCUAAUUUGAAAUAUUUGGUAAGAAGAAAGUACUUGGCUAAUGAACAUUGCCAGCUAAGAGAAAAUAAUUUUUAAAUAUUUGCGAGUUUGGGACUAAAAAUAUUGGUUUCAAGAAUUAAGAGCCCGGCUUGAAUUUAGCUACUUAAAUAUUUUCAUUUCACCAUUCUUCUUUGUUCCACUGGAAAAUUUAAUUUUAUUCUUUUUAUAUUGUAGGAUAUUCAAUCUUAGUAUCUAAUGACGUAUUUUGGAGUUUCGAAAUGGAAGACAUCAUUUUCAAGUAACUUUAUUUGUUGUUUCCUUGUUAUUUUAAGCAUUUGAUGGCUAUGUUUUGUAUUUAAUUAGUCUUCUAUUAUGUCAGGUAUAAGUUAUAAAACACACUUUUAUUUACUAUUGUCGUUACUUGAAAUUUUACACCAUGUUAAAGUGGUGCAUCAGGGUAACAUUUGCUCCAGCUCCGCCCCUGAUAUUGGGUGUAUUUAUUUUUUGAUAAAAUUUCAUAAUGUAAGAUGUAUUUGUUCUAAUUCCUCGUAAUUUUAUUCUUGACCAUUCAGAAAAAAGAAAGUAUCUCUCACUUGAUUGCAUGCAUCUCCCUUUGUAGACAAAAAAGAUAACUAUCUCUCCUGAUUUCGUGUGUCUCUUUCUUUCCUAGGCUAAAUGAUUUACUUGCCACUAAUCAACGAAUUAGACAAGGUUAAUUUUGUCCUAAAUUGUUUAUAAUUAUGUGUCUUGAUCACCGUGUCAAAAGUAAUACACCUUACAUAAAAAAAUGAAGAGAGUAUUUGUUAACAAUUAUUAUUCCUUUUUCUAUAGAAACUUUAUAGACAGAAAAAGACAACGACAACGCUCCAGGAAUUAGAGAACGUAUAGCUGGGAGCUGAGACCUGGUCAAUUUUGUGUUUAGGGCAUCUCCAACGCCGAUCCUCAACCAGUGCGCAUACGUCAUGGAAGUUUUGCACGAAAUCACUAAUUAAGGAGCAUCCCUUUAAAAGAUCAUUUUCAUUUUAGGUUGCGACAAGUGGCGCGCUGCUUAUGCGCGACUCGUCGUAACAUGUGAGUUUUUUCUUUUUUCACAGAUCUGUUUAUUCAAAAUGUUUUAUCUCUUAAACCGUGCGUCCAAAUCUUGAAACAUUUUCACCGUUGGAUCCUCGCGUUGAGAUCUUUCAAAUCGAGAUCUCCUGUUCAUAGGUUUUGACGUACUUCUUUUUUCAUGAAAAAACACACCGAGAGCUUUUUUUUCCCUUUUAGAAAGCCGAUUCCGAGAGGAACGCUCGUAGAAGCAAAUUCGUGCCUCUCGUGGAAGCAAAAUUGUGCCUCUCACGCAAGAAAAAAAAUGUUAUUUUUUGUUUUCGAAAGGCACGACUGUGGCUCUCGCGGAAGCAAAAAAUGGGCAUCUCACGAAAGGAAAAAAGUGUGUUUUUUCCCAUUUCCCAAAGGCAUGGCCGUGGUUUUUUCGUUUCUGAGAGGCACGACCAUGCCUCUCGUGGAAGGGCAAAAAAUUGAAACAUAUUUUUUUUCGUUUCCGAGAGGCACAAUCGUGCCUCUCGCGGAAGCAAAACCAUGCCUCUCAUGAAAGCGAAACCGUCCCUCUCACUGAAACAAAAAAACACGUUUUUUUGUUUUUGAGGGGCACGACCGUGCCUCUCGCCGUAGUAAAACCGUGGCUCUGGCAAAAGCACAAUCGUGCCUCCUGCAAAGAAAAAACGCGUUUUUUCACGCAAAAAAAAUAAAAAAAUUGUUUUUUCGAAAAGCUAAGAAAGGCCUUGGAAAAUCGAAAAGCCGUAAACACCCAAAAAAACUUCUAGAAAGCCAAAAACGCUUGCAAAACUAAAAUAAAAUCAGGAGGAAGCGCCCAGAGCACGACACAUGGCGGAGGCUGAGCGCACCAAGUGGCUGGCUCUCAGCCCACCUCAAGUGACCCUUGGGGAGGCUCCCGAAUGAGCGCUCCUCAAUUAGUUGCUCUCAGUUUUGCGGGCUUCCAGACAACAGCCACGCCCGCUUCUGAUCACCCUAGCCCACCUAAAACCGUCCUCUCUUGCAUGUGUGUGUCCCUAUUCGAUGCCAGCUAUUCGCAUUCAUGCGACUAUAAAGCGGACGCUCCACAUUGAAGCCGGCUCACAGAGCGGACAUGACAUCUCGGUAUCGGCAUUGAAGCGGCGCGCCGUCCCCGACUUGUCCUCGUUAUCCGUGCAUGUUCAAUGCCAAAGACGCGUGACUGUAUGGGACAAGAUAGAUAUUGACCACGCCCAUUCAAUGCCCCGCCGCCCUGGUCCUUAUGCCGCCAUUAAGCAAGCUCGCCGGCCAAGAAACCCACUCCGGCGCUGCGCAUUGACGCAUCCAGAUGCCCGGCCACCAGAAUCCACCAUUUAAAGAGGGCCACACCCGGCUUACUUCAUGCCACAACACAAGCCGCUCCACAUCCUCCUUCCUUACACCACAUCAUCCAUGACUACAGGCGGUAACGCAUUGUGGGAGAGCCUUUAGACGGAGAUGAAGCAUGAGGUGACCGCCCUUGCGGCCACCUAGCGCAAAUGAAUUACACAGAAUCCACGCGCCCCGCACUUUCGUCCCCUAAAUCCUCUCCCGGCAGCUCCGAAGCAUCCUCCGCGACUUCUAUAACAACAACACGUCCGUUUGUGAAGUGACUUGGUGACGGUAAAGGAACCAAGAUGCUAGAAUGAUGGUGAAAAUUUUAAUACUUUGGAACUUAGUGUAAUUUUUGGUUUUUUACGAUAAUUGUUUUCUUUGCCGUUGUAUGUGCAACUCUCUCCUUUAGUUUCAGCAAACCGCUUCGCUCUGUUCCUUAAGACAGAGGUGACAGUUCCUGCGGUUCUUUGAAUGCCGGCGAGGCAUUGAUCUCCACCCCUCUCUAUCCGCUGCUCCGGCGGCUGGAGGAGUGGGCGGGAUCUUGUUUCACUUCCCACUGUUCCAUUGAUUUAGGGCUCUGGCUUUGUCUAGUAGCAUCAAUUUGGGGAGGUUGGUGCUACAUCGAAUAAGGUGGCAUCAUGUUCUUCCUCACAACGGCGACGUACUUUUCAACGGUACCGCUAAGUUGAUGGCCUUGUCUUCUCGCCGUUUGUUCAGACCCGUAAUCCUUAUGUUUUUUGUGUCUGGCAGUUGUCGUCUCUCAUGACGGCACCGACAAGUGGGACAGGUUGAUGCUGGUACAAGGUUAGUGGCCCGAUGGCAGCAAAUUAGAUAUCCUUCCCCCUACGACAGCGAUGGAUUGCGUCAGAUCUAGAUUCGGGUUGGCAUGGGCAACAUCCUCGACCGACAUGACACAUUGUCAAGCGCAAGCGCAUGUUUUGCAUGUCUUGUCUUGGGCACACAAUGCCUACAAGGCUAUGACGUUCGCCUGGUGUUUGGUUUGCUGGUGCUCCAUCUCUUUCCUCCAUAUGCGUCUCAUCGGGGCUGGCGGUCGACGGCGAAAAGUAGAUGGCCUAAAUUCCCUGUGAUGAAGGAAGGAUGUGAUCUGGAAAGAAUAACCCUGCAAGGUUUGCCUAUUUUUAAUCUGUCUACCUAUGGUAUCGUUUACAUUGUGCAUGAUGCUGCUAUUUAUCUUUUGAUGAUUGACAAUGUGAUUGGUAACUGGCCUCAUAAAAUCCCUUCGAUGAAGAAAGGAUGUGAACCAAAAGAAUGAUCCUGCAAGGUUUACCUCUUGCUGAUUUAUUUAGUAGUGUGGUCUAGUAACUAUAUGCACUAUGGCAAUAUUUGUAUCUGGUUUUACGAUGUUUACCAUGUCAGCAUGCUUAUUUCUUGAUAGGCACACCAGGACAAUUCAUUGGUGAUGUAAUGUACAGAUAUCAGGACAAUGAGUAUCCAAUCCAUAUUAGACAUUUUCUUACUGUUGGCUGCUAUCAUUCAGAUUUAGUAUUGAGCAAUGUCUAGCGUUUGCGUUCUAACACCUCUAUAUAAGAACUCAAAUGUUACCCUCUAACUCGAGCUUUAUACAAUAAGAUUCAUUGUAGUCAGCAUGUCUUGAGUCCCAAGGACGGUUAAAGUAUUGCUCUAUACGUCAUGACAGAAUAGGAUGUCAAACAUUGUAUUUGAUUGGACAUGAGUUUACCUGUUUCGUGUACAAAGAGAUACAUAUGUUUUCAGCAGUUCAUGGCACAUCUUAAUUUAUAAUUGGUGGGAAAAUAUUUAGUAGUGGCGAAAUUUUCUUGUAUGCUUCUCGAGAAUUCUGGCACUUGCAAGUUCUGCAGAAAUACCACCAAAAGUUGUGUGAUAUUCCAAAAUAUUUGUCUUAUCUCUUGAAGCUACUGAAUUCUUUAAGCUAGCUAAUUUCCCCUGCAUUUUUAUCAGGCAACUGAAAGUUUAGAACUAUGGUAUCAAGUGCCACAAGCCCAUAACUGUAGGUCUGAGGCCGCCGCAAUUGGAGUUGCCGGCUUGCCGCCACUGUCCAAUUCCUUUCUUGCCCUCAGUUAUUCCGGUCUUCAGGUCAUCGUGCAGCGUAGUAAGUGAAAACUCUUCAGCAUGAACCAAAAAGACAAGUCUUUUUCUUUUCUCUUUCAACUAGAAGUCAUCCAUUGAAUUUUGUCAGCCAAGUAUGCAUUUCCAAGACACUAAACCUUUUAAUCAGCAGCUGCUUUUCUACCGUCUCUUUUCUGCUGUUGAUGAUUCAGUAGUCGUUUCUGUUCUUAUGCCGCCUCCGGUCCCGGCUGGGUUUCAGCCUUUUGCAUUUGAUCCCCCUUCCUAAAACAUCAUUAACAAUUAUUCCUUUUUCUGCCAAGAAGAUUAUAAGGGCAAAAUAAUUCAUUAUUCGACAGCGCUCCAGUAACUAGAGAAGUGUAGACUCGGUCAACCAAGAGCUGGGACCUUCUCAAUUUUGUGCUUAGAGAGUACUGUACCACAUCCACGUUGCACCAGUAUGUAAGCAUCUAUUUUUUGUGCCCAAAAUCCAAGGAAGGGGAGGAGUAUAUGGCGUAAUGGGAACUCAUCCGAUUGCCCAAGAUAAGUCGUCUGGAGGCCGGAAUCACUCUUUUGACUUUUUUUAAAUGUUUAGCACGAUCUGACCCUUGUUUGAAAAUACAUCCGGAUUUGACCCUUUUCCUACCAUCAUACACGUUGGCGGUAGAGUAUAAUAGGGUUACCACUAUGCAAGGCCUCUACUCUAGGAAAGAUCUGUCUACCUCCAAGACCUCAUCUUCUUUGGAUUUGAAAGGAACCUUACCCUAGUGCUAUUUCCAUUGGAUUGCACUUGUAUACUUGUGGAUCUCAUGUGUGUUAUUCUAAUGGAUGUGUGAUGUGGACUUGUUUGAUUGAUUUCCUCUUUGUGUUCAUGCUUGUUCUUCCUUUUCGUCCUCCAAGUAUGAAAAGAUUGGCCAUCUAGGAUUUCACCCUACAUCAUAUACAAAAACUUAAAACAGUUGCUGAAGAUUUAUUUAGGGGUUAUGGUAUCUGUGGCCAUUUGAGGGGCUAAAUUAUAAGGGACCAGUUGGAGAUGCCCUUAGCUCUUGUGGUACACCAUGCAAGCUGAAGUUUGCACGCUUCAAAAGGUGGUUCUAAAAUGAAUUGCCAAAAGUAAAUAUAUUGUUUCUUAUAAAAAACGGGUCCUACUUUUUUGUUUGCAAAUAUUUUCUAUGUACUUUUUUUAACUCAAAUGAUCUUACAUUUCUUUCUUGAUUUGAGUCAACUUGCAUGUCUUUGUGAAGAGAAAGUUAGGUUCAUCAUGUCUCAGAUGCUUUGAGGAUAUAUGAAGAGUGAUGGGAGGACUUUUGUCGGUGUCAAGUAAAUAAAACUCCGACCAGAUAAAAGAAGUAAAAAUCAUCGAGAGAACCCUUCGCCUCUUAUUCCCCUUUCUCCUCUAGAUAUGAGUGAAGACCACCUUUGCCUCUUUUUCCACCGCCAGAUCAUCGCCACUCCACGCGCCUCUAGCGCCAAAUAUGAUGUCAAGAGGUGGGAAUCCCUAUGGCGCUAGGUAAGUAAUGUAGUUUGGCGAUCUAUUGGGGUUGCCAUAUUAUGCAAGGUUCGGAAUCGCCUAUGACCUCUUUGACAACGCCACAUCCAUUUAUUGUGGUUGGAUGGUUAGAGAGACAGUGGUAUCCCAGCCCACCAAGGGUCCUGGUGCUCGCAUUAGUCCUGGAUUUAUGUCAGGAUUUUCGGCGAUGCGCUUUCAGUGGGAGAAAACAUUUUACUCGACGACAUGGCGGCUACGGUGUCUUCGUACAUCUGAAGAUGAUAUGCCGGCUCAGUUUCUGGAAGGUGCUCAUAGGGGUAGGUGCACGUGUCGUUCAUUGGGGUGAGUGUAUGUGCGUCUGUACUGUUUUAAAGAAAAACUGGGUAACGAUGCACAAAAGAAGAUACUUUAGACCGGCAGAGAAAAACGAUAUUUUAGAGUUUUGUGCAUAUUUUCUUUUUUUUUCAGGGAUUUGCAACUCUUUGUAGUAAAACCAAAACGCAUUCAAGUGUUUUUUAUAUCAGAAGAAGAAAAACCCAUUGAAAAACAAAAAUCAGCUCCUUUCUUUUUCUUCUUCGCCCAAAUCUCAUCUCAUCAGAUGGCCAAGCCAUGGAAGCACUCGGGGCGCCGCAAUCGCCGCCGUCGGCCACAGCGGCCACCUCGGCCGUUCUCGACGAUGACCAUCUCCUCGACGAGAUCCUCCGCGUCGCCUUCCCCACCAGCCUCCUCCGACCCCGUCUUCCUCCACCGCUUUCGCGACCUCCACCCACCCAGUUUCCUCGGCUUCUACGUCAAAACUGGAAGCACCAAGGCCCUGCGGUUCGUGCUGAUGCCUCAGCCCCCUGAGCUCGCCGCCGUGCUAACUUCGAUCUGGGCACCAUGGGCAGCGACAGCUUCGGCUUCAGCGUGGAUUGCCGGAACGGCCUCAUCCUCACCUCUACCUGCGCCUCANNNNNNNNNNNNNNNNNNNNNNNNNNNNNNNNNNNNNNNNNNNNNNNNNNNNNNNNNNNNNNNNNNNNNNNNNNNNNNNNNNNNNNNNNNNNNNNNNNNNNNNNNNNNNNNNNNNNNNNNNNNNNNNNNNNNNNNNNNNNNNNNNNNNNNNNNNNNNNNNNNNNNNNNNNNNNNNNNNNNNNNNNNNNNNNNNNNNNNNNNNNNNNNNNNNNNNNNNNNNNNNNNNNNNNNNNNNNNCUGUGCGCUGCCUCAGCCCCCUGCACCCUUCGAGAUCCACGACCAUCCUCCCACCAGUUCCGAACUCCCGCAGCCGCAUCACGUACUACGAACAAGAGAUCAUCCCCAGCAGCGGCGGCGACGGCUUCUUUUAUUUGGCAUUUGGCUCGAAAGGGCGGCAGACAAUUGUGGAUGUGUAUGUCUUACAAGAUGAUAUCUGGGCCAUGUACUCUUCGGUUGCAAAUGAAAUCACUGACAUUUCAUGACGAUUUGGUCUCCCUCUCGCUAGUUUGAAUGGUGACGGGAAGAUCUAUAAUUUGGUCUCUGUGAGUGAGAUUGAUAAGUUAUUCGUGUUGGAUCUUGCGUCCUCGUCUUUGUCGCUAGUUAAUCUCCCAGAAGAGGUGUCGCCGCGGCGUGGCAGGCUGUCGCUUGCAGAUGAUUGUGGGGUUCAUCUGACCCAUGUGAAGGACCUUCAAAUUCGGAUCUGGCUCCACAGGAUGGAUAGUUGUGGUGUUGCCAACUGGUUCCUUGUUAACGCCAUUUGUUUGCGCGAGAUAUGUGGUAAUCAUGUGAUGCCAAUUCACGUAUUGGUGGACACGGAUGAUUAUUUCUUCGAGGUACUUGCAGUUGGGUUCAAUUCUGAGUUUGUUUUCAUCGAGACAGAUUGCAAUGCCCUCUACCUUUUUGAUAUUAAGCGCAAGGCAGCAAAGAAGGUUUAUGAGGUGACCCAAAAGGAUAAUUACUUGCUUAGUUUCAGCCCCUUUAUGAUGCUUUGGCCUCCUACAUUUCCUGUGAUGAAGGAAGAAUGCGUUCUGGAAGAAUAACCCUGAAAUAUUUGCCUCUUUUUAAUCUGUCUAGCUGUGAUAUGGUUUACAUUCUGCAUGAUGCUAGCUACUAUAUAUCUUUUUGAUGAUUGACAAUCUGAUUGGUAACUGGUCUCAUAAAAUCCCUUCGAUGAAUUAAGGACGCGAACCAAAAUAAUGAUCCUGCAAGGUUUACCUUUGCUGAUUUAUUUAGUACUGUGGACCUGUGGUGAUGUGGUCUAGUUACCUAUUUGCACUAUGGCAAUAUUUGUACCUGGUUUUAUGAUGUUUCCCAUGUGACCAUGCUUAUUUCUUGAUCCACACACCAGGAUAAAUCUUUGGUGAUGUAAUGUACAUAUAUCAGGACAAUGAGUAUCCAAUCCAUGUUAGACAUUUUAUUUUCGUUGGCUGCUAUCAUUCAGAUUUAAUAUCAAGCAAUGUCUAGCGUUUACUUUCUAACACCUCUAUAUAAGAACUCAAAUGUUACCCUCUAACUCGAGCUUUAGACACUCAGAUUCUUUGUAGUCAGUCUGCCUCGAGUCUCAAGGACGGUUAAAGUAUUGCUAUAUACUCCCUCCGUCCCAUAAUAUAAAAGCGUUUUUUACACUAGUGUAGUGUAAAAAACGCUCUUAUAUUAUGGGACGUAGGGAGUACAUCAUAAUAGAAUAGGAUGUCAAACAUUGUAUUUGAUUGGACACGAGUGUACCUUUUUCGUCUACAAAGAGUUGCAUAUGUUUUCAGCAGUUUAUGGCACAUCUUAACUUGGUGGGAAAAUAUUUACUAGUGGCGAAAUUUUCUUAUAUGCUUCUCGAGAAUUCUGGCACUUGCAAGUUCUGCAGAAAUACCACUGAAAGUUGUGUGAUAUUCCAACAUAUUUGUCUUAUCUCUUGAAGCUACUGAAUUAGUUAAGCUAGCUAAUUUCCCCUGCAUUUUUAUCAGGCAAGUGAAAGUGUCGAACUAUGGUAUCGAGUGCCAUAAGCCCAUAACCGUAGGUGUGAGGCUGUGAUAGAACCAAAUCGACGUUGUCCAACCGUGGCAGCUUGUCUUCUGAUUGUAGAGGACACCAUUUUGACAUAUGUAGUGUGUUAGCCUUUACAUUCUUGAUUUUGGAUAUACAUGUACUAAGCAAGUCCAAAGCACCUCUCACAUUUGUGCUGAUUUCUGCAAUGUACUAGAUGUACACAGUACACAUGCUCCCAGGCUGUCAUGUGGGGCCAGCCCUAUAGGCGCAAGGGAUCUGCGCGGGCCGGCCCUGCACCUGCCUAAGGAUAUGUCCUAGUUUAAUUAUAGUCUUUUUAGAUUAGGAGUCUAGGUAUUAGUUGGAAAGAUUUAGUUCCGAAGAAGGUUACCCUGCCAACACCCAAUUGUAAUAGGAGUCUUAGUCUGGUCUUGUAAUUAGGCUAUAUAUAGCCAGCCCUUGGAUCAAUAAACGGAAGCAGAGAAUAUCCUACAACCUCUCCUCCCUUGCUCAUGCGCCACGGCGCCCCUCCUCACCCCCUUCUCCAACCAUAGGCAAGCGAGGGCCUCGCCCUCGUCCUCCUACCAACCACGACUACAACCUGCGCGGCAAUCAGCCGGGCCGUGACAACUUGGUAUCAGCUUCCUCGUCGAUCCCUGCGGCCAUGUCUCCGCCGCCGCCGGUGCCCCUACCGCAAACCCUAGCAGACCUCGCGACCAAACAGCACGAGGAUCAUGAGGCCGUGGUCGCCAAUUUAAACAGCCUCUCGGAGGAGAACCACACUGCUCAGACAAAGCGCGCCAAGGACCGCACCACCCUCCAGUCCAUCGCCGCGACACUCAAAACCCUCCAGGACCAGCUGGCGGACACGUCACAGGAGGAGCGCACGCAGAACCUGGCCCUCCUUCGGCUGCAAGGCAAGGGCACGCCUCAAUUGGGUGGUACCAGGCUCCUGCGGUCCCCGGAUGCGCCAUCCCACACUGGGGCCCCGGCCGAUCCAGGGGAUAGGGCUCUGCGCCUCUACAAGAUUGAUUUUCCCCUCUUUAACGGGGCCAGCGAUCGACGGCCAUGGCUGACACGUUGCAAUCUCUUCUUCCUCAGGCAGCGAACGUCGGAGUCGGAUAAGACUUGGCUCACCUCAUACCACCUCACCGAUGUCGCUACAUUAUGGUAUGUCCACCUCGAGACUAAGUUGGGCCAACGGCCGUCCUAGACCGAGUUUCAAAAACUGGUCGCCAACCACUUUGGACUGCCGACCCACGCCAACCCCUUUGGCGAACUGAUCUCCACCCGCCGCUCCGGCACCUGGCAGAAUACUCCAAGCGCUUUCUAGAGAAUCUCUCUCGGGUGUGCCCCAUUGCUGACCACGAUGAGCGGGAUAUCUUCACCAACAACUUGGGCGAGCCUAUGAAAACUCAGGUCGAGAUGCCGAAACCGGCGACUUUGGAUGCAACUAUGGACUUAGCAAUCUCCUUUGAGCACCUCAAUACUAUCACCAACACCGCGGCCACUCUGGGCCGGCCCAGCCAUCCAGUCCGCCCCAUGGCUGCACCUACUCCGGCCUUGCCGGACUCCUCCAACCCCACGCCCGCACUCGUCUUUAAAAGACUCACGCCCACCGAGAUGGAUGCGCUAAGGGUCUUGUCGGUGUCAAAACCGGCGGAUCUCGGGUAGGGGGUCCCGAACUAUGCGUUUAAGGCGAAUGGUAACAAGAGGCAGGGGACACGAUGUUUUACCCAGGUUCGGGCCCUCUUGAUGGAGGUAAAACCUUACGUCCUGCUUGAUUAAUAUUGAUGAUAUGGGUAGUACAAGAGUAGAUCUACCACGAGAUCAGAGAGGCUAAACCCUAGAAGCUAGCCUAUGGUAUGAUUGUCUGUUAUUGUUGUGUCCUACGGACUAAAACCCUCUGGUUUAUAUAGACACCGGAGAGGGUUAGGGUUACACAAGGUCGGUUACAAAGGAGGAGAUAUCCAUAUCCAUACCGCCUAGCUUGCCCUCCACGCCAAGGAGAGUCCCAUCCGGACACGAGACGAAGUCUUCAAUCUUGUAUCUUCAUAGUCUAACACUCCUGCCAAAGGAUAUAGUCCGGCUGUUCGGAGACCCCCUAAUCCAGGACUCUCUCAGUACCCCCUGAACCAGGCUUCAAUGACGAUGAGUCCGGCGCACAGUAUUGUCUUCGGCAUUGCAAGGCGGGUUCCUCCUCAGAAUAUACCACGGAAGAAUUUGAAUACAAGGAUAGUGUCCGACCCUGCAAAAUAAGUUCUACAUACCACCGUAGAGAGAAUAAUAUUUCCACAAAUCCAAUUUGCUGACUUGUUUUGGCAACACGACAUUAUGUCAUGGCCCGGUGAUUAUUCGAACCGUUUCCUUUAACUAGCCCCGCACAUAACGCGAGGCAGUUUUUUUGACACGUCCUGUCAAAGCAGAGAUCGUGUCCCCUUAUCACAGGAUUCUCAUCAAUACGGGUGUGGGUAACCCAACCGCGCCAUCGAUUAUGGCGCUUGGGGGAUAAGCGAGUUUUACCAGGCUAGUGGGGAUGCUUAGUUUCGUCCGCCCAUAUAAAGGGAUAAGGAUUCACCUUUUCAUCCACGCCUUCUUCCUCCUUUGCUCAUCCAUUUUCGCACACUCGAGCUCCAGCGCCCAAGUUUGCACUUCCCACCUCAACCUUCUCCAACCAUGUCCGGAGUGGGAGGCAGGUGGAUGGUCUCCUCCGUCACGGAGGGACACAUCAAGAAGCUGAGGAGAGCCGGAUACCUGCCCGAUGACAUCACGCACCGGCUCCCAGAUGAGGGGCAGCUCAUCCCCACCCCCAGGCUCCAUGAGAGGGUAGUGUUCCUUACCCAUUUCCUCCGCGGACUGGGAUUCCCUCUCCACCCAUUCGUCUAGGGGCUCAUGUUCUACUACGGGCUGGAUUUCCACGAUCUGGCCCCGAACUUCAUCCUCAACAUCUCGGCGUUUAUCGUCGUGUGUGAGGCAUUCCUCCGCAUCAAGCCCCACUUCGGCUUAUGGCUGAAGACCUUCAAUGUCAAGCCGAAGGUAGUGGGCGGACGCCAAGCAGAGUGCGGAGGCGCCAUGGUGGGCAAGAUGCCCAAUGUUACAUGGCUCGAGGGCUCCUUCGUGAAGACCAUAAAGGGGUGGCAAUUGGGAUGGUUCUAUAUCACCGAGCCGCGUGACCCUGCAUGGGCAGCGGCCCCCGAGUUCCGAUCUGGCAUGCCCACGCGGCUCACCUCCUGGAAAGAGAAGGGCCUAUCCUGGGGUAGUUCGGGAGAGCUGACCGGACUCCAAACAUGUAUUCAAAACAUGGUGAACAACAAGGUCAAACUUGUCAACGUAGUCCAGGUCAUGCUCAUCCGCCAGAUCCUCCCGUGUCAACAACGGGCCUUCAACUUGUGGGAGUUCGACCCGGCCCAGCACCAAACUUUGAACAUGCUCUUCGAUACGACACACGAGGAUGCCUGGAAGGUGCUAUUCAAGGGCGUCGAGGUUCCUCCUACUACCGAGGAUCAUGGAUUCUGCGUGAAGCGCCAAGCCAGUGCGGUAAGCUGUUUUACCUCUUAUAGGAUACUUGUUUUUCAUAGUUUGACUCUAUGCGGGAUCUAAGCUCCCGUUCCUUUGACCGGACUGGCAGGAAACGGCCGGACAGAUCGACUGUCCGGCUCCCUUGCCCGAAGGCCCAGCAAACGCUCUCCUGACGGAGAUGCUGACUCCGGCUCCUUACAAGGUGCCAGAGAAGACCAAGAAGGCCAAGGGAACCCAAAAGAGUUCCCGACGCGAGGUGUUAUCGGACUCAUCAUUCGAUGACUCUGCGGCACACUCCUCCCCCGAAGACGAGGAGGAAGAAGAAGAUGCUCCCCCUUCAGUUGGGGGAGACAAGAAAAGGAAGGCCGCCCCAACCGGGGGGGCCGAAGGGUCCAAGAAGGGAAGGACUCUCCUUCCGGAUAGUUCCACCACCGCCGCCGAAGGCGAAGACGAGUGGCUGCUCAGGGCCAAGCCCCUGGCGAAGUCGUAAGUAUUCGGAUACCAGAGUAACUCAUAGCAUUCCUUUGUCGCACUGCUUCCCCUGACGCCCAAUAUGAUUAUGCAGGCCGCCACGAGCCUGUAUCGAUGUAUCGUCGGACGGCUCCCUGGGCUCGUCGGAUAUGGAUAGCGAUCCACUUCCGACCGCCACGUCCCCUUGCCCUGCGGACGACGCCGAGGUAUUGUCUCAAGAGGCACCAGGUCGAGGGGAGAUAAUCCCGGAGGCGCCUCAAGGCGACCUUCCAGACUCCCGGAGCAGAGGGAACAAGGCCCAUGAGGGCUCCGAGUUCGGCCCUCAGCCGAACACCGCGCCGGAACCUCCAGUGGUUCCGGACUCGGGCAGGCGGCCUCCUUCCAAGAGGGGCAAGACGCCUAUGCCGGUGACCUCUGUCCAUCCAGAGGCGCCGGACAAUCUGUUGGGAGCGCUUCGUAGUGCUUCCAUCAACGAGGAGCACCGUACUAUUAUGAGUGCGGUGGUCCAGAAGGUUUAGUUCGCCAAGAGCGGAUUGACUGAAGCCUGUGCCAGCCUUCUAACAGGAUUUGAGGUAAGUGUUAAAAUAUAGGAAAAAUAUUACCGCAUAGACAGUAGCCCCUGAUGCUCUGUUUGGUGUUCACAAAGAAAAGUCGAACAGAGGAUCAAACAAUAUCGCAGGAGUCUAAUAUAGGUAUGUCAAUAUGCAUAUGCAGGCUUCACUGCUGGCAUCUGCCGCACUGACUGCGGAGGUCGCCGCACUGAAGCAGGACCUCGAGGGGUCCAAGAAAGAGCUCGGCCUUGCCAAGAGGCAGCUCGAGGAGAACAAGGGUAAGUAGUACCUAGUCUAUGGAGAUGUAUAAAAAGAAUGCGAUUGCAAAAUGACAGGAUCAUCAUGAAUUUGCCAGGGGCCACGACCGAAGUGGCGACCCUAAAGCAAGCGCUGUCCACGGCCGAAGAUAAAGCGGCCAAGGAGCGCACCGAGCAGGAAAAGGCAAGAGGCUUGGGUGGGCGAGGUGCAACAAGAGCUCCAGGCUCUCGUGACGAAGCACGAGGUGUUGGAGCUUGACUCGAAGAUGCGAGAGUCUGAGCUUGCCGUGGCCCUCGAGAGCGCGAAGAGUGCCAAGGCCGAGGCCCAAAAGGCCCUCCAGGAGAUUAACGCGGUGAAGAAAAUAGCGGCGGGUAAGGCAUUCUAUAUGCAAAGCAAGCAUGUGAAAGUAAAUUACCUAUUACUUACCCGGAUCCGGAGCUCUCCAGGAGCAUUCGCAGAUUUGCCCCGCGGCGUGUCGGAUGCCGCACAGUUUUACCAGGCCAAGGAGGGAAGCACAACGGAGAAGCUGUUCUGGUCUUAGUAUACUGGGACCGAACACCCGGUGCCUAUGAGCGACCAGCUGAAGCAGUUGGUCGAGCUACACAAGGCGGCUGAACAUGCCAUGAAGGGCUUUAUAGUCCGGCUGUGGCCUGGCGACGCCCUUCCGAACAGCUACUUCGGCCUGGUGAGGCGGCUUGUGGAUGCCUGCCCACGGCUGGAAGUCGUCAAGCGGUCCGUCUGCAUCGAAGGUGCACGCCGGGCUUUCGCUCGUGUGAAGGUGCAAUGGGCCAAGCUAGACGUCGUGAAGCUGAUCAAGGAAGGACCGCCGCAGGGCAAGGAGCAUCGCACCCCCGAAAUUUAUUAUGAGGGUGUUCUGAAGGGUGCCCGUCUUGUAGCGGACGAAUGUUCAAAGGAUGUAAUAUUUGAGUAAACUUGCUCAUGUGAUCCUGUAUGAUGAAAACUUGUUUCAUAUGCGCUAUGCAACGCUUGUUUAAAUUUAAAAUAUUACCUUCUGUUUGGCUGUUUAUCCAAUCAAAGAGAUGGCUAGUCCUCGGCUUCUGCCUCCAUGCCACGAGUGUUGGGGUGUUCGAGAUAAACCUGAGCACUCUUGUUCCUAUUUUUGGGUCCUUCGAGGGAGGUGCUCAGCACAGCGAACAAGGCAACCGGACUAAUAAUGCUUUAUCACUCUCACUUAGCCAUAGAAUUCUAUAAUUUUAAAUUUCGGCGAAGCCCUUGGUAUUCGGAAGGCCGAAUUCGGGGCGCGAUACACAGCUUUAGGCCGGACAUGACCGGCUCCUCUCUCUAAGCGGCAUAAGUCUUUAGGGACUUGAAACCUCGCCGAACAGCGACCAGUCUCUCGCCUUAUCAUGACAGUCAGUUUUAGCUUUCUCUACUGAGGUGCUUAGCCCAGCAGAACCGGGGCACAAUCGCAGUAGUUCUCCUAGCGCUACCUUAGCCGAUCGAUAGAGCGGAACGUAAGGUACCAAAACAUAGGAGCCAGGCAAACCCAACAUUUGACCAAAGACAUGAUUCGGAGCUGAUGCAUAUAAUGCUAUAAGUUCGGGGUGCCGCACUUGUGAAAGUGUUCGGAAUUCUCACACCGCAUUGUGGGGUACUUAAGCCCCUGGUGUAUUAGUCUUACCAAAGUGUACGGUUGCAAGGCGUCAUUAAGGAACACAUAUAUAUAAAAAAGAAGAAUGCAACAAUAGUCUUAAUGCUAUGCAUUGUUUUUUCAAAUAGAUGCGUUAAAGCAGAAUGAUACAGAUAGUGCGAUAAGCAAAAAGUAGGACUAUGUCCCUUCCAAGGGCAUGCUGAGGAAUAGUAUUAAAGCAAAUAUUUCACUCGUUAUCGUAAUCCACCAGGGAGUUUCAUGGUGUGACGUAGCUUUUUGCCUCCUUGGUUGCUGCAUCAUGUGUUCGGUAAUGAUGCUGCCGGACAGGGUUUCCAGAGAUUAAAGUCCUGAAAGGGAAAAAUAACAAAGCAGGAAGCCCCUAGUGCGUUUUACGCCGCGUAUUGGGGCGUGCCAUAGUUGUGCCCCCCUCCCCGCCUGUGCCCAUGGUAUUUUUAAUGCGUAAUUAUGUACACGUGGCACGAAUUUCGCCGUUUGGCUGGGACUGGGUGGGGGCCGCAUUGCUACGCGAGCUCUGAUCGUGCCAGGCGGUCUAGUUGCCGAUUACUCCGAGCGCGCUUGAAGGUGUCCGGGUCUUGAAACGCCGAACUGGUGGAUUGCCUUGAGAGGCUGCUUUGCGCUUCUGCUGCGAGGGCCGCAGUGUGCUCCUCCGUACGGAGAGACCGCUCUGUGUUUCCAUUAACUGUGAUGACCCCCCGAGGUCCUGGCAUCUUGAGCUUGAGAUAUGCAUAAUGCGGUACCGCAUUGAAUCUUGCAAAUGCGGUUCGCCCGAGCAGUGCAUGAUAGCCACUGUGAAACGGGACUAUAUCAAAGAUUAAUUCUUCGCUUCGGAAGUUAUCCGGGGAUCCGAAGACCACUUCCAGUGUAAUUGAGCAUGUGCAAUGGGCCUCUACACCUGGAAUGACGCCUUUAAACGUCGUUUUUAUGGGUUUGAUCCUUGAGGGGUCUAUACCCAUUUUGCGCAUUGUGUCCUGAUAAAGCAGGUUCAGGCUGUUGCGUCCAUCCAUAAGGACUCGAGUGAGGUGAAAUCUGUCAAUGAUUGGGUCUAGGACUAGUGCGGAAAAUCCGCCAUGGCGGAUACUAGUGGGGUGGUCCCUGCGAUCGAAGGUGAUCGGACAGGAGGACCAUGGGUUGAACUUUGGGGCGACUGGCUCCAACGCAUAUACGUCCCUGAGCGCACGCUUCCGCUCCCUCUUGGGGAUGUGGGUUGCGUAUAUCAUGUUCACCGUCCGCACUUGUGGGGGGAACCUCUUCUGUCCUUCGGUGUUCGGCUGCCGGGGCUCUUCCUCGUCAUUGCUAUGUGGCCCCUUAUCUUUGUUUUCGGGAAUUAACUUGCCGGCCUGCUUGAAUACCCAACAAUCCCUAUUGGUGUGGUUGGCUGGCUUGUCGGGGGUGCCGUGUAUUUGGCAUGAGCGAUCGAGUAUGCGGUCCAAACUGGAUGGGCCCGGAGUGCUUCUUUUAAAUGGCUUUUUCCGCUGACCGGGUUUAGAGCCUUUGAAUCCGGCAUUGACUGUCAUAUCCUCGCUAUUGUCGCUGUUAAUGCGGCGCUUAUGUUUAUUUCGACUUGACCUGCCAUUGCCGUCCUUGGUAUCCGAAGUACCAUGGUUCUUUGAUAUGUUGUUACUGCGAGCCAGCCAGCUGUCUUCUCCCGCACAAAAGCGGGUCAUGAGUGUCGUGAGGGCUGCCAUAGAUUUCGGCUUUUCCUGACCAAGGUGCCGGGCUAGCCACUCGUCGCGGAUGUUGUGUUUGAAAGCUGCUAGGGCCUCUGCAUCUGGACAGUCGAUGAUUUGAUUUUUCUUUGUUAGGAACCGAGUCCAGAAUUGCCUGGCUAAUUCUUCUGGCUGCUGAAUUGUGUGGCUCAAGUCAUCGGCAUCUGGUGGUCGCACAUAAGUGCCCUGAAAGUUGUCGAGGAAUGCGGCCUCCAGAUCUUCCCAACAGCUAAUGGACUCUGUUGGCAAGCUGUUAAGCCAAUGUCGUGCUGGUCCUUUGAGCUUUAGUGGGAGGUAUUUGAUGGCAUGUAAGUCAUCACCGCGGGCCAUGUGGAUGUGGAGGAGGAAAUAAUCCUCGAUCCAUACCGCAGGAUCUGUAGUGCCGUCGUAUGAUUCAAUAUUUACGGGUUUAAAACCCUCUGGGAUUUGAUGAUCCAUGACUUCAUCUGUGAAGCAUAAGGGGUGUGCGACGCCUCUGUAUUGGGCUAUAUCGCAACGCAGCUCGAAUGGGUCUUGCCCACUGUGUUCGGCCCGGCCGGAUUUACUUUUACUGUAUCCGGCGUGACGUUUAUCGUCUCGCAUAGUGGCGCGCCCUCGUGAUCCGUAGAUCGAUCUUGCAUGCUUUGCUUUGUCCUCCAAUACAUCUUGCAGGUCUGGCGUAUUUCCCCAUGCCUUUUUAUUUGAAUGAUGUCGGGGUGCGGGCUGAGUUUUUGGCUGGAAUGCCUCUCUAUCGCGGUCACGAGGUGGCCGAUCAGCCGCGUCAUAUGCUUCUUCCUCCAGUCGGGGUAGCAACCUGCAUUUUGGGUAACUCUUGGAGGGGCGUUCGAGUUUAUAUUCCUCGGCCGCGAGGACUUCAGUCCAUCUGUCAGCUAGCAGAUCUUGAUCAGCUUGAAGCUGCUGCUGCUUUUUCUUAAGGCUAUUUUCCGUGGCUAUAAGCUGGCGCUUGAAGCGCUCUUGUUCGACGGGAUCCUCUGGCACGGCGAAUUCAUCAUCGCCGAGGCUUGCCUCGGCUUCGGAGAGGGGCAUAUAAUUAUCAUCCUCCACCCCUCCAUCUGCCGCUCUCUCAGGAGGGCUGGCUCCUCCAUCCUCCUGCUCUAAAUUUUGCUGGAGGGGAUUGUUGUUGUCUUCGGCACUAUUCGAAGUGUUAUUAUCUCCUGUGCCAGUAUCACCACUUUUGCUUUGGCGGGACUUAGAGCGGCGCCGUUGACGUUGGCGCUUGGGUUGCUUCUUGGAGGGGUCAUCCUCUGCUAUCUCGUCGCCAUUGCCUUCUUUGGGUGUGUCCACCAUGUAUAUAUCGUAUGAUGAGGUGGCUGUCCAGUGCCCUGUGGGAAGUGGUUCCUUUUCGUCUCCCGCAUCGUCGUCCAUACUGUAGAUGUCUUUGGAGUCGAAGUCGAGCAUGCCGGUUAAGUCAUCGACAGUGGCUACUAACUGGUUGUGGGUGGGCCACGAAUUUCUUCAUCAUCCGCAUCCCAAUCCUGCAGGACAUAGUUCGGCCAGGAUCCUCCUGACAAGGAGAGAGACCUUAAUGAGUUCAGUAUGUCGCCAAAGGGCGAGUGCUGAAAAAUAUCCGCGAAGGUAAAUUCCAUGAUCGGCGCCCAAUCGGAUUCGCUAGGAACGGGCGCAGGCGGUUCGGAGUCCAUGGCCGGAGAAGGAUCCGGCAGUCUGACAACACGGCUCUCGUGCAGGGUAAGGUCGAUGCUCGGCUCGAUCGCCGAUGAGGAUAAGGCUUCCGUGGCGGGGUCCAUCCACCCGUCCAUGGACGGCGCAACUGGCUUCGAAUUGAGGGUUGGAGCGGCUGCCGGUGCGAUCUCCUGAAUACUGUCUGAUGGUAGAGCUAAAUCGUACUCAUCGUGACCGCGUGACGCACAAGGCAGAGGCUCGAAUCCGUCGAAGAUCAAGUCUCCGCGGAUAUCGGCCAUGUGGUUUAAGCUUCCAAACCUGACCUAGUGGCCAGGGGCGUAACUUUCGAUCUGCUCCAGAUGGCCAAGCGAAUUGGCCCGCAGUGCGAAGCUGCCGAACACAAAGAUCUGUCCAGGGAGAAAAGUCUCACCCUGGACUGCAUCGCUAUCGAUGAUAGUAGGAGCCAUCAAGCCUAACGACGACGACACAGAGGAACUCUCAAUGAAAGCACAAAUGUCGGUGUCAAAACCGGUGGAUCUCGGGUAGGGGGUCCCGAACUAUGCGUCUAAGGCGGAUGGUAACAGGAGGCAGGGGACACGAUGUUUUACCCAGGUUCGGGCCCUCUUGAUAGAGGUAAAACCCUACGUCCUGCUUGAUUAAUAUUGAUGAUAUGGGUAGUACAAGAGUAGAUCUACCACGAGAUCAGAGAGGCUAAACCCUAGAAGCUAGCCUAUGGUAUGAUUGUCUGUUAUUGUUGUGUCCUACGGACUAAAACCCUCUGGUUUAUAUAGACACCGGAGAGGGUUAGGGUUACACAAGGACAGUUACAAAGGAGGAGAUAUCCAUAUCCGUACUGCCUAGCUUGCCUUCCAUGCCAAGGAGAGUCCCAUCCGGACACGAGAUGAAGUCUUCAAUCUUGUAUCUUCAUAGUCUAACAGUCCGGCUGUCCGGAGACCCCCUAAUCCAGGACUCCCUUAGGUCUCUUCUUCAAUUGUGACGAGAAGUUCGCGCGGGGCCAUCGCUGCAAACGACUGUUCUACAUUCAAUCCGCCGACGCUGAAGAGGAGCAGUUUGAGGAUUUCCAGGAAGCACAAAUCUCACUCUUGGCUGUUACAGGAAUUCCCACCAAUGACACAAUGCUGGUCACUCUUCGCCUCGGGGACCGUGACUUGGUCGCCUUGCUUGAUUAAGGCAGCACUCAUAACUUCAUCCACGAAGAGCUGGCCACCAUCGUCGAGCUGCCUUUCUCCUCUAAUGGUCUUUUGGGAGUCACGGUCGCUAAUGGCGAUAAGGUGACCUGUCAGGGACUCCUUCAGCAGGCUGCGAUCACCAUUGACAAGGAGCGUUUCGUUGUGGAUCUGCAUGCCAUUCCAUUGGGCGGCUUCGAGAUCGUCCUCGGUACAUGAUUCCUCAAAACUCUUGGGCCAAUCCCCUGGGAUUUCACUACGUAGUGGAUGUCGUUUUGGCACUCGGGUCACCAUGUGGAGUGGUCGGGCCUCGGCUCCCUCGGACGCCCUAGCCACCUACACGCGUGCGAAGGCAAGGAACUUCUGAACAGCCUGCUGGCCACUUUCACCAAUGUUUUCGCCGGCCCACGGGGCCUGCCGCCGCAGCGCGCACAUGACCAUCAUAUUCAUCUUAUUCCCGGGACACUGCCGGUUGCUGUCCAUCCCUACCGCUACCCAACGAUUCAAAAAGAUGAACUAGAGCGCCAAUGUUCAAAGAUGCUGGCUCGCGGUCCGAUCCGUCCUAAUUCUUCUGCAUUUUCAUCCCCCGUUCUACUCGUCAGAAAGGCCGACGGGACUUGGCGUUUCUGUAUCGACUACCGUGGUGUCAACCUUGUCACUAUCAAGGACAAGUUUCCAUUUCCCGUUGUCGAUGAACUUCUGGAUGAACUCAAGGGCGCCCGCUUUUUCACCUAAUUGGAUCUCCGGUCGGGUUACCACCAGGUUCGGAUGGCCCCUAAGGAUAUCCACAAGACGACAUUCCGCACACAUGAGGGCCUCUUUGAGUUUGUAGUGAUGGCCUUUGGUUUGACAAAUGCCCCAGAGACGUUCCAAGCACUCAUGAACGACACCCUCCGUCCCUAACUUCGUCGGUUUGUGCUUGUGUUCUUCGAUGAUAUAUUGAUCUACAACUCGUCCUAGUCGGACCACCUACAUCAUGCCAGGCUCGUUUUGAAGGCUAUGCGCGCACAUCAACUAUUUCUCAAGCGCUCCAAGUGUUCCUUUGGGGAGGAAACCAUGGCUUAUCCGUGCACUCAGACACUAGUUUUUUUACCUUAAAUAUGGGUGUAUGAUGAAGUGGUGUGUUUGUCUUUAUGCAUAUUAGGAGCUACCCCUGGAAGAUGAGGGUAAAACCGUUAGGCUUCCUCGUUAGCUCCCCUUGGGUAUCUCCCAGAUGGUAUGUUUUUUUUGAAAACGUACACCAAAAGGCAUACGCUACACUGUAUUCAUGUUAAGGAAACAGACAAUACAUCCGAGAGAAUACAUAAACAAAGACAGGGAACAGGAAACAACAGACCCCGCCAAAACUACGAAGAGGACCCUGAAGAAAUAAGAAACUACACCCAGGUCCCUUAUCUUCUUCGUGUUCAUUGCAACCGCAACACAGCUGAAUCCAUCGCGGGCGCCGGAAUGAUCGAUGGGAGAACAGCUUGCUGCAGAUGUCUUGUCCUUGGAGGUGAAGAAGCCCCUUGCCAGAUGGCGUUGUUGAGCCACAGUAGCCACCAACUCCUCAGAGUCGGAUCUUGAAACCGAGAAGGAACACGGCCGGCGACAUCUCCCACUGACGAGAGCACUCACCAAGCUUCCGCCGCUCUGGAUCUGGGGACGAAGCCACACCGCCCAGCAAAAGACGGCCAGAUCCUCCACCACAAGCCGCAACCCAAGGUCGUCACUUCCAGAAACCUAGUCCAGCGCGCAGACAUGCCUGCUCCUCCCCCUGCCACCACGGCCAGCCAGAGAAAGCAAGGACGCGCACCGGCGUCUCCAACUUCAGAACCACCCCCAGAAACUCCACUGUGAGGCCGGAGCCCACCUCAACGCCGCGAAGUCGGAGACAGGGGACAAAAAAGCCACAACCAGGUCGUCACCUCCGCCGCCACGACCUGGCCCAGGCCACCGAAACCCGCCAGAUCCAUAGAUCGACGAGCACCCUACGACGGCCGCUCGACGGCAUCGCCCCAGAAGACGGUGCCGAGGUGGAAGACGAGCAGCUGAACCUUUAUUCCACAUACGCGACGCCGGCACCACCCCACCGCUGCCACCGGGAAGACCUAAACUACUAUGAACACACCUAACCUAAGGCACAGAACCCGGGCCCCUCCACUCUCCCACCGCCGGAAUGGCGGCCGGAGAGGAGAGAGACCACGGAUCUGGCCGUCGGUGGAAAGGGGAACGAGAAGAGUUUGUGUUUCGUAGCAAUACUACUACAUAUCAAAUCAACAUGUAAGUCAUUCCCGGCACGGCCUCUGCCUCGGCAGCCCGUAUAAUAAUCGUGCCUCGGCCGGCCGGGCCGGGCCAGAGCAACGGUACCAUACUGAAACCUCGGUGUCAUGUGAGAUUUGAUUUAUUCUCUGGGCACACCAUCUGCCAUUUUUGUACGAACAGUGCUGCUCUGUUUCCUCUGCAAACCAGAGCAGGCAAUUUACCAGUUCAUGUACACAGAUAGCAGGGGCUCUGAAACGUUGGUAAGCUCAGAGGUGGGCUUGUUGCCAUACUGAAACGUCGGGUCUGAAUUUGAUCCCGAGGCAGCAACUCGUGCUGUUAAACGGUGGCUGAAUUUUCUCGUCGAGGAAACGGUGGUCGAGACUGGUUUAGAUCAUGCACGGCACACGAAGUCGCUUUCCAAUGCGCUGGGCAUAGUGGGCUGGGCAAAGCAAAUUCACAGAUGCAUGCAUCUCUGAAUUUUCAUCUUCCAAGGCAUUCGCAUCCCUUGCUGUGCUUAUUUCCCCUAAUUAGGAAAUGUCGCAUACGAAUGCAGUGCUUAUAUUCUCCGCGACAUCUCCGUCUCCAAGAUGUCCCGGAUAAUCAUCGAAUCGAACUAAUAAAAGAUGCCGCCGCAAUCUGAGUUGCCGCUGCUGUCCUGUUUUUUCUCUUGCGCUCAGUUAUUCGGGUCUUCACGUCGUCGUGUAACGUUGAAACCGAGAACUCUUCAUAAUGAACGAAAAAGACAGGUGUUUUUCUUUUCUCCCAUUAAAAUAAAUAUCGUCCAUUGAAUUUUCUCAGCCAAGUAUGCAUUUCGAAGACACUAAACCUUUUAAUCAGCAACUGUUUUUCUAUCGUCUCUUUUCUGCUCUUGAUGAUUCAGUAGCUGUUUCUCUUCUUAUGCCCCCUCCGGUACCGGCUGGGCUUCAGCCUUUUGCAUUAGAUUCACCCUUCCUGGCAAUUGUUUUUUUUCUGUCACUAGUAAGCGUGCACGUGCAACGCACGUAUCAUAAUCUAUAAUAAAACAUUUUUUAAUUUAAUUUCUUGUAUGGUGAGUUUUUUGUCAAACCAUUUAAAUGUGUCUCGUGCCGACGGCGUGAGCGCACGUGUAACACGAUCUGAACACGUGUCUUCACAUAAAAUUCACAAUCGCAUAAAUGUAUUAUAAUUAGUUACAAAAAUAUCUAAAAAUAACAACUAAGAAAUAAUAUCUACUAUUUGUUCUUUGACGAUGAUUCUCUUUAAAGUUUCAUGUAUUGAUGCGAUCUAGAGUGCUUUGUUCCAUGGCUGAGAUAUUGUUUAGAGCUUCAUUCCCUUGGUACUUUAAAACAUGUCCAAAAUUUGCCUCCUCAAUCGAAUAUCAUCCUACAUAUGCAUUAUACAAUAGUGUUAUAUAAAAAAAAAUCAUGUGCAACGUGUAUACAAAAUGAGUAUGGUGUAAAUAAUCACCCUGGGUACUGUAAAAUGUAGCCUUCCAUCGCACCAUGAGUGCAUGAAAUUAGAAACCAAAUAAUCAUGUAGUGAACUGGAAUGUCUAACAAAUUGGAUGUCGUGGCACGCUAAUAUACGCGCAAUAAUAUUAAAGCAAUCAGCAUCCAUGUAUUCAUCACUCUUUAAUUUGUUCCUUAUUUGUCUCAAUUCAAACUAAUAUGAUAAUGAUUAUAGCUUUUCCCCCAUUCACUCAUGUGAAAUCGCAAUUAUGUCAGUUAUAAUUGUUAGGAAUAAGCAACUUGUAUUCCCAUGAGGUCAUAGGCCGAUAUAUAUAUACAUGUACAGGUGUGGAACAUAUGCAGGAAACCCCUUAUAUAACGGGAUAAAUACAAAGGGGUACAUGACUUAUAUUAUAACUCUAACACCCCCCAUCAAACUCAUGGUGGAUGAACAACACUGAGUGUAAGAAGUGUAAUACUAAAAAAAAUGAUAAUCCAAAUCCGCGUCUUGAGAGUGUCGUCGUAGCAUGAAGAGUCUUCAAAACCUGUCGAGUCGCCAAAGAGGAUAACGAAGAGAUGGCACAUCAGAGGAAGACACCGCACCAAUAGAAGAUACAAUAGAAGUAUCAAGAGAAGAUGGGUUGUCAAAAGAAGAUGGCCAUCAAGAGAAGAAGCAUUGCUUAAAGAAUCAUGGCCCAUGAAAACCGACGGCGAAAGAAGCUCGGCGGCAAGAGAAUUAGCUUAGAUCAACAAUGCAAAGAGAGGCCACAGAAAUCCUAUAGAGAGGACAAUGACCAGAAAACGGCUGACGGACAAAAGUUUGGUGGACUCGCAUGACAUGAGAAACAUAAAAUAUCAACGGAUUUGGUUGACACAGCAGAAAACAAGGAAGGUAAAAUCUAGGAAGCAUACACGACACAAAGAUGCAAAAUCCAUCGUGUAUGCAGAAGACAUUGGACUCCUUUUUUUUGUUGUUGAAAUCAAGAUGGGAACGGAAAGACAGCAGCUAGUAUGCAGGAGCAAACUCAGCAGCAAAGCAGCAGCUAUAGCACAGCAGCCUGAACGCAGCAGCACGCACAUCGAUCUGGAGCUGGACGAGGUAACGCGAUCUGGCGCACAGGUGCGAACGCAGCGCAGUAGCCAACCAGGCGAGGCGGGCUUUGAUCCAUGCAGGCGAUCACGGCUGUGCAGGCGCACGUCAUGGGCGCACUCGUCACCAGUUUGGAUCCAGCGAAGCAGCUGGGCGGCAGGUGCCCCGCGAACGACAGCGGAAGACGAGAUCGACCCAGAAAAGAAUAAUCGACCGAGAAAAAAAAACUAGUGGAUCGUAAGGACGAGUUGCGGCGUCCGGAGACCUAAACCUAGGCUCUAAUAUCAUGUUAGGAAUAAGCAACUUGUAUUUCCAUGAGGCCAUAGGCCGAUAUAUAUAUAUAUAUACACAUGUACAGGUGUGGAACAUAUGCAGAAAACCCCUUAUAUGACGGGAUAAAUACAAAGGGGUACAUGACUUAUAUUAUAACUCUAACAAUAAUGACACGAGAGUAUAUUAGAACACAAAAUGAUCUGGAAAAAUGUGGCUUAGUACAACAAAGGGACAUCAUCAAGCAUGUUCAUGCACAAGCAAAGUUUAUGUAUUAAUCGUCGUUUGUUGGAUUGACAAAUGGUGAAAGAAGAAACAAUUGCGAGUUGAGCUCAAGUUUUGAUGAUGUGUUCGAUGUUUUCAAAUUCUUAGGAAGUCUGUCUAGAAUCAUACAAUCCGUGGGAUCAAUGUCGAUUUCUUAUAUUAUCAUCAUUCAGUUACGAGUCAGUAAAUGAAACCUCGUUUUUUCCUUCUGAAAUCUGACAUAUGAUCAUAUUAAGUAGCAAAUUAGAGUUAGAAUUCAAAUAAAAACAUAAAAUAAAUAUAAUGAUAAGAUUUUAAAAAACCUUCAAGAUCAACCAUUGAUAUAUUAUUGAACCAGCUUUGUAAACACUUGGUCGUAAAAAUAAAAUAAAAAAUUCGAACAACCAGAGCAAACACUCCACUCACUCACUACACAGGCGGAUAAGCUCCUCUCUCCCUCACAGAACACGACCGCCCCUCUUCCACUGCAUCCCCACCGGCGGCGAGACGAACACCCACCGCUGGCCGGUCCAUCACGGCCGCCCUUCCCCCAGCCGCUAGUCUAUGUCUCGCCCUCCCCCCGCUCCUCCUGCCGUCGCACCGGUCCAUGGCGGCCGCCCUUCCCUUACCCCUCUUCCCGCAGCCCGGAUAUGCCGCCUACGGCUUCCACCACGCCUUCCUUUUCCCCAGCACUCUCCAGCCGCACGACUGCUUUUUGUCUAAACAAAUCUUGCGUGAACUGAACAUAAUGGUUUGCAUACUGAACUUUGACUGAAAUAAUUUCUUAAGAGAAUUAGCUAUCAUCAAUUUGUCUAUUUUGUUAAAUUUAAUGUGUAUGUUCAAAGUCUGCCAAAACACCUUGGAGACGUGCUUUUCUAUUAUAGGUUGACAUGAUGGAUGAGUAGUCUGCUCAUGACGAAGACCAUUAAUUAUGAUGUCAGCUACUCCCAUUUGGUACUACUCUAUUCUUGAUUGCUCUUUGUAAUACGACUAAUGGGGACAUACAAAAAACACAUAAUGUCAAUUGCAUUGGGGUAGAAAGGUGUACCCAUCUGUCUGCAGUCUGCUCUAAAUACACUCUUCCCUUGGCCAUGUUGUGAUGUUUAGGUCAUUCCACUUAUCAGAAUUUAGUUCCAUGCGAAGCGAUGCAAAUUGGAAUACAUUUUUGUCAGGUUAAUUGACCACGGGUACCCCGAAGACGGCAAGACAAUAUUUUAAGACAUCAGGGCUAGCAAAAUCCCUCGGUCCGACUGCUCAGGCCGCCCCAGAUGGUCCCUGUCCGACUGCCCGGGCCGACUCGCCACUCGGCCUGCUCCUCCGGCCGGCUGCUUCAGUCGGCCUGCUGCGCGGAGUCGGCCGCUGCAUCGACCCGACACCGACAAAACGGCCAUACCGCGACAUCAUCUACAGUGUACCUUAUCCCCUGGGCAUUGAUUUAUAAAAUGCCCCAGGAGCCAAGUAUAGCUUAGCUCUCAAGCUACCCAUAGCUUGAGAUGUAAGCUACUCACUGUAGCUUACAUCUCAAGCCACCCCAUGCCUACUACUCCUAUAUAAAGGGGCACACAUCCAUCCAUCUAAGGAGGAUGAACCCCCUCACGCAUGCAUACAUGCUCACGCCACACACAUUGGCCGGCCAAAUGGCUCCCUGGGAGCACUCCACUCCCACUUGCUCAUACAUACAUAUGAGACAUAUACAAAGUCAGACGCCCUUGGCACUGAUUUCAGAUACAGCUCCAGGAGCAUUUUGUACUGCCAGAUGUACAUCCCACAUAUAUAUUCAGACAUGCAGGAGUAGGGGUAUUAUCUCUUCGGAGAGCUCCGAACCUGGGUAAACUAGCGCGUGCUACUCGCAUACCCAUCCCCGAAUAUUCCAUAAUAGUCUUGCCCUCACCUCAAGCCACCCUGUGGCAUCUAUCGACUCGCGGUAACCCCUGCCGACUGAUGCGAGAAUACUCCUACAAUUUUCCAGUCCUUCCAGUUGUUGCAUGAAUAAAUGACAAAGCAUUAGCAUCACAAGCGAAAAACAACAUAAAUCGUCUUAUCAAAGAUGACGCAGUGGGGCUAAUAACUAACCAUAGUAGUGAGGUCUUCGCGAUUAAUUCAUGUGCCUGAUUAGUGUUGCUAUUUACCCGAUGACUGUUUUUGUAGUUAAAAACGGUAUGAACAGUUGCAACUUACUGUUAGUUUCCAGUAAGCUUGUAAUAUUGUAUCGUUCGGCUUGUAAUAUUGUAUAAUUUCCUAAGCACUGUCAAGUUUCCAAAAGCUCAUUGUUAGAUGCAUUGGAUAUUGUGACCAGUGCAACAUAUGCACGAAAUGGCCCUUAAGGCCCUUUUCUUCUUCUAUUUAGAUAACAGAGGUCCCGGUCUUCUAGGAUUUACCCUUGUUUCAGUCAUAAACCUGUUGUUGCCUUUCUAGUAUACUGAAAAUCAUGACUUUUAUUGUUCGGAUCAUUUGAACGCUCUGUCUUGUUUCAGUUACCACGAUAUUUUCCUGAGAGACGUUAUUCUGUCCUUUUCAUAUGUUCUACAAGCAGUCUUGCCUGGGAAGAAAAUGUACAUCAUGGGCAACUUGAGAGUGGAGAAGAAAAACCCAGUCCAGGUAUUUCACUUCCUUGACCAAAACCCUCCAAGAACUAUCAAAAAGAGAAUGACUAUGCCCUUAAUAGAUUCAUUUACAUUCUAAGUCUAACUAUGUCCUAAAUAGAUUCAUUUAGAUUCCAAGUCGAUACAGAUUCAUCCAUAGAGCCUGAACGUUAAUUAUAUUCAUUCAGUCAUACAUAUUCGAAUACUAUAUUGUUAAAACAAAUGAGUUGGUUUCAUAUUUGGACUGGGUCUUUCUUCUCCUCUCUCUUGGACUGGAUUACAUAUAGAUCAUAUACAUGGUUUUAUUCAUUCAGUAAUUCAGUCAUACAGAUUCAAAUAGUAUACUGUUAAAACAAUAUGAUGGAGGGCUCCAGUUUGAUGCACCGUUAAAAUUCAUGUUGAAGUCACAGGAGGUAGAUCUAUUAUGGUUUGGACAGAAAUGAUGCAUUGAUCAGCACACUGUUGUAAAUAUGCAAAUUUGACAGUGAAGAACAUUGUUAUGAAGAUGCAAUUUGACAGGGAUUAGGAAAGCAAUGAAGUACACACAUAUUUGUUAAAUAGAAUUUUCCUUGGUGCACGCAGGUGCCUUGGCUGAGGAGUUCGUUGGCGCCGAGGCCGUCGGCUAUGGAAGGCGGCGUUGGCCAACACUAGCUGGAAAGCGAUGGCGCAACGAUGGCUUGGCGGUGCCGUCGUCUCAUUGCAGUGUGCGUCUGAAUGGCGACAUCGAAGAAAGUCUGAAAGGCGACAUCGAAGAAAGACAUCGAGAUUAACUGGGAUGGAACUGGCCACAUAUUGCGUACAAGAGGAUAGUCUGCACCUACGUUGGCAAGAAGCUCGUCGGCGCGGGCGUUGUCUGCUGCGCAUGGUGGCGAUGGCACGGGACAGGCUGGCCGGCAGGGACGUAUGUCCGUGUGGACAAAGGCAGGAAGAUCGAGCUGAUUCCCGUAAGUUUAGCCAUUUGUUAUGAGACGUACGUAUUAAUUACCGUUAAUUCUGGCUAAUCUUCUGUAGUUGGUUGGCUUAAUCUUUUUUUUCGCGGAGGUGGAACUGUACGAUCGAUGGCAGAGUUUCCGUUCGCUACUGUAAAUUGCUAAACUUACACAGGUGGGGGCUGACUUUUAUGUGGCCGAUUAGAUGCCUAAUCUUGGGGUUGUAGUUUGUCUGUUUUUUUUCUGUGGACGUUUAUUUGGGUGGAUAUAGUGAAGAAUAUGUUUGCUUGUUUAAUUGUAGUAGAGAAGAGGAUUAAGGACCAAACAAAAUCAUUAUUCUAUAGCGCUCCAGUAACUAGAAAACGUAUAUACUCCGUGAGCUCGGAGCCGGGACCUGCUCAAUUUUGUGCUUACAGAGUACUCCUACCACGUCCACAUUGCACCUGUAAGCAUCUAAUUUUUGUGCCCAAAAUCCAAGCAAGGGGAGGAGUAUAUGGCGUAAUGGGAACUCAUCCGAUUGCCCAAGAUAAGUCGUCUGGAAAGUUCCAUCUGAGAGCGAUCUGUCGAUCACAAUAAUAUAAUGGGAUUCAUCAUGGCAAGCAAACCCAAAAUCUCCCUCAAAAGAAAUGCCGAUGGAGAUCACGUGAAGAAAGCUUAACAACAUGGGGAAGGUGGACCCCCUCCAAGAUGUUGGCGGACCAACCAAUCAUCUGCCGCGUUGAGCUGGUGCCUGGUCCCACCGGGAUCCGGCGCGGACAGGAAAAAAAAUGGCCUACUAGUUCUCACUUGUUUAGCUUGUUCUUUUUUUAGCAUGAUCGUGUGCAUGUAGUACUGCUCACUAGCUCCUUGGAGCAUCUACAGGCGCCCUCCUCAAACGGCCGGGCGGGUCGUCAUGUCACUGACUGGUCAUGAAAUUUUGACCCAGACGUGCUCCUUAAACAUCGUCAAAUGACAGUGCUGGCCUGCACCUCUCAAAUCCAGCUCAAAUAUGGGGCGGAUAUCCAUGUCGGACCUGACAGCCCGACUCCACCGUAAAUUGCACCAAAUUCAUCAAACCCAUCCUCCUCCUCUCGCCGCCCUCCAACCUUUCCCGCGCCCGAGUCCCUUGUCGUCCGCCACUCUUGCUCUUCAUCCUCGCCACCAGUCCCGAUCCACCGACGUAGAUGUCGUCCAGCCCGUCCCCGACCGCCGCGACGGAGAAGUAGUCCGCCUCGUCCGUCGGUGUCCCUUCUUCGGCUCCGUCGUGCAAGGAGAAGAACAUCGCCCGGAAGAUGCCGCGACGUCGGCAGCGAGAGAGGGAGGAUGCGGCGGCGCGGGGAGGUGCGGACAUGGGCGAGCAGCUGUCACAGCCGCCGCGCCUGGAACCCCACACCCCUUCCAUCUGAGCACCCACGCGGAUUAAGCCGUCCUACCACGUUGGGACGGAGGAGGAUCCGACGGCCGGCUGGACCAUUCCAAGAGCUUUCCGCCCAAGCAGAUGCCGGCGGUGGAUGUAUGUGACUCGUAGCAGCUCUUGCGGGCGCGGAUGAGCAUGGGCAUCGGUGGCACCCGGGCUGCCCUCAACAUAUUCGACGGAAUGACAGAACAAGAGUCGGUACGUUUUGUUUGCUCCUAUCCUAUCAAAGUUGCAUACGAUCUGUUCAAUGUUUUGUAUAGACACUAGUUCAUUUCAGAUAUGAUGAAUGCUUGCAAACCAUGAUCAUCUAGGAGGCGUUCAUGUCAAAUAUGAUAAAUGACAAUGAAGAUCAAUGACAAUGAAAAUGAUCUACACAUGCGGUUGUAUGAUGCACCUCAUAUAUUAGAAUAGAUCAAUUUAGUGCUAAGGUUUUAUUCAUUUAUUUAUUUCUGCCAGGCAGCUAUCCAGUAUUCAAAUUAACCAGACCAUUUUUUACUUAACUAUAGACCAUUUUAGAUCUACUCUGAUAACCAAUACAGCCUUCAACACUACUAGGGAAAAUCCUAAUAGUAGCGCGGGUUUAAUGCCCUCUAGUAGCGCGGGCAGCCACGCUACUAAUAAGGUGCUACAGCUAUUACUUAGCAGUAGCGCGUGCGACACGCGUUACUGCUAAGACACAUAGUCGCAGCGCUUGUCCACUACCGCGCUGCUGCUAAUCUAGCUAGUAGCAGCGUGUUUACUAUCCAUCGCUACUAGUAUUCUUUUUUUAGUGUAUUUAUACGUUGUUAUACAAAUAUUGGUACAAUGUCAAUUAUGAGGUUUAUAUCAUUAUGUCCAUAACAGUAUGUCAAAUGAAGGUGGAUUAGGUUCAAGUGGAGGCAAUAUAUGAUGCAUAUCAAAAGUAUACUACUAAUACAAACUUGUUCUAGUUUGGACUAUUAGUACUUUCGAUGUGCACCACAUGUUGCCUCCACUUGAAUCUAAUCCGCCAGCACAAGCUAUUUAAUCACCAUCAUAGUCAUUACCACCAACAAUAUUUAUUUAAUCAUCAUAGUCAUAGUGGAGCACAUCAUCAUCUUCAAACUCAUUUUAGCUAGCUAAUCACCACUAACACUAGUUGCGGUAGCUAUCUAAUCACCACCAACACUAGCUAAUAAUAAUCAUCAUAGUCAUUACCACCAACACUAGCUAUUUAAUCAUCAUAGUCAUAGUGUAGCACAUCAUCAUCUUCAAACUCAUUUCUAGCUAGCAAAUCACUCCUGCUGCUCUCUUUCAGGUAAAAUAACAUAAAACAUGUGUAGCACUCCUCCUUCAUCAAGUUGGAGCAUGCAGAUGAACCUGUCUCCUGAUCAUGGGCUACGCUUCUGAAAGCUACCCCGUAGUACUUCUCUGCGAUCGUUCACAAUUUUGCUCCAGUCUUUCACUAUUAAGCAUUCCUCGCUAUUAGAAAUCCUGAAUGCACUAAAGUGCAUUGUAGGAUAUCUUGGCCGUAAGCUAACAAUAUUCAUGGUACCUUUAGUCUCGAUCCAAUGAGGCACAACAUUCAUCGGGAGUCUCUGUUGAAGAACAAUAUAUAGUAACAUACUUAGUAAUGAAGUUUAGCUUAAAAAUAAUGUAUGCAAAAGAUGCACUGAGGACAAAUAGUAAAAAUCUUACCAUCUUUCAUAAAUAGAUGUGACCGUAGUUCAAUACGAACACUAUUGGUCGCACGUUUUGAGUCCUAACAUUUCUAAGUGCAGGAAGAAAUUUGUGUUGACAGUAUGAAGAUCCUCAAGCCAUGAAAAAUAAUGACUUAUCUCCUCGCGGUUUAGUGCAGCACCGGGACAGUAGUAGGUCCUGUCUACCAAGCGCUGGACAUGCUUGCUUGAAUAGAAAUAAGCUGACAAUAAAAAUUAGUUGUCAGCUAUUUUUGAAUAAAGAAUAUCAAAGACAUAAAUAUGGUUGAGAAACUCACAUAAUGGUAUAACUAGAGGCGUCUGCACAUCGACCCAGAUGUCGAUAUUACCUUCAAUAUCAUCUUUCAGACGAAUAUCAAAGUUGAUAACCAUAUCAGGCUCAAAUGCAUAAGUCUUGCAUAGUGCUUGCCAAGUUUUGCAUCCAAAAUAGGUGUAGUCGUCUGCGUUGUAUAAUUUUACGUGGAAAAUACAACCAUCCUUGGUCUUCAAGUAAACUCUCUUUACCUCCAUAGUACGACUGAAACCUAUCUUAUCCAAGACAAAAACUCUUGCAUGGCAGGGGAUACGCUAGUAGAAUAGUAAAAAUAAAUAAAUUAUAAGUUGAAGCAAAUGAAGCAGAUGUCAUGCUUAAUUACGAAAAAAGACUUGUGGUUCUGACUUACUGUAUCCACUUCGAAGUUCUCGCUCAGCUUGAUGUUGAAGCGCCUAUCAUCAUCUAGGAAGAUACCGUCGCACAGGCCGCGCUCGUCUUCGCAGUAUUUGCAAAUACCGAAAUCUUUUUCGUCGUCAGACAUUUCCUAUGUUCAUAGUUGAAACAUUAAUUGAAAAUCGAUCAAAGACAACUACCAGGAUACUCAACACACAAAUCCAGGGCACUCGAUAUUUCCUACAUAUUCUGGCACAAGUCAUGCCAACAUUCAUGGAAAAAUCCGGCAUGACCUUUGCUAAAAUAGGACAUAUCGAGCGCCUGAAAUUUGCCGGAACGAAAAUGAAUCAACACUCCGUCAAAACAUAGGCCACUCGGAGGUGUAACCUGCAAACAUGACCGGCCACUUGGGCAAGCACAUAUCCUAUCUGAGCAACACAAGAUGUACAUUUCAAAAUAUCUUAUAGGACUCAUAUUGACAAGAGCAUUCAAUAAGCAAAACCAAAUCGUAAAAUAAAUAAGUAUUCAAAUUAGCAUGCAUUCAAUAAGCAAAAGUAAAUCAUCUCAUGCGUCCGUACAUCAUCGAAUAUUAUCACUAACACAUCCCGAAUCGUAUCAUACAUAUAACAUCACUAAUACAACUAAAACCCUAGCGCACGACGGGUAUCGGCGCAGGUGGUGGACACCCACAGAGAAGGAACCAUCACAUGAUCAUAGCCCCAGUGAGAUCCCUAGAGAACCUGUCAGGUAUUGGAGAACCUGUGCUCCAACGCAAACAAGUAGCGAAGGACAUGCGCGUCCUCCUCACUGACACGGUGAUGCACCACCUCAGCGGGGUGCUCGAGCCUAUGGACCAUCACUGGCCCAUGCGAACGCCAGCAAAGAAGGUUCGGGUCAAUGACAGGCUGACUCCUCACAAACCUGCGCUCCCCGGUAGGUAGCGCCUCCUAGUACCACCUUCUAAUGAGAGUAACUCUUCAACUCAUACAUUGUUUAAUUCCCCUUCGUGCUUACCGAAGGAUGGUUGCUAUGAUGAUUGUUAUGACCCCGUUGAUUCUCUUGAAAUAUCCCUCUUUGAUGAUGCUUGCUAUGCUUGUGGCCAAGAUGCCAAUAUGAAUUAUGCUUAUGAAGAUGAACUUGCUAUAGUUCCUUAUGUUAAACAUGAAAUUGUUGCUAUUGCAUCCACGCAUGAUAGUCCUAUUAUCUUUUUGAAUUCUCCCGUCUACACUAUAUCGGAGAAGUUUGCACUUAUUAAGGAUUAUAUUGAUGGGUUGCGUCUUAGUAUUACACAUGAUGAUUUUGAUGAGUAUAAUAUGCAUGUGCUUGCUGCUCCUACUUGCAAUUAUUAUGAGAGAGGUACUAUAUCUCCACCUCUCUAUGUUUCCAAUAUGAUAAAAUUGCAAGAAACUGUUUAUACAAUGCAUUGGCCUUUACUUUGUGUGCAUGAAUUGUUCUUUUAUGACAUGCCGAUGCAUAUGAAGAGAGUUAGACUUCGUUGUUGCAUGAUAUAUGUUGCUUUGUGCUCACUACUAAAUUACAAAUCAUUGUUAAUUAAAAUUGGCUUUGAUAUACCUUGGGAUCCGGGUGGAUUCACUACUUGAGCAUUAUAUGCCUAGCUUAAUGGCUUUAAAGAAAGCGCUGCCAGGGAGACAACCCGGAAGUUUUAGAGAGUCAUUUGUUUCUGUUGUGUGCUUUUAUAGAGUUUAAAUAUAAAAAUAAUGUGCCAAGGUUUGCCUUUAGGAUGUCUACAUUUGCUUGAUGGUUUGUACGAUGCAGGACAAAAACUUUGGCUGUAGUGCACGAUUUUACAUUUUUAGUUGGAACGUCAAAUGGUUCUGAUUCUUUUUGCACUGUCUUCCUAUACAAAUUGUUUAUUUUUCCUAAUUUUGGUAUAAGUUUAAAGUAUCAGAAGUAUGGUGAAUGUUCAAAUUAUUAUAGACUGUUCUGUUUUAGACAGAUUCUGUUUUUGAUGCAUAGUUUGCUUAUUUUGAUGAAACUAUCAAUUUAUAUUAGUGGAUUAAGCCAUGAAAAAGCUGUACUACAGUAGACACAAUGCAAAAAAUAAAUAUGAAUUGGUUUGCAACAGUACUUAGGGUAGUGAUUUGCUUUAUUAUACUAACGGAUCUUACCGAGUUUUCUGUUGAAGAUUUGUGUGGAUGAAGUGUUUGAUGAUCGAGAAGGUCUCAAUGUGAGAAGAAGGAAGAGAGGCAAGAGCUCAAGCUUGGGGAUGCCCGAGGCACCCCAAGUAAAUAUUCAAGGAGACUCAAGCGUCUAAGCUUGGGUAUGCCCCGGAAGGCAUCCCCUCUUUCUUCAACAAGUAUCGAUAUAUUUUCGGAUUCGUUUCGUUCAUGCGAUAUGUGCAAUCUUGGAGCGUCUUUUGCAUUUAGUUGUCAUUUUUCUUUUAUGCACCAUGCUGGUAUGAGAUAGUCCUUGGUUGAUUUAUAGAAUGCUCUAUACACUUCACUUAUAUCUUUUGAGUAUGGCUUUAUAGAAUGCUUCAUGUGCUUCACUUAUAUCAUUUGAAGUUUGGAUUGCAUGUUUCUCUUUACAUAGACAACCGCCAUUUGUAGAAUUAUCUUCUGCUUCACUUAGAUUUGUUAGAGCGUGGGCAUAUCUUUUGUAGAAAGAAUUAAAAUCUCUUGCUUCACUUAUAUCUAUUUAGAGAGAUGACAGGAAUUGAUCAUUCACAUGGUUAGUCAUAAAAUCCUACAUAAAACUUGUAGAUCACUGAAUAUAAUAUGUUUGAUUCCUUGCAAUAGUUUUGCGAUAUAAAGAUGGUGAUAUUAGAGUCAUGCUAGUGGGUAGUUGUGGAUUAUUAGAAAUACUUGUAUUGAGGUUUGUGAUUCCCGUAACAUGUACAUAUGGUGAACCGUUAUGUAACGAAGUUGGAGCAUGAGGUAUUUAUUGAUUGUCUUCCUUAUGAGCGGCGGUCGGGGGCGAGCGAUGGUCUUUUCCUACCAAUCUAUCCCCCUAGGGGCAUGCAUAGUAGUACUUUGCUUCGAGGGCUAAUAAACUUUUGCAAUAAAUAUGUGAGUUCUUUAUGACUAAUGUUAAAUCCAUGGAUUAUACGCACUCUCACCAUUCCACCAUUGCUAGCCUCUCUAGUACCGCGCAACUUUCGCCGGUACCAUAAACCCACCAUAUACCUUCCUCAAAACAGCCACCAUACCUACCUAUCAUGGCAUUUCCAUAGCCAUUCCGAGAUAUAUUGCCAUGCAACUUCCACCAUCAUCAUAUACAUGACUUGAGCAUUCAUUGUCAUAUUGCUUUGCAUGAUCGUAAGAUAGCUAGCAUUAUGUUAUCAUGGCUUGUCCGUUUUUUGAUGUCAUUGCUAUGCUAGAUCAUUGCACAUCCCGGUACACCGCCGGAGGCAUUCAUAUAGAGUCAUAUCUUUGUUCUAGAUAUCGAGUUGUAAUAUUGAGUUGUAAGUAAAUUAAAGUGUGAUGACCAUCAUUAUUAGAACAUUGUCCCAUGUGAGGUUAUCCAAAUAAAAGUGGCCAAAGAAGCGCCCCCCCCCCCAAAAAAAGAGAGAGGCCAAAGAAGCCUACAAAAAAAGAAAAAAAAGAAAAAAAAAUGAGAGAAAAAGAGAGAAGGGGCAAUGUUACUAUCAUUUUACCACACUUGUGCUUCAAAGUAGCACCAUGUUCUUCAUAUAGAGAUUCUCUUGAGUUAUCACUUUCAUAUACUAGUGGGAAUUUUCAUUAUAGAACUUGGCUUGUAUAUUCCAACGAUGGGCUUCCUCAAAUGCCCUAGGUCUUCAUAAGCAAGAAAGUUGGAUGCACACCUGUCGUGGUUUUGUCACGGCAGAUGUCCUAGAGAAAGGACUUAGUCGUGGAGCCAUCGCGACGGGUUAGCUUGAAGGGGUUAAAGCGGACACAGGGACGCAAGAGAGUUUAUACUAGUUCGGCCCCUUCGAUGAAGGUAAAAGCCUACGUCUAGUUCUGAUGGAAUUGAUGGGGUUUCGAUGACUAGGGAGCAAACAAGCUUCGCCUAAGUCUCGAGUUGUUGUCUGUUGUCCUUGAACCGCCACCGGGUCGUCCCCUUAUAUACACGGGUGACGCCCGUCGGUUUACAGAGUCCCAAUACCGGCUCAUAGAUGUGUCCGGUUUGGUCUCUACUUAUUCCUAACUUACAAUACAAGUUAACUACUAACACCGGUUUACAGCUACAGGCCUUGAACCGACCAUGGGCCUUGAGCCCUUAUCUGCCUUCUCGGGCUUUAACAUACUUAACUACUGACGAAAUUAAUCCGGCCCAGUUAGGCCGGUUUACGCCCAGUAGUAAUGUCCCCAACAUUAGGCCCCAGAUUGAUUUGAACAUGUUCAUGUCAAUCCUUUAGCAAAAAUCUUCAUCUUCAAUAUCUUCUGUAGUUUGUUGAACUGUCGUGAUGUCAUCUUCUAUGGUCGUUGUAAACCGACGUGACGUCACUUGUGUUGGGGAACGUAGUAAUUUCAACAAAUUUCCUACGCACACGCAAGAUCAUGGUGAUGCAUAGCAACGAGAGGGGAGAGUGUGAUCUAUGUACCCUUGUAGAUCGACAACGAAAGCGUUUGGUUGAUGUAGUCGUACGUCUCCACGGCCCAACCGAUCAAGCACCGAAACUACGGCACCUCCGAGUUCUAGCACACGUUCAGCUCGAUGACGAUCCCCGGGCUCCGAUCCAGCAAAGCGUCGGGGAGGAGUUCCGUCAGCACGACGGCGUGGUGACGAUCUUGAUGUUCUACCAUCGCAUGGCUUCACUUAAGCACCACUACAAUAUGACCGAGGUGGAAUAUGGUGGAGGGGGGCACCGCACACGGCUAAGGAACGAUCACAAAGAUCAACUUGUGUUCAUGGGGUGCCCCUUGCCUCAGUAUAUAAAGGAUGGAGGAGAAGGAGGCCGGCCAAGGCAAUUGCUGCGGCCAGGAUGUGGAGUCCUACUAGGACUCCAAGUCCUAGUAGGAGUCCACCAAGAGGGGAGGAAGGGAGAAGGAAGUGGAGGAGAAGGAAAGGUGGCCGGCCCCCUUUUCCCUAGUCCAAUUCGGACCAGAGGGGAGGGGGGCGCAGCAGCCCCUUGGCCCUUUCUCCUCUUCCCACUAAAGCCCAUCAAGGCCCAUUGCUUCUCCCGUAACUACCCGGUACUCCGAAAAAUACCCGAAUCACUCGGAACCUUUCCGAUGUCCGAAUAUAGUCGUCCAAUAUAUCGAUCUUUACGUCUCGACCAUUUCGAGACUCCUCGUCAUGUCCCCGAUCUCAUCCGGGACUCCGAACUCCUUCGGUACAUCAAAACUCAUAAACUCAUAAUAUAACUGUCAUCGAAACCUUAAGCGUGCGAACCCUACGGGUUCGAGAACGAUGUAGACAUGACCGAGACAUGUCUCCGGUCAAUAACCAAUAGCGGGACCUGGAUGCCCAUAUUGGCUCCUACAUAUUCUACGAAGAUCUUUAUCGGUCAGACCGCAUAACAACAUACGUUGUUCCCUUUGUCAUUGGUAUGUUACUUGCCCGAGAUUCGAUCGUCGGUAUCCAAUACCUAGUUCAAUCUCGUUACCGGCAAGUCUCUUUACUCGUUCUGUAAUACAUCAUCCCGCAACUAACUCAUUAGUUGCAAUGCUUGCAAGGCUUAAGUGAUGUGCAUUACCGAGAGGGCCCAGAGAUACCUCUCCGAUAAUCGGAGUGACAAAUCCUAAUCUCGAAAUAUGCCAACCCAACAUGUACCUUUGGAGACACCUGUAGAGCUCCUUUAUAAUCACCCAGUUACGUUGUGACGUUUGGUAGCACACAAAGUGUUCCUCCGGCAAACGGGAGUUGCAUAAUCUCAUAGUCAUAGGAACAUGUAUAAGUCAUGAAGAAAGCAAUAGCAACAUACUAAACGAUCGGGUGGUAAGCUAAUGGAAUGGGUCAUGUCAAUCAGAUCAUUCAUCUAAUGAUGUGAUCCCGUUAAUCAAAUAACAACUCUUUUGUCCAUGGUUAGGAAACAUAACCAUCUCUGAUUAACAAGCUAGUCAAGUAGAGGCAUACUAGUGACACUCUGUUUGUCUAUGUAUUCACACAUGUAUUAUGUUUCCAGUUAGUACAAUUCUAGCAUGAAUAAUAAACAUUUAUCAUGAUAUAAGGAAAUAAACAAUAACUUUAUUAUUGCCUCUAGAGCAUAUUUCCUUCAACUUGUUAUAAGGAAGCUUAUCCAUUAUGCUUCCUUGUUUAAUAGAUCUGCGGAAACCGAGGAGACAACUCCAUUUCGUGGCCCCUUGAUUGUCGCGCCUGACACAUGUCCUUUUCCCUUAUAAAUAGGACUGAAGGGUCAUUUCUUUUCUCCCCUUCGUGCCUUUCUUCUUCGUCUUCCUCGCAUCGCCAGCCUCGGAGCUCCGCUGCCGCCGUCAACUUCUACACCAACCUUGGCCGCUGCAUCAACCUGAACGCACCAGAGCACCGCGCCAACCUUCCGCGUCUUCCUCAACUCUGGUAAGCCUUCUGCUCUUCUCAACACAGAUCUGUUCUAGGGUUUCGUGUUCUUGCAGUGUUCAUCACCUGUUCGUGUUCAUAUACUAGCUCCUGGAUGCAUCUGUGAACCCCUGCUCUAUGUAGCGGUAGUUUUUAGUAUCCGCCUUUAGUUUCAUGCCCAAGACCAUAGAUCUCACAUAUAUUUCUGCCCAUUGAUUCAAUACUGUUCUGCUUUGAGCUUUUGAAUAUUUUUCUUAUUUUCUGAACUUGCUUCAGAUCCAACGCUGUAGAGAAAUCUUGUGAAAUCUGUUUCUGCAUACUUAUCCAUCCGCAAUCUCAGUUGUUUCAAUGCUUAGAUCAGGCGGUUUGACCUUGUAGAAAAAAUUGCCAAACCGGUAUAUACCAUUAGUCCCCUUGUUGAACCGCCAGAUGUUGUUGCUUCAUAAAACUCCGGUUUAGAUAGAUCUGUCUCCGGUUUAACAUUGCACAUACCAAUGUACCUUGAUCAAUGCAUUUUUGAACCGGGAUCUUCUACCUUGUAGAUUUCAUCAUGGCCAAGCAAGUAUAUGAGUGCAAUUGGGUUCCUUCUCACGUCACAGAGGCUCAACUGGACGAUUUAGUCCUGAUCGGCGCUUUAGGCAGCAAAGAUACCAUCCAUUGGAGGGCUCCUGGCAAAGAAUGCCCUCCUACACCUCAAGAAGGAGAGGUCGUUGUUUUCGUAGAUCACUUAGCCCGGGGAUUUAAGCCGCCCGGUUCUAAAUUUUACCGGGAUGUUUUAGCCGAUUUCCAACUCCAUCCACAAGACACUGGCCCCAACUCCGUCACAAACAUGUGUCACUUCCAAGUGCUCUGUGAGGCGUUCUUUCAAGAGGAGCCCACAGUGGAAUUGUUCAGAGACCUUUUCCAUCUAAACCGCCAUACUGAUUUUACCGACGGCUCCAAUACGGAGUUGGGUGGCGUGGCGAUUCAGAAAAGGAAAGAGGUCACAUACCCUCACGCCAAACUGCACAGCCACCCCAAAGAGUGGAAUCAGACAUGGCGAUUGCAAAGACACCUCUCGUGCUGGUGAAAAUCCCUUGCCUGGCUUUCGUCCGGAGCGGCUCAGCAAUACACACCCCUUUCCGCAAAGGUUGACUGCCCAGGAGAGAAGCAAAUAUGCUCCUCAACUGUCGAAGCUCAGAGCCUUUAUGGCCAACGGUUUAACAGGGGUUGAUCUCGCUCGCUGUUGGAUAUCAUGGAGCAUACUGCCUCUUAGUCAGCGCUCCGGUUUGAUGUGCGAAUAUACUGGUAGCGUUGAUGACCCACUGCGACAUUCCAACAUCCAGCUCACCGAUGAAGAAAUCAUAGAGGCUGUGAAUAAGAUGCUGAAUGAACCAGAACACAUCUGUGCUAAAAACGGCCUGCUUCCCUUCUGUGCCACCAACAAACCGCCAGCUGUAAGACUUUGAUUUUUCUUUUUGUUGAAUCUGUUAUUGAUAUAUCCUGGUCAUUGUUUAAUAUCAGUGUCUGUGUAAUCAGGGCAAUGAUCCAUUUUGGAGCAAGAAACUGCCGCAGGAGAAACCAGAAAAACCAGACAAACCGGAAAGAGCAACCCGGCAAAAGACUAAAGCUGUGAAGAAGACUGCCCACAGGAAAAGAACCAUUGCAUCCUCUAAUCCGGCCCCUGAUGAUGAUGUGGAUAAUCCGGACCUUGAGGUAGGGCUUGACUCACUUGGCUUAUUUUUCAUGCGUCUUAUUGAUGAUGAUAUUUGCCAGGAUGAUGCCGAAGCCAGCCAUGCUGAUGCUGCAGAGGUAAUUAUUCUCUCUUCCGAUUCAGAACCUUUGCCUUCACUAAAAAUCCGUCAGGCAAACCGGAAAGUUAAAUUUUCUCAUCCUCUUGCUUAUUUGGAUCCCAAAUUUCUUAUGAAGACCCAACAGCACGAAGCUCGUCGCACCACUCGGCAUAGUGGCCAGGUAGUUACCUCCGCCAGUUUACCGAACAGUCCGGUUCGGAAACGCCGCUCAGAGGUCUCUAAUUUGCUUGUCAGUGCUUGUCCUAAAGAGGGCUGCUUUCGUCAACCUCUUAAUCCAUCUGACUCCGAUUACCAGGUUACUUCCCACUCAUCCUCUGGCGAGUCAUCCUCUACUCAGUUGCCACCGCUCAAAACGGUGCUUGGGUAAGCUAUACUUAUCAUAAUAUUUGCAGCACAUCGCCUUGGAACAUAUGCUGUAUUUGAUUUUGUUAUUCCUUUCAGGGCCAAACCUAGGCCAAGCAAGAAGGCUCGCCUGGACAAAGCGGCCGAAGAAGAUGACGUCCUUGAACCGGGUAAGACACUAGAUCUUGAAACGGCUAUUCCUGAGGAUAUACCCAAUGAUCCACCGCAGCAAGACGACGAUCUUAUUGCUGAAGAGAGACCUAUUGAUACCUCAAAUCCUGUCAAUCAGCCCACAAGCUCCAUCCGGAUUGAGAAAUCCACCGGUCCAGCAAAGCCUACUGACAAGCCAACAACCCCAGUGCAAACCGGUGAUACCAAGGAUGAUGAGGUUGUCAUUACUGGCACUGGCCAUACAGAGCCAAGCAAUCCUGUCGCUUUGUCCAAACAUUCUGCCAAGGAAGAAUUUGCUGCCUUUGGCAAAGGCAAGUGGAAUGCUGAUCUGGCGACUUACGCUGCUCUGAACGCCCAAGAUAUCCAUUCCGGCUACCUGAACCGGCUGUAUACCAGUCGUGACUAUGAAGCCGGUCUGGUUAACAUGAUGAAAGAUAAAUAUGAGGUAACUUUCAUAUGCUCUUUCCUGCUUGUAUGCUUCAAUUCUUGCUGACUCUCCUAGCCCCCAAGGGCCGGUUUAUAAUCUUCUUUCAAACCGGGACUUACUAAUAUAAAUCUUAAUGCUUUGAAAUUCGCUGAUGUAGCCCCCAAGGGCCGGUUCAACUUAGCGUAGUUAAACUAGGACUUUAAGUAAUUGAGAUCGCCGCAUCAGAAAUAGACGAGCAAAUAGCCAUUAGCCCCCAAGUGCCAAGUUGAAUACUUGUAUUGAUAUUGGGACUUUGUAAGCAAUUGAAAGAUGAAGAUCAAAUAUGCAUUAGCCCCCAAGUGCCAAGUGCAUAACUUGUUACGUGGUUGGUACUUCAAUCCUUGUACCGUUUUGCUGAAUCAUAUAACUGUCUACAUGCAGGCUGAGCUGAAGACGAAAGAAAGCCAAGUCGCCGAUCUCCAAGAUAAUCUGAAAUCCUAACAAGCUGAAACCUCCAAAGCAAAAGAGGAAUUAACCAGCGCUUUAAGCGCCAUGGAACAACUUAAGGAGAACUUCAAGAAGAAGCGGGCGGAUUGGGCCACUGAAAAAUCUGCUUUAAUCAAACGAGCAGAAGAUGCCGAGGCUGCACUAAAACCGGUGGCGGAUGAACUGACCAGCAUAAAGCGGCACGUGCAUGCCAUGACCACUGCUAUCUUUGGUAAGCCGGUUUGACUUCUGAACUGAUUCUGCCGUCUUACAGAGCUGUCGGUUUGUUAACCCUUUAUGAUAUUUCAGGGACACGCAUUGGUCACUUGGGGUCAGAUGUGCGGAAGAAAUUGAAAGCCUCCUAUACUUUGGUCGAACAACUGUACACUGGUGCACAACGGAUCAUCUGUACUGCAUCCCACAACAAGCCGGCGCCCACCUUGAUUCAGGACACUCUGAUGAAACUGUCGGUGCUUCCUGCUGUGACGCCUGGAUAAUCAAGCUACAGUAAACCUUUGCUAAUGAUGCCACGUCACCUUGAUUACUGAUGCUAAUCUUGCGUUAGUUCGAAACCGAUUCUAAUUCAAAUUCAAAAUCAGGCAAACAUCAAAAAAAUUCAAAUAUUAAAAACCAAAAUGUCCGGGUUGUGUCAGUUAUUACACAGAUGACUAUGAUGAAUAAUCCACAUUUUUAUAUAAUGUAUAAAUGCACUAAAAUGAUUUAAACGGUAGCAAAAACAUUUUUUAAAUGCCUUUGGUAUUUUAUAAAACACAAAACUAAUUUAUUUUGGGUUAAAACCUUUUGUGGCUGAGGGUUAUUUUGAAACAUUAUUUUAGGAGUUGUUGUCAUAUUUUACUAAGUAAAAUAAUGUGGGUCUAAAAUUUAAAACAGAAAAUAAAUAUAAUAAGAAAAAAAAUAAAAAAAGGGGAAACAAGGGAGGCCACCCCCCGGCCACACUAGGCCUUGGCCCAGAUGGCCGGCCCAGCCGCCCGAACAGGCCAGCCCACCCGCACCACCACUUAACCCCCUCGGUCCUUAGACCGAAACCCUAACCACCACUUCUCCCCUGAUCCCACACUCGCACCCACUCCUCCCUCUCGCCCUUCCCCGAUCUGGAUCGGGGCAACCCCCCAGAUCCCAUCGCCCCAUCGCCGCCUCGACGUCGCCGUCACCCCUCUCGCGGAGUCGGCCCCUCCUGGCGCCCCACCGACGCCCCGUCGCCCGUCCAGGACCACGCCGACGUGGGACCCCGCCCGGAGCUACCUCGCCCUCACAUCGGACGAGGACCGCGCCGCCGGAGCCCCUCCCCCACCGGCCUGCUUCCCCGCCGCACGUCGUCCCCAGCAUCCACCCGAGUCCCGCUGCCCUGACCCUACUUCCUCCCCUGUGAGCCGCUCCCCUCCUCUCCNNNNNNNNNNNNNNNNNNNNNNNNNNNNNNNNNNNNNNNNNNNNNNNNNNNNNNNNNNNNNNNNNNNNNNNNNNNNNNNNNNNNNNNNNNNNNNNNNNNNNNNNNNNNNNNNNNNNNGUCGCCGCGUCCGGCCCGUGUGCCGCGCGCCCCUGGGGCAUCCAUGCCCCGCGCCCCGCCACGCCUCUUCUCCCCUCCCUAGCGCGCCUCCUCGACCGGCUCCUCCUGCCGGCGGAUCCCGGCGAGCCCCCGCGCUCCGGCCAUGGCCACCGGCGCAAGCCGUGCGCCCGCCCUUCGCACGCCCUCCCGUCGUCGCCCGCGCGCGCCCGGCCGCACUUGUUGCCGCCCCGGGCCGCGGCCUCCUCUCGGCGCCCUCCUCCGGCGACCGUCUGCCUCGCCACGGCCAUCUACGGCGCCCGACGCCGUGCUGCAUCGCCCCCCCCUCCGCUCCUGCGGUUCGUCGCCCGGGUCGGGCGCCUACAACGCCCGCACCCCGUACCCAGCACCCGCUAGGCCCCCCCGGGCCACUGACUAGGGGGCCCCGCCCCAGAACGGUUUCAAAAAAAAAGAAAAAAAUUUAAUUAAAUUAAAAAUAUAAAUAAAUAAAUAAGUAAAUAGAUAGAUAAACUUAAAUAUUAAUUAAUUAAUUAACUAAAUAAUUAACUUAAUUAAUUCUUUUUAAAGUAACUAAUUAAGAUUAAUUAACCUAAUUAACUGAUUAACUUAAUUAACUAAAAUAGUCAAUGACAUGCGGGACCCACACGUCAGCUUGACCCAGUCAACACCUCUGUUGACUGCUGACGUCAUGCUGACAUCAGCAAGCACUAUUCUGGAUAAUGUUGAAUUAAAAUAUAUAAAUUAAUCCUAAAAAUGAUUCAAAAACUUUAAAAAUUAAUAUAAAAUAAAUCAUAGCUCAGAUGGAAAAACUUUCUACAUGAAAGUUGCUCAGAACGACGAGACGAACCCGGAUACGUAGCCCGUUCGUCCACCACACACCCCUAACAUAUCAAACCCGCAACUUUCCCCCUCCGGUUCAUCUGUCAGAAAACACGAAACACCGGGAAUACUUUCCCGAUUGUUUUCCCCCCUUCACCGGUAUCACCUACUACCGCGUUAGGGCACACCGAACACCGCGUAUUGCCUUGUUAUAUUUUGUGAUGCUUUGUUUGCUCUGUAUUCAUUAUUUCUUCCCCCUCUUCUCUCCGGUAGACUACGAGACCGACGCUGCUGCUGACCAGUUCGACUACGGAGUUGACGACCCCUCUCUCUUGCCAGAGCAACCAGGCAAGCCCCCCCUUUGAUCACCAGAUAUCGCCUACUCUUCUCUAUACUGCUUGCAUUAGAGUAGUGUAGCAUGUUACUGCUUUCCGUUAAUCCUAUUCUGAUGCAUAGCCUGUCAUUGCUGCUACAGUCAUUGAUACCUUACCCGCAAUCCUAAAUGCUUAGUAUAGGAUGCUAGUGUUCCAUCAGUGGCCCUACACUCUUGUCCGUCUGCCUUGCUAUACUACUGGGCUGUGAUCACUUCGGGAGGUGAUCACAGGCAUAUACUAUAUACUUUACACUGUUACAUUACCUGUGAUACUGUUCGGAGUUGGGGGCUGAAGGGGCAGGUGGCUCCAUCCCGGUAGAGGUGGGCCUGGGUUCCCGACGGUCCCCGACUGUUACUUUGUGGCGGAGUGGCAGGGCAGGUUGAGACCACCUAGGAGACAGGUGGGCCUGGCCCUGUUCGGCGUUCGCGGAUACUUAACACGCUUAACGAGAUCUUGGUAUUUGAUCUGAGUUGGCUACGAGCUUAUACGCACUAACCAUCUACGCGGGAGUAGUUAUGGGUAUCCCGACGUCGUGGUAUCAGCCGAAGCACUUCAGACGUCAGCGACGGAGCGGCGCGCGCCGGAUUGGAACGUAAGCCUGCUCUUGUAUUAAGGGGGCUAGUUCUGCUUCCGGCCGCCGACGCAACAUGCAGGUGUGCUAUGGGCGAUGGGCCCAGACCCCUGUGCGCUUAGGUUUAGACCGGCGUGCUGGCCUCUCUAUUUUGCCUAGGUGGGGCUGCGACGUGUUGAUCUUCCGCGGCCGGGCAUGACCCAGGAAAGUGUGUCCGGCCAAAUGGGAUCAAGCGUGUUGGGUUAUGUGGUGCACCCCUGCAGGAAAGUUAAUCUAUUCGAAUAGCCAUGAUCUUCGGUAACAGGACGACUUGGAGUUGUACCUUGACCUUAUGACAACUAGAACCGGAUACUUAAUAAAACACACCCUUCCAAGUGCCAGAUACAACCGGUGGUCGCUCUCUCUCAGGGAUGCGAGGAGGGGAUCGCCGGGUAGGAUUAUGCUACUUGGAGAUGCGACUUGGAGAUGCUACUUGGAGAUGCUACUUGGAGAUGCUACUUGGGGGACUUCAAUCUACUCUCUUCUACAUGCUGCAAGACGGAGGCUGCCAGAAGCGUAGUCUUCGACAGGAUUAGCUAUCCCCCUCUUAUUCUGGCAUUCUGCGGUUCAGUCCACCGAUAUGGCCCUUUACACAUAUAUCCAUGCAUAUGUAGUGUAGCUCCUUGCUUGCGAGUACUUUGGAUGAGUACUCACGAUUGCUUUUCUCCCUCUUUUCCCCCUUUCCCUUCUACCUGGUUGUCGCAACCAGAUGCUGGAGCCCUGGAGCCAGACGCCACUGUCGACGAUGAUUCCUACUACACUGGAGGUGCCUACUACUACGUGCAGGCUGCUGACGACGACCAGGAGUAGUUAGGAGGAUCCCAGGCAGGAGGCCUGCGCCUCUUUCGAUCUGUAUCCCAGUUUGUGCUAGCCUUCUUAAGGCAAACUUGUUUAACUUAUGUCUGUACUUAGAUAUUGUUUCUUCCGCUGACUCGUCUAUGAUCGAGCACUUGUAUUCGAGCCCUCGAGGCCCCUGGCUUGUAUUAUGAUGCUUGUAUGACUUAUUUAUGUUUUAGAGUUGUGUUGUGAUAUCUUCCCGUCAGUCCCUGAUCUUGAUCGUACACAUUUGCGUGCAUGAUUAGUGUACGAUUGAAUCGGGGGCGUCACAAGUUGGUAUCAGAGCCAACUGCCUGUAGGAAUCCCCCUUCCAACUCCUUGGCUGAAGUCGAGUCUAGACUUUACAAAACUUUUACUAACAUGGCUGUGCGGCCCAUGGGCCCACGUCGCCAUUGGGUGAUACUAGGAUCUUUUACUCCUCGACCUUUACUCUGGGACUCUGAACUCUCUUCUACUCGGGUUAAACGAUUUCUACUAAAAUCUGACUUUAGGUUCUCGAAAAUACUUUCUCCCGGAGAGCCCCUUCAGUCCAGGUGAUCGCCGACUGCACCAGAAGAUUUCAAAGUUACUCGCCGAAACUCUUUUGAGACUUUGUGUCCGUUGCUUUUGCAAUUCCCUACCAUCGAAAUAUCCCUAUGGAUAAAUACAUACACUUGACGUUCUUACUUUUAUUCCCAGUUGAUCUUGUUAUUACAAGAUACCCCGAAAUUCUCUCUAUUGAUCCGAGAAUAUCUUGUGCCUACUGUCUUGCAAUUCCUUGUCACCUGAAUACCCCUAUGGAUAAUUCUCGCACUUGUCAAGUAUCCGCUUAUCCCCAGUUGUUCAUGUGUUUCACAAAAGUCUUCAAAAUAAUAUUCGAUCUUCCGAAAAUCCUCUGGAGCCUUUGGCUCUUGAAAUUCUUGCUUGAUUGCAUUAUGGUUAAUCCCAUAAGUCUCGUAGUCUUAAUGACAUUCCUUGUCAUUAUCAUUUGGAGUCUGUUGACUCAAUAUUCUGCGAAUACACGCAAUCAUCAUUGAUCCUUAUAAAUUACCUUUCCGGCUGAGCUUCCAGUCUUUUAACUGGAAUUGGUUCUCGACCAAUCCAAUUGUCGUUGAUUGUACCCUAAGGCUAUUCAACUUAUCCAUCCCUAAUCAGAGCAUUGCUUCUGAUCCCUUGUUUUGGAAAUCAUAAUUCCUUUGCAUUUGACAAUUGAGUUAGUCAGUUGUUUCUAUAAUCUGAUCUCCUUGCAUUCUUCUUCCUCUAGUUGAGUACCGUUACUCGUAUCAGAUCCUUUGUGGACCAUCAAGUCCUUUGAUGGAUUGUUAUCCGACAGUGUCCUUCACAUUUGAUCACUUUGUGAGUUCUUCCCCUGAUACAUAAUGCCUUUGUUAAGUUGUAUCCUCUGCUUGGCCAACCAUGCUCUGCUUUCGGGCUUGUGUUAUUUACUCUUGAAACUUGUGGUAUAUGUUUCUAAGAAGCCCCUAUGGGUUGAACAUAUGCCUUCUCUAAACCAUGUGAACCCGAAAGUUUUCACGAGUCAUACUCUUCUGGUGCUUCACAAGAUAAAAUUUCAACACUGCAACUUCAUCGAACGUGAGAAGUGAAUGAAAGGUUAUGCAUUGGAGAAGUGGGAGUCGACCUUGAAUUUGUGUUCAUGCCCAUGGACCCGAUGUACAUCUUCUCAUCGAAGCUUCUUUUAAAAUUAAUUAUUCCCUUGAUAUAAGUUCAUCUUAUAUCUGGGGUAUGGCCUUUUACAAUCGUGGUUUCGACCAUGUUCUCCUUUAAAUACCAUUUUCGAUGCAAGUGUAAGCACUUGUCUUCUGUGGAUCAAUACCCUGGUACAACCUCUACUUUGAUCUGUCGUCGAGUAUUACCCCCCUGGUAUCUCGAGAUUAUCAUGGAACUGCAUAACUUUUUAUGAGUUCUUCAUCAAGUGCUACCUUCCCACUGAUUCCAAUUUUUCGCGGGCUCUGAGUUAUUGAACACUCAAAGACACCGAUAACUGAACCGAGUCCGCUUUUCAGUUCAACAACUCUUCAGUAAGCUUCUAUAAGUACGAGUUUGUACCCGAUCACGCCAUUCCUAGCCUGUUUGGCUAUAUCAUUGUCGUGACGAUUCUAACUGUGCUACCUGGUCCUUAUUCUCGGAGCACCAAUUUUCGACGAUGAACUAACCUUAUGUCGAUCCUCAUCGUCAUAUCAUUUCGCCUUGAACAACAAGCUUGGUUUCGAGUUUUUGUCGUACCCUUGGUUCCAAUAACCUUUCACUUCAUCAUUACUUUGACUUGAUGUCGUCGCCGAUCGAUUACAUCUUCAUGAACUCUCGCGACAAAGGUGUCGUGAUCGUCAACAUUCUGAGCUCAUCCAGGAUAUCAAUUGGAUUCAUGAUGAGAAAUACCAUCCUUGCCUCGAUGAAUUGUAUUAUCAUCGACCACUUUAUUGCCUUCCCACCAACACAAGCUUGUUCAUGUUUGGUGUUAUACCUUGAGUUCCUUGCUGUCCAGCAAUUGAUCUUCCUUACCUCGGAAGUAUUACCAUCUCUUUUUGUCAAGAAUGUGGUGAGAAUUUCACCACCUCUUAAUAAUUCUUGAUAUCAUAAUACUUCUUGCCAUCUUCGUUCAUUCCUUGGUCCCCGUAUUGUUUUCAACCGGAAUACCGACAAUGGAGCUAUGACGUGUGAAUUCAAAACUUCUAGCAAGGGCGAUAGUUCAUUCUAAGUCCUUCGCUAAUUGAAUCACCAUUAUGACAUUGGUCGUGCAACCCAACCCAUAUUUCGGGCGCACAUUUCAACCAAUGUUUAAUUGUGUAUGUUUUCCUCGAGCAUACUUCCUUAUAUCAUUUGAUCUGGCAAAUGUUAUCUCCUUGUUCACUUAAUGGUGGAAAUCCAUCUUUUGGGGAAUCUCGGCGAAUUGCCGUUGAGUUCACCAGACACCUCCUUGUCCUCUCCUUGGGUUAAUGAUGAACUCUUGUUAAUGGAAGUCACUUCAUAGUUCAUUUCCCGAGAAUCUUACAGUGUCAUCCCGUCAAUUGGUGUUGCACCUUUCUUCUCAGGCAUCCUGAGCCUGAGGUAUCCUGACACCAAUCAUACCUGAAUCUCCAUCAGAUAUGAUGGUUAGGACAACUUUCCAAGAGUUAUGAUAUUGAUCCUUUGAUGACCCGGUAACAUGAUGUCAUGCCUAGCACCCNNNNNNNNNNNNNNNNNNNNNNNNNNNNNNNNNNNNNNNNNNNNNNNNNNNNNNNNNNNNNNNNNNNNNNNNNNNNNNNNNNNNNNNNNNNNNNNNNNNNNNNNNNNNNNNNNNNNNNNNNNNNNNNNNNNNNNNNNNNNNNNNNNNNNNNNNNNNNNNNNNNNNNNNNNNNNNNNNNNNNNNNNNNNNNNNNNNNNNNNNNNNNNNNNNNNNNNNNNNNNNNNNNNNNNNNNNNNNNNNNNNNNNNNNNNNNNNNNNNNNNNNNNNNNNNNNNNNNNNNNNNNNNNNNNNNNNNNNNNNNNNNNNNNNNNNNNNNNNNNNNNNNNNNNNNNNNNNNNNNNNNNNNNNNNNNNNNNNNNNNNNNNNNNNNNNNNNNNNNNNNNNNNNNNNNNNNNNNNNNNNNNNNNNNNNNNNNCCCCCCCCCCCGGCUGGAGGACCUAUCAUUAUAGAUUCCUUUUCAGCAAGGUUAUCCAUUCAUCCAUGAGGAAAUUGUAAGACUUAUUCUACAAGAUAUUCCUGAUGGAUCCUUCGUGUUUCCAAAGUCUGAUCUUCACACGAAGACCAUGUCAAGGCUAUCUCGAAGCAUGUCAAUGGUACUCCGAUUUUCAACAGGAACAUUUGAAGCACGAUGCUAAAUUUUAUUUAUCAUUUAUCCUAACACCGUUGUAUGGGUAAUGUCAUGAUAUUUCUCUCCCCUUUCCUGAAGGGUUUUCUAGUUAUAUCCUAUCAUGGAUAUCAUGCUCUACUUGUCCUUGGGAAGGAUUUACCCCUGAAAGAUGUGUUUAAACACAUUUUCCUUUCCAUUGUUCUGUUUAAACAUAAUAAUCACUUUUCCUUUCCAUUGGUUUGUUUAAACCUUCUUGUGAUCUAUAUAAUAUAAGCAGUAAUAUCCCUGCUCAUGUAAACACCUCGGUGUACCAUCUUGUCUGGUGUAACCCUGUUACUAUUGCUGAUGACAUUCCGGUAGCCACCGAUGGACGAGAACUUUGCCUAUUGGUCCGCCUCGUUCAACGAGCAGGAAAUGGUUCUCUUCGUCCCUCGCCCUUGGUAUCGAUGUUGUUGCCGACAUAUCUGACAGGCUACCCUUUGACACGCCUUACUAUCAUGACCGUGCAAAAUGUCGGCCCCCUUCCUACUUUCAACCACAUGGUGGGCCCAUAACCCACAGUUCCACAGGAUCGAAACCUGACUCUCCUCCACCCCCUCUUCCCAAGGUUGUUCCUCGCGUGCGGCCUCGUAUGUAAUUCACGGGCCACCGUCCCAAGUGAUCUAUUUUGGUAGCAGACGCAAUACUCAAUCUCAUUGCUCUGGACCCCUUUCGCAUGUUGUUUUAGACAUCGAACAAUGGCCUAUCCGUUUGAAACUUCUCAUGGUACCUUCUUACUUUACUCUUGAUAUUUUCUUAAGUUCAAUUCGAGAGUUACUUCCUACCCCAUUCCCUGAGUUAUGUACCAGAUAGUCAACCUGGUAAGGCCCGCCCUUCCCGAGUCUUCCCCCCAUAUCCUUUUCGUAAGUACGAUGAAGAUCCCGAAGAAAGGAUGGCGACUUCAUCAUUUUGACCUGAAGCAGAAGUAUGAAGGCAUCAAUAUAUUGGAUUGACCUCUUCGAGAAGAGCAAGCCAGGAUGAGAAGACCCGCUAUAUUCGUUACCAAACCUUCCCCCCUUACUCCCCUCUUAAAUCUCGGGACGAGAUUUCUUGUAGUGGAGGAGAAUUGUGACGCCCGGAUAAUCAAGCUACAGUAAACCUUUGCUAAUGAUGCCACGUCACCUUGAUUACUGAUGCUAAUCUUGCGUUAGUUCGAAACCGAUUCUAAUUCAAAUUCAAAAUCAGGCAAACAUCAAAAGUUUUCAAAUAUUAAAAACCAAAAUGUCCGGGUUGUGUCAAUUAUUGCACAGAUGACUAUGAUGAAUAAUCCACAUUUUUAUAUAAUGUAUAAAUGCACUAAAAUGAUUUAAACGGUAGCAAAAACAUUUUUUGAAUGCCUUUGGUAUUUUAUAAAACACAAAACUAAUUUAUUUUGGGUUAAAACCUUUUGUGGCUGAGGGUUAUUUUGAAACGUUAUUUUAGGAGUUGUUGUCAUAUUUUACUAAAUAAAAUAAUGUGGGUCUAAAAUUUAAAACAGAAAAUAAAUAUAAUAAGAAAAAUAAAAAAACAAAAAAAAAGGGGAAACAAGGGAGGCCACCCCCCGGCCACACUGGGCCUUGGCCCAGAUGGCCGGCCCAGCCGCCCGAACAGGCCAGCCCACCCGCACCACCACUUAACCCCCUCGGUCCUUAGACCGAAACCCUAACCACCACUUCUCCCCUGAUCCCACACUCGCACCCACUCCUCCCUCUCACCCUUCCCCGAUCUGGAUCGGGGCAACCCCCCAGAUCCCAUCGCCCCAUCGCCGCCUCGACGUCGCCGUCACCCCUCUCGCGGAUUCGGCCCCUCCUGGCGCCCCACCGACGCCCCGUCGCCCGUCCAGGAGCACGCCGACGCGGGACCCCGCCCGGAGCUACCUCGCCCCCACAUCGGACGAGGACCGCGCCGCCGGAGCCCCUCCCCCACCGGCCUGCUUCCCCGCCGCACGUCGUCCCCGGCAUCCACCCCGAGCCCCGCUGCCCUGACCCUACUUCCUCCCCUGUGAGCCGCGCCCCUCCUCUCCUUCCUCUGUCCCAUUCCGGCCCGCGCCCGGACUUGCCCCUACACCGCGGUCGCCGCGUCCNNNNNNNNNNNNNNNNNNNNNNNNNNNNNNNNNNNNNNNNNNNNNNNNNNNNNNNNNNNNNNNNNNNNNNNNNNNNNNNNNNNNNNNNNNNNNNNNNNNNNNNNNNNNNNNNNNNNNNNNNNNNNNNNNNNNNNNNNNNNNNNNNNNNNNNNNNNNNNNNNNNNNNNNNNNNNNNNNNNNNNNNNNNNNNNNNNNNNNNNNNNNNNNNNNNNNNNNNNNNNNNNNNNNNNNNNNNNNNNNNNNNNNNNNNNNNNNNNNNNNNNNNNNNNNNNNNNNNNNNNNNNNNNNNNNNNNNNNNNNNNNNNNNNNNNNNNCGUACCCAGCACCUGCUAGGCCCCCCCCCCCGGGCCACUGACUAGGGGGCCCCGCCCCAGAACGGUUUCAAAAAAAAGAAAAAAAUUUAAUUAAAUUAAAAAUAUAAAUAAAUAAAUAAGUAAAUAGAUAGAUAAACUUAAAUAUUAAUUAAUUAAUUAACUAAAUAAUUAACUUAAUUAAUUCUUUUUAAAGUAACUAAUUAAGAUUAAUUAACCUAAUUAACUGAUUAACUUAAUUAACUAAAAUAGUCAAUGACAUGCGGGACCCACACGUCAGCUUGACCCAGUCAACACCUCUAUUGACUGCUGACGUCAUGCUGACAUCAGCAAGCACUAUUCUGGAUAAUGUUGAACUCAAAUAUUUAAAUUAAUCCUAAAAAUGAUUCAAAAACUUUAAAAAUUAAUAUAAAAUAAAUCGUAGCUCAGAUGGAAAAACUUUCUACAUGAAAGUUGCUCAGAACGACGAGACGAACCCGGAUACGUAGCCCGUUCGUCCACCACACACCCCUAACAUAUCAAACCCGCAACUUUCCCCCUCCGGUUCAUCUGUCAGAAAACACGAAACACCGGGAAUACUUUCCCGAAUGUUUUCCCCCCUUCACCGGUAUCACCUACUACCGCGUUAGGGCACACCGAACACCGCGUAUUGCCUUGUUAUAUUUUGUGAUGCUUUGUUUGCUCUGUAUUCAUUAUUUCUUCCCCCUCUUCUCUCCGGUAGACUACGAGACCGACGCUGCUGCUGACCAGUUCGACUACGGAGUUGACGACCCCUCUCUCUUGCCAGAGCAACCAGGCAAGCCCCCCCUUUGAUCACCAGAUAUCGCCUACUCUUCUCUAUACUGCUUGCAUUAGAGUAGUGUAGCAUGUUACUGCUUUCCAUUAAUCCUAUUCUGAUGCAUAGCCUGUCAUUGCUGCUACAGUCAUUGAUACCUUACCCGCAAUCCUAAAUGCUUAGUAUAGGAUGCUAGUGUUCCAUCAGUGGCCCUACACUCUUGUCCGUCUGCCUUGCUAUACUACUGGGCUGUGAUCACUUCGGGAGGUGAUCACAGGCAUAUACUAUAUACUUUACACUGUUACAUUACCUGUGAUACUGUUCGGAGUUGGGGGCUGAAGGGGCAGGUGGCUCCAUCCCGGUAGAGGUGGGCCUGGGUUCCCGACGGUCCCUGACUGUUACUUUGUGGCGGAGUGGCAGGGCAGGUUGAGACCACCUAGGAGACAGGUGGGCCUGGCCCUGUUCGGCGUUCGCGGAUACUUAACACGCUUAACGAGAUCUUGGUAUUUGAUCUGAGUUGGCUACGAGCUUAUACGCACUAACCAUCUAUGCGGGAGUAGUUAUGGGUAUCCCGACGUCGUGGUAUCAGCCGAAGCACUUCAGACGUCAGCGACGGAGCGGCGCGCGCCGGAUUGGAACGUAAGCCUGCUCUUGUAUUAAGGGGGCUAGUUCUGCUUCCGGCCGCCCACGCAACGUGCAGGUGUGCUAUGGGCGAUGGGCCCAGACCCCUGUGCGCUUAGGUUUAGACCGGCGUGCUGGCCUCUCUGUUUUGCCUAGGUGGGGCUGCGACGUGUUGAUCUUCCGCGGCCGGGCAUGACCCAGGAAAGUGUGUCCGGCCAAAUGGGAUCAAGCGUGUUGGGUUAUGUGGUGCACCCCUGCAGGGAAGUUAAUCUAUUCGAAUAGCCGUGAUCUUCGGUAACAGGACGACUUGGAGUUGUACCUUGACCUUAUGACAACUAGAACCGGAUACUUAAUAAAACACACCCUUCCAAGUGCCAGAUACAACCGGUGGUCGCUCUCUCUCAGGGAUGCGAGGAGGGGAUCGCCGGGUAGGAUUAUGCUACUUGGAGAUGCUACUUGGAGAUGCUACUUGGAGAUGCUACUUGGAGAUGCUACUUGGGGGACUUCAAUCUACUCUCUUCUACAUGCUGCAAGACGGAGGCUGCCAGAAGCGUAGUCUUCGACAGGAUUAGCUAUCUCCCUCUUAUUCUGGCAUUCUGCAGUUCAGUCCACCGAUAUGGCCCUUUACACAUAUAUCCAUGCAUAUGUAGUGUAGCUCCUUGCUUGCGAGUACUUUGGAUGAGUACUCACGGUUGCUUUUCUCCCUCUUUUCCCCCUUUCCCUUCUACCUGGUUGUCGCAACCAGAUGCUGGAGCCCUGGAGCCAGACGCCAUUGUCGACGAUGAUUCCUACUACACUGGAGGUGCCUACUACUACGUGCAGGCUGCUGACGACGACCAGGAGUAGUUAGGAGGAUCCCAGGCAGGAGGCCUGCGCCUCUUUCGAUCUGUAUCCCAGUUUGUGCUAGCCUUCUUAAGGCAAACUUGUUUAACUUAUGUCUGUACUCAGAUAUUGUUGCUUCCGCUGACUCGUCUAUGAUCGAGCACUUGUAUUCGAGCCCUCGAGGCCCCUGGCUUGUAUUAUGAUGCUUGUAUGACUUAUUUAUGUUUUAGAGUUGUGUUGUGAUAUCUUCCCGUGAGUCCCUGAUCUUGAUCGUACACGUUUGCGUGCAUGAUUAGUGUACGAUUGAAUCGGGGGCGUCACACCUGCCCGGGUUGAAGAGCUGAAGAAAUCUGCUGCUCGAACCGGUGCGAUCAAUGCCUUAAUCCGGGCAAAAGCUUGGGUGCCGGAUUUUGAUCCUAUUGAAGCGGCUCAGGUCUAUCCCAGCUUGAAGGAAGACGGGUCAGAGUUUGGUGAAGCGGAUCUGCGAGCAAUAAACCGGGAGGUGCGUCCGCUAGCUUGUCAAUUGGCUGAAGAAGCAGACUUCUCUCAUUAUCAAGCCCAAUAUGACAAUCAAAACAAGCGAAUAGCUGCACCAAUUCAUGAAGCGGAAAAUCUUAUCCCUCCAAUCCGUAAGCAUACUUACGCUCCCGAUAUUGACCCGUCGUUGCUGAUCCAUGAUGAAGCUGUUUUUCAAGCAUUAAUGGGAAUUGACUGGACAACUGUUGAUUUCCAGCCGCUGGGUAGAGAAACUGAAGCUGAAGCGGCGCAGGACGAUCCACAACCAUCAGGCCAGGCUGGUGGCCAAGCUUGAACCGGAAGCCGGUUUAAAACUGCUUCUUCCUUGCGAAAAACAAUGAUCUUAUUGUGGGCACCAUGUUGCCUUGUAAUAGGCUAGCUGAUACUUUUGAUGUUGAUAUGCCUUCGUGCAUAAUUACUGCAACUUGCUCUUCCUUUGGGUGAUGAACUUUCCAAAGUUCUUUCUGUAAUAAAAAACCUUAAAGUGCCACCGCGGUUGUACCAUCAGGCGGAAUAUGAUGUCUGCAUACAUGAAAUCAAAACAUCCGAAAAUGUUUAAGUAUAUGGCCAAAUUUUUGAGAUACAUAAUACCUGCCAUCGUUGAGUGUGAAGUUGGCUUGGCCAAUCUUGAAGCGGAAUUUUAUAAACCCACCCUGUUGGAGGAGAUAGCAGCUCCUAUAUAUGAUGCCGGUUUACCAUGUAAACCGUGCCGGGCUAUAAUAAACACCGUGUUACUCCAUAAUAGGAUGUUAACAAAAAAUCAAACCGAGCAAAUAGUCGCCUGGAUUAAAAAUGGACCAUGUUCCGUCAAUUGACAGUGUGAACCGGUUGAAAUUUUUGUCGGUUUAAAAAAUGCAAUAAAAAGAAAGGAAUAUCUUUCAAAGAAAAGUGUGAAGCAAAGGCAAUGACAAAACCGUUUGCAAAAAAAGGCUUAUUUGAGCUGAUCAGAUGGCGUUACCAUGGCCGAACACGACCAAGCUCCCGAUAGGUGUAACUAUGGUUCUAGUCAGCCAGGUCCCCAAAUGAAACCAUGGCAUUUAUGCCGAUCAAGUGGCAUGGCAAUGGUUCGGGUUCGACCAAGCCCCCAAGUGAUUCUGUGGCCUUAGGCCGAUCAAGAGGCAUGACUGGUUCAGACGUGACCAAGUCCCCAAGUGAUCUGGUGGCUCUCGCCUAUCAAGAGGUAUUGUAUUGGUUCGGACACGACCAAACCCCCAAGUGAUAUAACAUGAUGCUUUUAAAAAGCUAACUCAAGGGGUAAACCGGAGGCCGCUUUAGAACAACUUCGUGUAACCACACAUGAUGUAAAAGAACAGAUACCCCGCUUUAGCUGAGGUUCCGGUUUAUUAUAUUUAAACAUAAUAUAUACAUCGUCGUAAUAUGUACAUAAGUAGAGCCAAUGGCUCAGGUAUAGUAAGGCCGAAGAUGAGCUAUGUUCCACGGCCUGUUGGUCUCCUCCUCUGAUGUACGUGAGUCCUUAUGCUCUUGAAUAUCGAUCAGAUAGUAUGACCCGUUGUGCAGAUUCUUGCUGACCACGAAAGGCCCCUCCCAAGGUGGGGAUAGCUUAUGCAUAUCAGUCUGAUCUUGGAUGAGCCGAAGCACCAAAUCUCCUUCUUGAAAGGUUCUGGUUCUGACUCGGCGACUAUGAUAACGACGAAGAUCCUGUUGGUAAAUCGCCGAGCGGGCAGUUUCUAUGUCACGUUCUUCAUCCAACAGGUCCAAAGCGCCUUGCCGUGCUGUCUCAUUGUCCGCUUCAACAUACGCCGCCACACGGGGUGUAUCAUGACGGAUAUCACUGGGGAGAACCGCCUCCGCUCCGUAAACCAUGAAGAACGGUGUGUAUCCUGUUGAUCUGUUGGGUGUAGUAUUGAUGCUCCAUAACACAGAUGGUAACUCUUCUACCCAACAAGCCGGUGUUCUCUUCAAAGGAACCAUAAGCCGGGGCUUGAUGCCUCUCAAGAUCUCUUGAUUAGCCCUUUCUGCUUGACCAUUGGACUGUGGAUGUGCCACCGAUGAAACGUCGAGCCGGAUGUGCUCCCGUUUGCAGAACUCCUUCAUGGCACCUUUGGACAAAUUGGUACCAUUAUCUAUGAUGAUACUGUGUGGAAAGCCAAACCGAAAAAUCACUUUUUUGAUGAACUGAACCGUCGUGGCCGCAUCACGCUUGCUAACAGGUUCUGCCUCCACCCACUUUGUAAACUUGUCAACCGCCACCAGGAGGUGGGUCUUCUUAUCUUUGGACCUUUUGAAAGGCCCAACCAUAUCCAGCCCCCAAGUCGCAAACGGCCAAGUAAUUGGAAUCAUUCUCAAUUCUUGAGCCGGUACAUGAGCACGUCUUGAAAACUUUUGGCAACCAUCACAUCGUCUGACCAGAUCCUCCGCAUCAGCAUGAGUAGUUAACCAAUAGAAGCCAUGGCGAAACGCUUUAGCCACUAGAGAUUUUGAACCGGCGUGGUGACCACAAUCUCCUUCGUGGAUCUCACGCAAAAUUUCACGGCCUUCUUCAGGAGACACACAGCGUUGAAACGCCCCUGACACACUACAAUGAUGCAACUCGCCGUUGAUAAUAGUCAUGGACUUGGAUCGCCGGAUUAUUUGUCGGGCCAGAGUCUCCUCCUCUGGUAACUUGCCCCGGUUCUUGUACGCCAGGUAAGGAAGCGUCCAAUCCGGAAUAACACGAAGAGCCGCCACCAAUUGAGCCUCCGGAUCAGGAAUAGCCAAAUCUGCUUCACCAAGGAUCUUGACCGACAUGUUGUGCAGCACAUCCAGAAAAACAUUGGGCGAGACCGGUUUGCGCUGAGAGCCCAGCCGGCUUAAAGCGUCCGCCGCUUCAUUUUUCCGCCGGUCCACGUGUUCCACCUGAUAGCCUUUAAAAUGACCUGCAACAAUAUCCACCUCACGACGAUAUGCUGCCAUGAGUGGGUCCUUGGAGUCCCAAGUGCUAGACACUUGUUGAGCCACGAGGUCCGAGUCACCAAAACACUUAACUCGACUUAGAUUCAUCUCCUUAGCCAUCCGGAGACCAUGGAGCAAGGCUUCAUACUCAGCUGCAUUGUUAGUACAAGGGAACAUUAAGCGGAGAACGUAACAAAACUUAUCACCUUGUGGAGAAGUUAAUACGACUCCAGCCCCGAGCCUUCCAAUUGCCUGGAUCCGUCAAAAUGGAUGGUCCAAUAUGUGUGAUCCGGCUUUUCUUCAGGUGCUUGCAUUUCCGUCCAAUCAUUGAUGAAAUCAACAAGUGCUUGAGACUUAACCGCCAUCCGAGGCACAUACUUCAAACCGUGCGGCCCAAGCUCUAUAGCCCACUUGGCAAUCCGGCCAGGUGCUUCCCGGUUCUGGAUGAUAUCCCCCAAAGGAGCAGAACUGACCACCGUAAUUGGGUGCCCUUGGAAGUAUUGUUUAAGCUUCCAGCUUGCCAUAAAAACUCCAUACACGAGCUUCUGCCAAUGCGGAUACCUUUGCUUGGACUCAAUGAGUACCUCGCUGAUAUAAUAGACUGGACGUUGAACCGGAUGCUCCUUACCUGCCUCCUUUCGCUCCACUACAAUAGCCACGCUGACCGCCCGAGCAUUAGCAGCAACAUAUAGCAGUAACGGCUCCUUGUCAACGGGAGUGGCGAGCACAGGCGGAUUGGUUGCGGCUUUAAGUCCUCAAAUGCUUCAUCAGCAGCAGAACUCCAGACAAACUGAUCCGUCUUCUUGAACAUCUGAUACAAAGGGAUUGCCUUGUUACCAAGACGACUGAUAAACCGGCUUAACGCGGCAAUCCGGCCUGCCAGGCGUUGAACAUCAUUGAUACACUUCGGUUUAGCCAGGGAGGUGAUGGCUGUGAUCUUCUUCGGAUUAGCCUCAAUUCCCCUAUUGGACACCAGAAAACCCAAUAACUUGCCCGUCGGUACACCGAAGACGCACUUGUCCGGAUUAAGCAUCAUCUUGUAUGUCCUCAGGUUAUCAAAGGUUUCCUUCAAAUCAUCAAUCAGAGUCUCCUUCUCCCUGGAUUUAACCACGAUAUCAUCCACAUAAGCAUGUACAUUACGGCCAAUCUGUUUGUGAAGACAAUUUUGCACACACCGUUGAUAAGUUGCCUGGGCACUCUUGAGCCCAAAGGGCAUAGACACAUAGCAGAAGGCUCCAAAGGGAGUUAUGAACGCCAUCUUCUCCUGGUCUUUAACUGCCAUUUUGAUCUGAUGAUAGCCAGAAUAUGCAUCCAAAAAACUUAAACGCUCACAACCCGCCGUAGCAUCAAUAAUUUGAUCAAUAUGGGGGAGGGCAAAAGGAUCUGCUGGACAAGCCUUAUUAAGAUCUGUGUAAUCCACACACAUGCGCCAGGUGCCAUUUUUCUUAAGGACCAGCACUGGAUUGGCAAGCCACUCAGGGUGAAAAACUUCAACAAUAAAGCUAGCUGCUAAGAGCCUGGCUACCUCUUCUCCAAUCGCCUUGCGUCUUUCUUCAUUAAACCGGCGGAGGAACUGUUUCACCGGUUUGUAUUUAGGAUCCACAUUAAGGGUGUGCUCAGCGAGUUGCCUCGGUACACCUGGCAUGUCAGAGGGCUUCCAUGCAAAAAUGUCCCAAUUCUCACGGAUGAACUCGUUGAGCGCGCUUUCCUAUUUCGGAUCCAAGUUGGCACUGACGCUGAACUGCUUGCACGAAUCGCCAGGUACGAAGUCAACAAGCUUAGUUUCUGCUGCCGAUUUGAACUUCAGGGCCGGAUCAUGCUCCGUAGUUGGCUUCUUUAAUGGAGUUAUGUCCGCCGGAUCAACAUUGUCCUUAUAAUACUUCAGCUCCUCGGUGGCACAAACCGACUCUGCAUAGGCCGCAUCUCCUUCCUCGCACUCCAAAGCGAUUUUGCGGCUUCCAUGAACCGUUAUUGUCCCCUUGUGACCCGGCAUCUUGAGCUGCAAAUAUACAUAACAGGGCCGUGCCAUAAACUUGGCGUAGGCCGGUCGCCCAAACAGGGCGUGAUAUGGACUUUGGAUUUUCACCACUUCAAACAUCAAUGUCUCUGACCUGGAAUCAUGAUCAUCCCCAAAGGCCACUUCCAGAGCUAUCUUACCAACAGGAUAUGCUGAUUUACCAGGUACUACACCGUGGAACACCGUAUUAGAAGGUUUGAGAUUUUUAUCUGUUAGUCUCAUACGAUGGAAGGUCGCAUAGUACAAGAUAUUAAUGUUGCUCCCCCCAUCCAUGAGCACCUUGGUGAACUUGUAACCUCCCACCUAAGGCGCCACCACCAGAGCCAACUGACCCGGAUUAUCAACCUGGGGAGGGUGAUCCUCUCUCCUCCAUAUGAUUGGCUGUUCAGACCAGCGUAGAUAACGGGGUAUGGCCGGUUCAACAGAGUUGACCGCCCGCCUCUGAACCUUCCGGUCUCGCUUGUCCAAGCUAGUGGUGAAGACAUGGUACUGCCCACUGCUCAACUGCUUUGGGUUGCUCUGGUAACCUGACUGUUGCUAUUGUUGGUUGUAACCACCCUAGUUGUUUUGGCUAUUUUGAUUAUUAUGUCCGCCCGGAUUACCAUUAAAUCCUGAACCGGAAUUUCCUCCACCGUAACCCGGCCCGGACCCUAAGCCACCGCCGGAGCCAUGAUCAUACCGGAAAGCAUUAGAAUUCUUGAACUCCUGCAUAAUGAAGCAAUCCUUCCAAAGGUGGUUCGCUGGCACCUCCUUCGUCCCAUGUCUUGGGCAGGGCUGGCUCAGUAGAUAGUUUAGGCGGUCCAGGUUAGGGUUGGACGCCCCAUUGCAAUUUUUUGGUUUACCCUUGCGUCGCUGGCCAUUGUCCUGCAUGUUGGUAUUAGCCACAAAGUCCAUGUUACCAUCCGCUUUACGCUUGCCUCCACCACCAUUGCCUGCCCAGUGAUGCUGCUGACCUUUGGAGUUGUUGUUCCUCUUUCCCUUCCCUGCCUUGUCAUCAUCAGAUUCGGGAUCCUUGGUACUAUCAGAAUCAGCAUACUUUACCAAAGCAGCCAUGAGGGUUCCCAUGUCAGUGCAAUGACGCUUCAUCCGUCCCAACUUCAGCUUUAGGGGCCCAAACCGGCAGUUGCCUUCUAGGGUUAAUACAGCGGUGUCAGCGUUGAUGCGGUCUGAUGAAUGCAACACUUGUGAAACCCGGCGCACCCAAUGAGUCAUCGAUUCUCCUUCCUCCUGGACGCAGGCAGCUAAGUCCACUAUUGACAUAGGUUGUUUACAUGUAUCCUUGAAAUUGCUGAUAAACCGGGCUCGUAAUUGGGCCCAUGAACUGAUAGAAUUAGCCGGCAAGCUUUUUAACCAAGUACGGGCCGUUCCUUCAAGCAUCAUGGUGAAGUAUUUCGCACACGCUGCGUCAUCCACAUCAAGCAUCUCCAUGGCCAUCUCAUAUCUCUCCACCCAUGUCUCUGGAGGUUGAUCCGCCGUGUAAUUUGGUACUUUGCGCGGGCCUUUGAAAUCCUUGGGCAGGCGCACAUUGCGUAAAGCGGGGACAAGGAAAGGAACCCCCAAAGAACUAGAAGUAACACCAGGUUCGAUCGAGAUAGUUGGACGAACCGGCGUGAGCUGCCGAGCCUGAUACUAUGCGGCUAACUCAGCCUCCCUGCGCGCUCGGGCCCAGUCCACCACUUCCUGAGCAUUAUCAGCACCACCCGCCGGGCUGUUACCACGGGGUGCCCCACGUCAUUCAUUACUCGACGCUGCCGGUUCAUCCAUAUGUCUGCUAUAGCUCCGGCUUAGACGGGGGGUUGAGUGGAUCUGGUCGCGGCUGUAUGAGUAUGCUUCCUGUUGGACCAAAGCUGUCCUCAGAAGCUCCUUGACCCGUCGCGUUUCUACUGCCUGCGGUGAGUCACCUUCAAUUGGAAUGGCCUCCAGCCGUGCAGCAGCGGCGACGAGAUUGUCCAUUGGGUUGGACUAGUGACCCGGAGGUGUUAAACCAGCCUGAGGUAUAACAUUGUUUUGACGAGGCGGGUCCAUCCGACGAGGCUGAACCGGUGUACCGGUCCCAGGAGCUUCCUCCCGGUUUCCCUCCAGCGGAUUACCGGCUCCUACUCCCGGGGUGUUGAAAAGGUCUCUGGCUUCGAAAACCAGAGGCAAACGGGAUCGGUACUUCCUCCUCAUGACUUCAUGCGACGCGCUCUGGUCCAGCAUGAGCCUGUAGGCUUGUGCGCCUAGAGUGGCCCGCUCUGUGGCCAUCCUGGUGUCCUCAACUGCCAGAUCCGCCUUGGCCUGGGUGAUCUGUUCCUUUACCUUUGCAAUCUCCGCGUUGUGGACGUCCUGAUCCGCCGGAUUAGCUUCCGCCAUCAGCACAGCCAAUGCAUCAAAUAGCUCUAAUAGAACUUGAGCCGGCAGGCGCACAGGGCCUCCUGCCCCGGCAGCCGUCGCCGCUGCUGAACCGGAGGUUGUUGCCGCAGCCGUUGAAGAAUGAAGCGCUGCUUGUGUGCCGGCCAUAAAUAUUCCGACUCGGUGGGCGCCAACUGUCGUGGUUUUGUCACGGCAGAUGUCCUAGAGAAAGGACUUAGUCAUGGAGCCAUCGCGAUGGGUUAGCUUGAAGGGGUUAAAGCGGACACAGGGAUGCAAGAGAGUUUAUACUAGUUCAGCCCCUUCGAUGAAGGUAAAAGCCUACGUCUAGUUGUGAUGGAAUUGAUGGGGUUUCGAUGACUAGGGAGCAAACAAGCUUCGCCUAAGUCUCGAGUUGUUGUCUGUUGUCCUUGAACCGCCGCCGGGUCGUCCCCUUAUAUACACGGGUGACACCCGUCGGUUUACAGAGUCCCAAUACCGGCUCAUAGAUGUGUCCGGUUUGGUCUCUACUUAUUCCUAACUUACAAUACAAGUUAACUACUAACGGCGGUUUACAGCUACAGGCCUUGAACCGACAUUGGGCCUUGAGCCCUUAUCUGCCUUCUCGGGCUUUAACAUACUUAACUACUGACGAAGUUAAUCCGACCCAGUUAGGCUAGUUUACGCCCAGUAGUAAUGUCCCCAACAACACCCGCUUAGUUUUAGUUUGAGCUUUCAUAUACUUAUAGCUCUAGUGCAUCCGUUGCAUAGCAAUCCCUACUCACUCACAUUGAUAUCUAUUGAUGGGCAUCUCCAUAGCCCGUUGAUACGCCUAGUUGAUGUGAGACUAUCUUCUCCUUUUUGUCUUCUCCACAACCACCAUUCUAUUCCACCUAUAGUGCUAUGUCCAUGGCUCACACUCAUGUAUUGCGUGAAGGUUGAAAAUACUGAAGCGCAUUAAAAAGUAUGAACCAAUUGCUCGGCUUGUCAUUGGGGUUGUGCAUGAUGUGAGUAUUUUGUGUGGUGAAGAUGGAGCAUAGCCAGAAUAUAUGCUUUUGUAGGGAUAACUUUCUUUGGCCUUGUUGUUUUGAAAAGACAUGAUUGCUUUAUUAGUGGGCUUGAAGUAUUAUUGUUUUUAUGUCAAAUGAUAGACUAUUGCUUUGAAUCACUCGUAUCUUAAUAUUCAUGCCAUGAUUAGAUAUGUGAUCAAGAUUAUGCUAGGUAGCAUUCCACAUCAAAAAUAUUCUUUUUUAUCAUUUACCUACUCGAGGACGAGUAGGAAUUAAGCUUGGGGAUGCUGAUACGUCUCCGUCGUAUCUAUAAUUUUUGAUUGUUCCAUGCCAAUAUUCUACAACUUUCAUAUACUUUUGGCAACUUUUUAUACUAUUUUUAGGACUAACAUAUUGAUCCAGUGCCCAGUGCUAGUUCCUGUUUGUUGCAUGUUUUUUGUUUCACAGAAUAUCCAUAUCAAACGGAGUCCAAAUGGAAUAAAAACUGACAGAGAUUUUUUUGGAAUAUAUAUGAUUUUUGGGAAGAAAAAUCCACGCGAGACGGUGCCCGAGGUGGCCACGAGGCAGGAGGGCGCGCCUGCCCCCCCCCCCAGGUGCGCCCCUGACCCUCGUGGGCCACCCGUAAGACGGUUGGUGCCCUUAUUUCGCUGCAAGAAAGCUAAUUUCCGGAUAGAGAUCGUGUCAAAAUUUCAGCCCAAUCGGAGCUACGGAUCUCCGGGAAUAUAAGAAACGGUGAAAGGGAAGAAUCUGAGAACGCAGAAACAGAGAGAGACAGAGAGACAGAUCCAAUCUCGGAGGGGCUCUCGCCCCUCCCGUGCCAUGGAGGCCAUGGACUAGAGGGGCAGCCCUUCUCCCAUCUAGGGAGGAGGUCAAGGAAGAAGAAGAAGGAGGGGGGCUCUCUCCCCCUCGCUUCCGGUGGCACCGGAGUGCCACCGGGGGCCAUCAUCAUCAUCGCGGUCUAUACCAACACCUCCGCCAUCUUCAUCAACAUCUCCAUCACCUUCCCUCCUCUAUCUACAGCGGUCCACUCUCCCACAACCCGCUGUACCCUCUACUUGAACAUGGUGCUUUAUGCUUCAUAUUAUUAUCCAAUGAUGUGUUGCCAUCCUAUGAUGUCUGAGUAGAUUUUCGUUGUCCUAUCGGUGGUUGAUGAAUUGCUAUGAUUGAUUUAAUUUUCUUGUGGUUAUGUUGCUUUCCUUUGGUGCCCAUCAUAUGAUUGCGCGCGUGGAUCACACCCUAGGGUUAGUUGUAUGUUGAUAGGACUAUGUAUUGGAGGGCAAGAGUGACAGAAGUUUCAACCUAGCAUAGAAAUUGAUGCAUACGGGAUUGAAGGGGGACAAAUAUAUCUUAAUGCUAUGGUUGGGUUUUACCUUAAUGAACAUUAGUAGUUGCGAAUGCUUGCUAAUAGUUCCAAUCAUAAGUGCAUAGAAUUCCAAGUCAGGGAUGACAUGCUAGCAGUGGCCUCUCCCACAUAAUACUUGCUAGCGGUCUAGUAAAGUAGUCAAUUGCUCAGGGGCAAUUUCUCAACUCCUACCACCACUUUUCCACACUCGCUAUAUUUACUUUAUUGUUUCUUUAUCUAAACAGCCCCUACUUUUUAUUUAAGUACUCUUUAUUAUCUUGCAAACCUAUCCAACAACACCUACAAAGUACUUAUAGUUUCAUACUUGUUCUAGGUAAAGCGAACGUCAAGCGUGCGUAGAGUUUUAUCGGUGGUCGAUAGAACUUGAGGGAAUAUUUGUUCUACCUUUAGCUCCUCAUUGGGUUCGACACUCUUACUUAUCGAAAAUUGUUGCGAUCCCCUAUACUUAUGGGUUAUCACAUACUUAUUGCAAAAAUCUACAAGUCAUCAAAAACCAAGUAUUACGCGCAUGCUCCUAGGGGGAUAGAUUGGUAGGAAAAGACCAUCGCUCGUCCCCGACCGCCACUCAUAAGGAAGACAAUCAAAUAACACCUCAUGUUUCAAAUUUGUUACACAACGUUUACCAAACAUGCAUGCUACGGGACAUGCAAACUUCAACACAAGCAUUUCUCAAAUUCACAACUACUCAACUAGCACGACUUUAAUAUCUUUACCUCCAUGUCUCAAAACAAUCAUCAAGCAUCAAACUUCUCUUAGUAUUCAACACACUCAUAAGAAAGUUUUUACUAGUCUUGAAUACCUAGCAUAUUAGGAUUAAGCACAUUACCAUGCUGUUUAAGAUCUCAAAAUAAUCUAAGUGAAGCAUGAGAGUUCAUCUAUUUCUACAAAAUAAAACCACCACCGUUCUCUAAAAAGAUAUAAGUGGAGCACUAGAGCAAAUGACAAACUACUCUGAAAGAUAUAAGUGAAGAUCAAUGAGUAGUCGAAUGAUUAUGCAACUAUAUGAAGACUCUCUAACAUUUAAUAAUUUCAUAUCUUGGUAUUUUAUUCAAACAGCAAGCAAAACAAAAUUAAGUAAAAUGAUGCUCCAAGCAAAACACAUAUCAUGUGGCGAAUAAAAAUAUAGCUCCAAGUAAAGUUACCGACGAACGAAGACGAAAGAGGGGAUGCCUUCCGGGGCAUCCCCAAGCUUAAGAUUUUGGUUGUCCUUGAAUUUUACCUUGGGGUGACUUGGCAUCCCCAAGCUUAGGCUCUUUCCACUCCUUAUUCCAUAGUCCAUCGAAUCUUUACCCAAAACUUGAAAACUUCACAACACAAAACUUAACAGAAAACUCGUAAGCUCCGUUAGUAUAAGAAAAUAAAUCACCACUUAGAUGCUGUAAUUAACUCAUUAUUUAUUUAUAUUGGUGCAAUAUCUACUGUAUUUCAACUUAUCUAUGGUUCAUACCCUCCGAUACUACUCAUAGAUUCAUCAAAAUAAGCAAACAACACAUCUAAAACAGAAUAUGUCAAAAACAGAACAAUCUGUAGUAAUCUGGAUCAAACGUAUACUUCUGGAACCCCAAAAAUUCUAAAAUAAAUUUAUGGACCUGAGGAAUUUAUCUAUUAAUAAUCUGAAAAAAUAAUUAACUAAAUAUCACUCUCGAAAUAAAAAUGGCAGCAAUUCUCGUGAGCGCUAAAGUUUCUGUUUUUUACAGCAUGAUCAUAAAGACUUCACCCAAGUCUUCCCAAAGCUUCUACUUGGCAAAAACACUAAUUAAAACAUAAAAACACAUCUAAAUAUAGGCUAGAUAAAUUAUUUAUUACUAAACAGGAGCAAAAAGCAAGGAACAAAAAUAAAAUUGGGUUGCCUCCCAACAAGCGCUAUCGUUUAACGCCCCUAGCUAGGCAUGAUGAUUUCAAUGACGCUCACAUAAAAGAUAAGAAUUGUAACAUAAAGAGAGCAUCAUGAAUAAUAUCACUAGCACAUUUAAGCCUAACACACUUCCUAUGCAUAGGGAUUUUGUGAGCAAACAACUUGUGGGAACAAUAAUCAACUAGCAUAGGAAGGCAAAACAUGCAUAACUUCAAAACUUUAAGCACAUAGAGAGGAAACUUGAUAUUGUUGCAAUUCCUACAAGCAUAUAUUCCUCCCUCAUAAUAAUUUUCAGUAGCAUCAUGAAUUAAUUCAACAAUAUAACCAGCACCUAAAGCAUUCUUUUCAUGAUCUACAAGCAUAGAAAUUUUAUUACUCUCCACAUAAACAAAAUUCUUCUCAUUCGGAAUAGUGGGAGUAUCAUAAGAAACUCGAAUACUAUAAAUUGUUUCCACAUUAAAGGAGUAAUGUUCAGAGAAAGGGGACUCAUAAUCAUGACAAGUUUUGUAAUUAUAAUCAUCACUACUCUUUAUAGCAUAAGUUUUAUCACAAUAAUCAUCAUAAGUAGCAACUUUGUUCUCAUCAUAAUCGAUUGAAACCUCUUCCGAAAUAGUGGAUACAUUACUAAAUAAAGUCAUGACCUCUCCAAAUCCACUUUCAUAAAUAUUAUAAGAUUCAACAUCCUCCAAAAUAGUGGGAUCAUUACUUCCUAAAGUUGACACUCUUCCAAACCUACUUUCAUCAAUAUAAUCAUCAUAGGUAGAAGGCAUGCUAUAAUCAUAACAACUUUGCAUAUCAGAACUUGGGAAGCUAAAAAUAUCAUCUUCAUUAAACGUAGCAUCCCCAAGCUUGGGACAAACAUUAAUUGCAGCAAAUAUAUUCUUAAAAACAUCAUCUUCUUCAAACAUAGCAUCCCCAAGCUUGGGCCUUUUCAUAUUAUAAGUAUAAUCACUCUCAUCAUUAAUAGUAUGGAUAGCACCAAUAGUAUAGCAAUUAUCAUAUUCUUCCAAGCAAGUGCCAAAAAGAUUUUCAAGAUCAUAAGAAGUAUCAUUAUAUUCCACCAUUAUAUUUUCAUGAGGCACAAUAGUAAUAGGAGCAGCAUUAUUUGGGGGAGAUAUCUUUUUACCUCUCUUCCUUUUUCUUUUCUUCUUCUUCACCACAUCAUGUGUGGGUUCAAUCUUCUUUUUGGAGCUCCUUAUUAAUGAGAUUGGUUGAAUAGGAGGCUCCUCCUCGUUACCUAAUUCAUCAUAAGAAAUAAUAGGAGGAUAUUGGGAAGUCUCUUCCCUUUCAUUAGUAUUCUCUUCAUCUUCUAUUUGUUUUCUUUUCUUUAUGUAAUUGACAAUAUAAGGAUUUUCAAUACAAUUCACCGCGCAAUACAUAUAAAUUUUCUCUAGAUUAAAAUCAAGAAAUCUAUCAAGAUUAAACUUUGGAAUACCCUCAGUUAUACGUUUCAUUUCCUCAUACCCCAAAAGAAGACUAAACUCUUUAUGAUGCUCAAGGCUAAUCAAAUUAUCACAAUUUUUGGAUACGAUUUGGUCAUGAAACAACUUGCAUUGGAGAUUUAAAUGACCAUGUUCAUUCCAAAGUUCACAAGGGGCGCGAAAAAUAUUAAAUUUUUCAGCACAAACAUCAAGACUUUAUUGCAACAAUUUAGUUUCUAAAUACUUAUGCCUCUUGCAAUAUCUAUCUUCCCUAUUUGGUGUAUCCUUGCAAACCCAAUGCACUUGACAAAAAUUGACAUGUUUAUAGGAGACAUUUUCAUCAUAACUAGUGCAAUCAUCAUUAGUACUUUGGAUAUUCAAGGAGUUCAAACUAACAACAUUGCAAUCAUGCUCAUCAUUCAAAGAUUUAGUGCCAAACAUUUUAAUGCAUUCUUCUUCUAACACUUUAGCACAAUUUUCCUUUCCAUCAUACUCACGAAAGAUAUUUAAAAGAUGAAGCGUAUGAGGCAAACUCAAUUCCAUAUUUUUUUUGUAGUUUUCUUUUAUAAACUAAACUAGUGCUAAAACAAGAAACAAAAAGACUCGAUUGCAAGAUCUAACGAUAUACCUUCAAGCGCUAACUUCCCCGGCAAUGGCGCCAGAAAAGAGCUUGAUGUCUACUACACAACCUUAUUCUUAUAGACGUUGUUGGGCCUCCAAGUGCAGAGGUUUGUAGGAUAGUAGCAAAUUUCCCUCAAGUGGAUGACCUAAGGUUUAUCAAUCUGUAGGAGACGCAGGAUGAAGAUGGUCUCCCUCAAUCAACCCUGCAACCAAAUAACAAAGAGUCUCUUGUGUCCCCAACACACCCAAUACAAUGGUAAAUUGUAUAUGUGCACUACUUCGGCGAAGAGAUGGUGAUACAAGUGGUAUAUGGAUGGUAGAUAAAGCUUUUUGUAAUCUGAAAAUAUAAAAACAGCAAGGUAACUAAUGAUAAAAGUGAGCAAAAACGGUAUUGCAAUGCUAGGAAAUAAGGCCUAGGGUUCAUACUUUCACUAGUGCAAGUUCCCUCAACAAUAAUAACAUAAUUGGAUCACAUAACUAUCCCUCAACAUGCAACAAAGAGUCACUCCAAAGUCACUAAUAGCGGAGAACAAACGAAGAGAUUGUGGUAGGGUAUGAAACCACCUCAAAGUUAUUCUUUCCAAUCAAUCCGUUGGGCUAUUCCUAUAAGUGUCACAAACAGCCCUAGAGUUUGUACUAGAAUAACACCUUAAGACACAAAUCAACCAAAACCCUAAUGUCACCUAGAUACUCCAAUGUCACCUCAAGUAUCCGUGGGUAUGAUUAUACGAUAUGCGUCACACAACCUCAGAUUCAUCUAUUCAACCAACACAUAGAACCUCAAAGAGUGCCCUAAUGUUUCUACCGGAGAAUCACGACGAAAACGUGUGCCAACCCCUAUGCAUAGGUUCAUGGGCGGAACCCGCAAGUUGAUCACCAAAACAUACAUCAAGUGAAUCACAUGAUAUCCCAUUGUCACCACAAAUACGCACGACAAGACAUACAUCAAGUGUUCUCAAAUCUUUAAAGACUCAAUCCGAUAAGAUAACUUCAAAGGGAAAACUCAAUCCAUUACAAGAGAGUAGAGGGGGGGAGAAAACAUCAUAAGAUCCAACUAUAAUAGCAAAGCUCGCGAUACAUCAAAAUCGUAUCUCCUCAAGAACACGAGAGAGAGAGAGAGAUCAAACACAUAGCUACUGGUACAUACCCUCAGCCCCAAGGGAGAACUACUCCCUUCUCAUCAUGGAGAGCACCGGGAUGAUGAAUAUGGCCACCGGAGAAGGAUUCCCCCUCUGGCAGGGUGCCGAAACAGGUCUAGAUUGGUUUUCGGUGGCUACGGAGGCUUCUGGCGGCGGAACUCCUGAUCUAUUGUGCUCCCCGGUCGUUUUAGGGUAUAUGGAUAUAUAUAUAUAGGCAGAAGAAGUAUGUCAGGGGAGCCACAAGGGGCCCACGAGGGUGGAGGGCGCGCCUAGGGGGGUGGGCGCGCCCCCUGCCUCAUGGCUUCCUCGUUGCUUCCCUUACAUGGACUCCAAGUCUCCCGUGUUGCUUUCCUUCUAAAAAUAAGUUUCGUGAAGUUUCAGGUCAAUUGGACUCUGUUUGUUUUUCCUUUUGUGCGAUACUCUAAAACAAGGAAAAAACAGAAACUGGCACUGGGCUCUGGGUCAAUAGGUUAGUCCCCAAAAUAAUAUAAUAGUGUAUAAUAAAGCCCAUUAACAUCCAAAACACAUAAUAUAAUAGCAUAGAAUAAUCAAAACUUAUAGAUACGUUGGAGACGUAUCAGAACUUAUAAAGAGUUGAAAAUUGAUGACAUGGCUUUGAAUGGUGCAUUUUGAACACAGAAAAACUCUGGAGUUCAAAUAAGUUCAAAAAAAUGAAAUUCCUUUGUAACAGACGAGUUUCCGUAUGAAACCCUCAUACUUUGAAAGAGAUUGCCCGUUUUGUACACGAAGUGCAUCCAGUGCAUCCAGUUUUUGUCGUAACCCUCUCUAAUUUCUUGCACAUGCUAUGUGGAUGAAAUGAUGAUACCAUGCAAAAAGAAAAUUAACUAAAAAACUUUUAUAAAACUCUAAUAGAAAAAGGAAUGAACUAAAAAGCUUUUAUAAACCUCUAGUAUUUUCUAAACUAAAAUUAUAUGAAAUUCAUGCCACUGAAAUUAUCAAAGUAUUUUCUGUUCAAAACAUGAAAAGCAGAAAGAAACAAAAUAAACUUUAAUAAAAAGUAGAAACAAAAUUUAAUAAAUUAAAAUUUAAUAAAAUAAAUAAGUAGAAACAAAUAAAAUAAAAUAAACUUUAAUAAAAUAAAUAAGUAGAAACAAAAUAAAACAAAUUAAAAUUUAAUACAAUAAAUAAGUAGAAACAAAAUAAAAUAAAAUAAAAUAAACUUUUAUAAAAUAAAGAAGUAGAAACAAAAUAAACUUUAUAAAAGUAAAAUAAAUAAAAUUUAAUAAAAUAAAUAAAAAUAGCAACAAUAAGGUUUUUUUGUUGUAAGUAGAAACAAAAUAAAAUAAAUAAAGCAACAAAAAAAUAAAAAAUGCCAACUACUGGGCCACCACGGCCUGAAUACGACUAGAAACCCUACCAUGGGCCAGGAUUUAGGCCCGCAGAAGGCCCAGUAGGCCCAUCAGGCAUAGCAGUGACAAUUAGGCUCGUAAGCCUGCAAUCAAGAGGAGCUCGAGAGGGGUGCGGCAGUGGGGCUUAUAAACCACUCCGCGCCCCUCUCAACUAGGGAGGUGGGGCUAAAGUUUUGCCCAAGGUUGGUGCCACCCUUAUGCCCUCCUUUGGUACCGGUUGGUGCCACCAACUGGGACCAAAGGCCUCGGCUUCCCGCCCUUGAGGCUGCUGAAAAGAGACCUUUGGUCCCGGUUGGUGGCACCAACCGGAUUAAAGGGGGCACUGGUACUGGUUUGUGCCACGAACCGGUACCAAUGCCCUGGGUAUAUAAGAAAACACUUAGCAGUUUCGAUGAAAUCCAUCACUUCUUCUCCCCCGACGCCCUUGCUCCUCCUCAUCGCCAUUGCCACCCGAUGCCCCUGCCCCACCUUGCCGUCGCCGCCGCCACCGCCGCCGUCAGGCUACUCAACGUUGCUGCCGCCACCUACGCCGUCAGGCUGCUCAACGUCGUCGCCGCAGCCGCUGACGCCCUCUGCCCCGACCAGACAUCGACCCUCGCGCCCCUGCCGGCCCAGACGCACCGCCCCCUGUGAGCACCAGCCUGCUCCCGCGCCCCUCCCCUAUCCCGCGCCCCUGCACCCCUACCCUGCCCCGCCAGCGCCGGCGCCGGCCCCUCCACCGUGCCCCUGGAUCCGCCCCUGCGCGGUGCUAUUAUAUUUGUAGGUGUUUUAAUAUGUUUUUUAGAAGUUUUUAGAUGCUAUUCUUAGAUGUUUUUACAUGUUUUUAGGUUAUUUUAGUUUAUGUUUAGUUUAGUUUUAAGAUUAGGAAAUUUUUGGAUGUGUAGUUAUAUUUAUUUAGAUGUCUAGUUAAUUUAGAUGUUGUAAUUUGUUCAUAAAAAUUGUGCACUUUUGUAUUGAAACUUUAUUUUUUUCAUAUGUAUGAAAAUGUAGAGUGAAAAGUUUUAUAUAUGCAAAAGUUACAUUUCUAGAAAACUUUUAUAUAUCUAGCUAGGAAAGGAAAGAAGAAGAAAAAGAAUGAGAGGAAAAAGGAAAAUAAGAAGAGAAAGAAAGGAGGAGAAGAGGAGAAAUAAAUAAGAAGAGGAAAAAAGAAGGAAAAAAAAGAGGAGAAGAAGAAAGGAAUAGAGGAGAAGAAGAGAAAAUAGAAAAUAUUUUCUAUUUUCUCUUCUUCUCCUCUAUUCCUUUCUUCUUCUCCUCUUUUUUUCUUCUUUUUUUUCUUCGUUGUCGAUAUACCCCGUCCCGAUAACUUCGUUUAGUUUUAGGAUUAUUUUAGUUUAUUUUUAGUUUAGGAAUAAGGAAAAGAAAAAGGAGAAGAAGAGGAGAGGAAGAAGAGGAGAAAUAAAUAAGAAGAGGAAAAAAGGAAAAAAAGAGGAGAACGAGAAAGGAAUAGAGGAGAAGAAGAGAAAAUAGAAAAAAAAUUCUAUUUUCUCUUCUCCUCUAUUCCUUUCUUCUUCUCCUCUUUUUUUCUUCUUUUUUUCUUCGAUCUUCUCCUUUAUUCCUUUCUUAUUCUCCUCUUUUUAUUUUUUCUUGGUCUUCUUAUUUUUUAUCGUGUAUGUCAUUGUCGAUAUACCCCGUCCCCGAUAACUUUGAUGUGAGGGGGGGAGCGGGGGAGGGGUCGCCGAGGGUUUGAGGCGCGAGGGGCGGGAACUAGCUAGGGUAGAGGGUCGAGGGUCACCGAGGGGUCCAGGGUCGCCGAGGGUUCGAGGGUCGAGGGGUCGUCGUAUGUUGUCGUUGUCGAUAUACCCCCUCUCGACCAUGAUAACUUAUACCAGGGAGCACCCCCCGACCCUCUCGCUCGACCAAAACUCUCGAGGACACUCAAACCAUAGAAAAAAUGAUGUCGGUCUCCUACCCCCUCCCGCCGCGCCCCUACCCGAUCGACAAACUCUCUUGAGGCCACCCAAAUUUACCAAGUUAAAAGAGCAUUGUCGUCGAGGCCACCACAAACCCUUGAAAAGCGUCGAGGCCAGGCCACUAAUAUGAUUCCUUAUUGUUCUUAGCUAGCUAGUUCAACGUUUGCCACUAAUAUAUCCAUCUGUCAUGUUUGAAUAAUAAUUGCCAUGUUGUGAAUAUUUGCAGAAACUAUGGAUCACCCCCGAGACGAAGCACAAGAAGCGGUGUUGGGGGAGAUAAUCGCACAUGGAAGUGAUGUCGUCUUGUCGUUUCCCAACGACACAUGCACCGAUGGUAUGGAAAGACAGGAUGAAGAAGCAGGCUACGGCGACGAUGAUCAAACAAUGAAGGAGGAAGGACACCGUGAUGACGGCUCCGGUGACCGAAUGGAGGGGGAAGGACACCAUGAUGACGGCUCCGGUGACCGAAUGGAGGGGGAAGGACACCGUGAUGACGGCUCCGAUGACCGAAUGGAGGGGGAAGGACACCGUGAUGACGGCUCCGGUGACCGAACGGAGUCCGGCCAGUUAUAUAUAUUAAUUAAUUAAGCAUGUGCUGACUAUACCUAAUAGAUGCAUUAAUUGUUUUUGGUAUGUACACAUAUUAACUCUCUUCUUUUUCUUCUUUUCUAGCCCUCCGGAUCGAUCAACACUUCGAUAACGAGACGAGGCCCAAAUAGAAAGUUGCGCUCGGAUGAAAGGUACACGAUCAUCGAAAUUGAUCGCGCUGGCCAACCGGUUGAACCCCUCUGGACCAAGCAAAAAUUUAAUGCUCAAUGCAGGGUUCUAGUUAGGGACAUGAUCCCUAAUAACCCACAAGUAUAUGGGAUCACAACAGUUUUUGAGGGUAGAGUAUUCAACCCAAAUUUAUUGAUUCGAUACAAGGGGAUCUAAAGAAUAUUCUCAAGUAUUAGCAGCUGAGUUGUCAAUUCAACCACACCUGGAAAUUUAAUAUCUGCAGCAAAGUAUUUAGUAGCAAAGUAAUAUGAUAGUAGUUGUAACGGUAGCAAAAGGUAGCAGUAGUAAAAGUAAUGUUUUUGGUAUUUUGUAAUGAUGAUAGCAAUAGCAACGGAAAAGUAAGUAAGCAAAGAACAAUAUAUGGAAAGCUCGUAGGCAAUGGAUCGGUGAUGGAGAAUUAUGCCGGAUGCGGUUCAUCAUGUAACAAUCAUAACUUUGGGUGACAGAGAACUAGCUCCAGUUCAUCAAUGUAAUGUAGGCAUGUAUUCCGAAUAUAGUCAUACGUGCUUAUGGAAAAGAACUUGCAUGACAUCUUUUGUCCUACCCUCCCAUGGCAGCGGGGUCCUUACGGAAACUAAGGGAUAUUAAGGCCUCCUUUUAAUAGAGUACCGGAACAAAGCAUUAACACAUAGUGAAUACAUGAACUCCUCAAACUACGGUCAUCACCGAUAAGUAUCCCGAUUAUUGUCACUUCAGGGUUAACGGAUCAUAACACAUAAUAGGUGACUAUAGACUUGCAAGAUAGGAUCAAGAACUCUCAUAUAUUCAUGAAAACAUAAUAGGUUCAGAUCUGAAAUCAUGGCACUCGGGCCCUAGUGACAAGCAUUAAGCAUAGCAAAGUCAUAGCAACAUCAAUCUCAGAACAUAGUGGAUACUAGGGAUCAAACCCUAACAAAACUAACUCGAUUACAUGAUAGAUCCCAUCCAACCCAUCACCGUCCAGCAAGCCUACGAUGGAAUUACUCACGCAGGCGGUGAGCAUCAUGAAAUUGGUGAUGCAGGAUGAUUGAUGAUGACGAUGGCGACGGAUUCCCCUCUCCGAAGCCCCGAACGGACUCCAAAUCAGCCCUCCCGAGAGGUUUUAGGGCUUGGCGGCGGCUCCGUAUCGUAAAACGCGAUGAUUCCUUCUCUCUUAUUUUUUUCUCCCUGAAACGAAAUAUAUAGAGUUGGAGUUGAGGUCGGAGGAUCUCCAGGGGGGCCACGAGGUAGGGGGGCAGGCGCGCCCCCACCCUCGUGGACAGGUGGUGGGCCCCCUAGCCUUCAUCUUUUGCAAGGAUUUUUUAUAUUUUCCGAAAAGUUGUUCCGUGAAGUUUUAGGUCAUUUCGAGAACUUUUGUUUCCGCACAUAAAUAACACCAUGGUAAAUCUGCUGAAAACACCGUCAGUCUGGGUUAGUUCCAUUCAAAUCAUGCAAGUUAGAGUCCAAAACAAGGGCAAAAGUGUUUGGAAAAGUAGAUACAACGGAGACGUAUCAACUCCCCCAAGCUUAAACCCUUGCUUGUCCUCAAGCAACUUAGUUGAUAAACUGAAAGUGAUAAAGAAAAACUUUUACAAACUCUGUUUGCUGUUGUUGUUGUAAAUAUGUAAAGCCAGCAUUCAAGUUUUCAGCAAAGAUUAUAACUAACCACAUUCACAAUAACACUUAGGUCUCAAGUUUACUCAUAUCAAUGGCAUAAUGAACUAGCGAUUAAUAAUAAUAAAUCUCGGAUGACAACACUUUCUCAAAACAAUCAUAAUAUGAUAUAACAGGAUGGUAUCUCACUAGCCCUUUCUGAGACCGCAAAACAUAAAUGCAGAGCACCUUUAAAGAUCAAGGACUGACUAGACAUUGUAAUUCAUGGUAAAAGAGAUCCAGUCAAGUCAUACUCAAUGUAAACUAACAGUAAUGAAUGCAAAUGACAUCGGUGCUCUCCAACCGGUGCUUUUUAAUAAGAGAAGGAUGACUCAACAUGAAAGUAAAUAGAUAGGCCCUUCACAGAGGGAAGCAGGGAUUUGAAGAGGUUCCAGAGCUCGAUUGUGAAAUAGAGGUGAAUAAUAUUUUGAGUGGUAUACUUUCAUUGUAAACAUAACAACCAAGAGAUGGCUAUAUCUUCCAUGCUACACACAUUAUAGGCGGUUCCCAAACAGAAUAGUAAAGUUUAUACUCCCCCUUCCACCAACAAGCAUCAAUCCAUGGCUUGCUCGAAACAAUGAGUGCCUCCAACUAACAAGAGUCCCAGGGGGAGUUUUGUUUGCAAUUAAUUUUGAUUUACAUUGCAUAAAGCAUGGGACUGGGCAUCCCGGUGACCAGCCAUUUUCUCGUGAGUGAGGAGUGGAGUCCACUCCUCUUGAGAAUAACCCGCCUAACACGGAAGAUAAGGACAGCCUUUGUUGAUACAUGAGCUAUUCGAGCAUACAAAACAGAAUGUUUAUUUGAAGGUUUAGAGUUUGGCACAUACAAAUUUACUUGGAACGGCAGGUAGAUACCGCAUAUAGGAAGGUAUAGUGGACUCAUCUGGAAUAAUUUUGGGGUUUAAGGGAUUGGAUGCACAAGCAGUAUUCCCGCUUAGUACAAGUGAAGGCUAGCAAAAGACAGGGAAGCGACCAACUAGAGAGCGACAACAUCCAUGUACAUGCAUUAAAAUUAAUAAACAUUGGAUGCAAGCAUGAGUAGGAUAUAAUCCACCAUGAACAUAAAUAUCAUGAAGGCCAUGUUGAUUUUGUUUCAACUACAUGCGUGAACAUGCGGCAAGUCAAAUCACUUAAAUCAUUAAGAGGAGGAUACCACCCUAUCAUACCACAUCACAACCAUUUUAAUAGCAUGUUGGCACGCAAGGUAAACCAUUAUAAGCUCCUAGCUAAUCAAGCAUGGCACAAGAACUAUGGUCUCUAGUUGUCAUUGCAAACAUGUUUAUUCAUAAUAGGCUGAAUCAGGAAGGAUGAACUAAUCAUAUUUACAAAAAUAAGAGAGGUCGAGUUCAUACUAGCUUUUCUCAUCUCAAUAAGUUCAUCAUAUAAUCAUCAUUAUUGCCUUUCACUUGCACGAACGAACGAUGUGGAUAAUAAUAAUAGUGCACGUGCAUUGGACUAAGUUGGAAUCUGCAAGCAUUCAAUAAACAGGAGAAGACACGGUAAUAUGGGCUCUUUUGUCAGAUCAACAAUAAUGAAUAUAAGAGCCACUUCAACAAUUUAAUUAUGGUCUUCUCCUAUCGACCCCCAAAGAAAAGAAAAGAAAUAAAACUAUUUACACGGGAGAGCUCCCAACAAGCAAAAGAAGAACAUGAAAUCUUUUUGGGUUUUCUUUUAAUUACUACUACAAGCAUGGAAAGUAAACUAAUUAAAGCUACAACUAAUUUUUUCUUUUUUCUUAAGGUUUAUUAAACACACAAGAAGAAAGCAUAAAAAGGAAAAUAAACUAGCAUGGAUGAUACAAUGAAAAAGUAUGAGCACCGACAUCUAGCAAUGAGUGUGUGAACAUAAAUGUAAUGUCGGUGAGAAAUACGUACUCCCCCAAGCUUAGGCUUUUGGCCUAAGUUGGUCUAUGGCCACGGCUGGCCUGGCGGAUAUCCAUAAUAAUAGUUGGGGUCGUACUGCGAAGAAGAAGCCUCUGAUUGCCACUGGUUGGCAAUCAUCUCCGGAUCCCACUGGUAAUUAGACUGUCGUGGAGGAUCAAGUUGUGGUUCCGUCUCUGGCUCUGUGGCUGAUGUAGGGUUCCGAUAGGCGUGAAUAGCCUCUAACGGAACAAGGUACCGGCCUGCAGAUAAAUCAAACAAGGAAGGAGCAGACAGGGUAAUAGUCUCAGGAUGAUGUUUAUCAAAGAACAAUUUGUAUUUAAGCUCUCCUUCCCUAUUCUUAACAAUAAAACCAUGUGCCACCAUACUCUUAUAAUCUAAAUAAACACGAGGCAGCACUUUUUCUUCCUUCUCAUAAUGCCUAAUAGGUAUAUUAAAAUGUGCAGCUAGGCGUGAAGCAUAGAUGCCUCCAAAGAUGGGGACCUUUGUACGGUUCAGACUUAACCGUUUAGCAAUAAUGCCGCCCAUACUAAUAGAGUUAUCACUGAAUAAACCAUGGAGAAAAAUACUAAGGUUUCCACAGUUUCCGCGACCAAUUAAGCAACGACUAGCAAAUAAUGCAAAAUAGCGUAAAACAGGAAAAUGUAUGAUAGUGAUUCGUGCAUCGGAAACCUUCCUCAUUUCUCCUACAGUGAUGAUAUCAAUAAACCCAUCCACAUCACUGCGAUGUGGUUCCUCUGUCGUGCCCUCGAAAGGGACCAAACAAACCCGAAAAAAAUCAUAAAGUGACAUCUCCUUAUGCUCAUCAUAUAAAUAAAACUCCACCGUAGGUGGUGAGCUCCUAGAAUGGAAAUGAAAGUUUUGCACAAAUAUAUUUGUGAGUAAGAGAUACUGAUCGCGUUGGUCGUGGAGGAAAGCAGUGAGGCCUACAUUCUUAGCCAAUUCAUAAAAAUCUUCAUAAAUCCCGGCUGCUCUCAAGAAAUCAUCGGAAGGCCAUUCACGCGACCGAACCUCCGUGGUGCGAGGCAGAUUAGACUUGGGCUUCUGUGCCAUUUCCUUCGAGCUUCGGCUCGAUGAGCCCCUCAAAAGUCUCUUCAUUAUUUUCUGAAAAAAGUCUGAAAUUUUUAGUAACUACAAAAUAAAAGUAAACCAAACUCAAUAAUAUUGAUAGCAACUACUCCUACAAGUGCCUAGGGCCUAUAUCAUGCAUCAAAACUACUUGGAACCAUAUAAAUUUGACACACAAGCUCAAGAACAUGGUCACCUAGGCAGCAAAAAUUUGCAAUGAAUAAAGCACUAGAACAAAAACUAAUUGGACCAAUGGAGGAGUCACAUACCAAGGAACAAUCUCCCCAAGCAGUUUUGUGAGAGGUGCUUUGAGCAAGGAGAUCGAAAAUGGCAGCAAAAUGAGCUAGAACUCGUGCUUGAGCUGGUUAUUCGUGUUUGUGGAAGGAAGAAGAAGUGUGUGGGUGCAAGAAUAAGUGGAGAAGGGCCACCGUGGGCCCACAAGGCAGGGGGCGCGCCCUCCACCCUCGUGGGCAGGUGGGUGACCCCCCUGCUGUGUUCUCAGUGCCAAAUAUUCCCAAAUAUUCCAGAAAAAAUCAUAUUUAAAUUUCAGGGGAUUUGGAGAACUUUUAUUUUCAGGGUAUUUUUAUAUUGCACAGAUAAUUAGAUAACAAACAGAAAAAUACUAUUUUUAUUUUAUUCAAUAUAAAUAACAGAAAGAAAAAGGAGGGUAGAGAAGGUUGUGCCUUCUAGUUUCAUCCAUCUCAUGCUCAUCAAAAGGAAUCCACUAAGAAGGUUGAUCAGGUCUUGUUAACAAACUCAUUCCGAAUAACAUGGAACCGGAGAAUUUCGAAUAACACUAUGUUACCUCAACGGGGAUAUGCACAUCCCAAUAAUAAUAAUAUCAUAUUUCUUCUUGAUAGUAGGAAGACGAAAUUCAAAACCUCCAAAUAUAAUCAAUGGAAUUUUUCCAAUAGAAUUGAUACUAUGAACUUGAGGUUGUUUCCUCAGAAAGUGUACCGUAUGCUCAUUACCAUUAACAUGAAAAGUGACAUUGCCUUUAGUGCAAUCAAUAACAGCCCCUGCAGUAUUCAAAAAGGGUCUUCCAACAAUAAUAGACAUACUAUCGUCCUCGGGAAUAUCAAGAAUAACAAAUUCCGUUAAAAUAGUAACAUUUGCAACUACAAUAGGCACAUCCUCACAAAUACCGACAGGUAUAGCAUUUGAUUUAUCAGCCAUUUGCAAAGAUAUUUCAGUAGGUGUCAACUUAUUCAAAUCAAGUCUACAAUAUAAAGAGAGAGGCAUAACACUAACACCGGCUCUAAGAUCACAUAAAGAAGUUUUAACAUAGUUUCUUUUAAUGGAGCAUGGUAUAGUGGAUACUCCUAGAUCUCCAAGUUUCUUUGGUAUUCCACCCUUAAAAGUAUAAUUAGCAAGCAUGGUGGAAAUUUCAGCUUCCGGUAUCUUUCUCUUAUUAGUAACAAUUUCUUUCAUGUACUUUGCAUAAGGAUUCAUUUUAAGCAUAUCAGUUAAUCGCAUACGCAAAAAGAUAGGUCUAAUCAUUUCAGCAAAGCGCUCAAAAUCCUCAUCAUCCUUUUUCUUGGAUGGUUUGGGAGGAAAAGGCAUAGGUUUCUGAACCCAUGAUUCUCUUUCUUUACCGUGUUUCCUAGCAACAAAGUCUUUCUUAUCAUAACGUUGAUUCUUUGAUUGUGGGUUAUCAAGAUCAACAGCAGGUUCAAUUUCUAUAUCAUUAUCAUUACUAGGUUGAGCAUCAUCAUGAACAUUAUCAUGAACAUUAAACUAGUUUCAGGUUCAUUACCAGAUUGUGUUUCAGCAUCAGAAAUAAAAAUAUAAUUUGGAUUCUCACGUGUUUCAAUAACCGGUUCACUAGAAGCAUGGAAAGUCCUAUCAUUUUUCUUUUUCUUCCUUUUAGAAGGACUAGGUGCAUCUAUAUUAUUUCUCUGAGAAUCUUCCUCAAUUCUCUUAGGAUGGCCUUCAGGAUACAAAGGUUCUUGAGUCAUUUUACCACCUCUAGUCAUAACUCUAACAUCAUUAUCAUUAUUUUUACUAUUUAAUUCAUUGAGCAGAUCAUUUUGAGCUUUAAGUACUUGUUCUACUUGAGUGGUAACCAUAGAAGUAUGUUUACUAAUAAGUUUAAGUUCACCUUUGACAUUAGCCAUAUAAUCACCCAAGUGUUCAAGCAUAUUUGAAUUGUAUUUUAAUUGUCUACCAAAAUAAGCAUUAAAAUCUUCUUGCUUAACCAUAAAUUUAUCAAACUCAUCUAAGCAUGGGCUAGCAAACUUAGUAAAUGGGAUUUCAGCUUUAUCAUAUCUAUAGAGAGAAUUUACAUUUACUACAUGUGUCGGGUUAUCAAGACCAUGAGUUUCUUCAAUAGGUAAAGGAUUAAGAUCAUAUGUUUCUUCAACAGGUGGUGUAUUUCUUCAAUAGGAGGUAAAUUAUUAACAUCUUCAGCUUUAAUACAUUUUUCUUUCUUGGAUUUCUUUGCCUCUUGCAUAUCUUCAGGACUGAGAAAUAGAAUACCCCUCUUCUUCGGAUUUGGUUUAGGACUAGGCUCAGGAAUUGGCUCCCGAGGUGUCCAAUUAUUUUCAUUUGUCAACAUAUUAUUCAAUAGAAUUUCAGCUUCAUCCGGUGUUCUUUCCUUGAAAACAGAACCAGCACAACUAUCCAGGUAAUCUCUGGAAGCAUCGGUUAGUCCAUUAUAAAAGAUAUCAAGUAUUUCAUUUUUCUUAAGAGGAUGAUCAGGCAAAGCAUUGAGUAACUUGAGAAGCCACCCCCAAGCUUGUGGGAGACUCUCUUCUUCAAUUUGCACAAAAUUAUAUAUCCCUUAAAGCAUGUUGUUUCUUAUGAGCAGGGAAAUAUUUAGAGAGAAGUAAUAAAUCAUAUCCUGGGGACUACGCACACAACCAGGAUCAAGAGAAUUAAACCAUAUCUUAGCAUCACCCUUUAAUGAGAAUGGAAAUAUUUUAAGGAUAUAAAAGUAACGAGUUCUCUCAUCAGUAGUGAACAGGGUGGCUAUAUCAUUUAAUUUAGUAAGACGUGUCACAACAGUUUCAGAUUCAUAGCCAUGAAAGGAUCAGAUUCAACCAAAAUAAUUAUAUCAGGAUCAACAGAGAAUUCAUAAUCCUUAUCAGUAACACAGAUAGGUGAAGUAGCAAAAGUAGGGUCAAGUUUCAUCCUAGCAUUUAGAGAUUGCUUAUUCCAUUUACCUAAUAACCUCUUGAGUUCGUAUAUAUCUUUGCAAGCUAAAAUAGCUAAAGAAGCUUCUUUAUCAAAAACAUAACCCUUAGGAAUAACACGUGAGUCUUCAUCAUCACUUUCCUCAGUAUUAUCAGAUUCAAUAUUUUCAUUCUCUCUAGCCCUAGCAAGUUGUUCAUCAAGAAAUUCACCAAGUGGCACAGUAGUAUCAAUCAUAGAAGUAGUUUCAUCGUAAGUAUCAUGUAUAGCAGAAGUGGCAUCAUCAGUAACAUGCGACGUAUCAGAACGAAUAGUAGAAGCAGGUUUAGGUGUCGCAAACUUACUCAAAACAGAAGGUGAAUCAAGUGUAGAGCUAGAUGUCAGUUCCUUACCUCCCCUCGUAGUUGAGGGACAAAUCUUGGUUUUUGGAUCACUCAAGCUCUUCAUAAUGAUAAGCAGAUAUAAAUCCCAAGUGACUCAAAGAAUAUAGCUAUGCUCCCCGGCAACGGCGCCAGAAAAUAGUCUUGAUAACCCACAAGUAUAAGGGAUCGCAACAGUUUUCGAGGAUAGAGUAUUCAACCCAAAUUUAUUGAUUCGACACAAGGGGAGCCAAAGAAUAUUCUCAAGUAUUAGCAGCUGAGUUGUCAAUUCAACCACACCUGGAAACUUAAUAUCUGCAGCAAAGUAUUUAGUAGCAAAGAAAUAUGAUAGUAGUGGUAACGGUAGCAAAAGGUAGCAGUAGUAGAAGUAAUUUUUUUGGUAUUUUGUAAUGAUGAUAGCAAUAGCAACGAAAAAGUAAGUAAGCGAAGAACAAUAUAUGGAAAGCUCGUAGGAAAUGGAUCGGUGAUGGAGAAUUAUGCCGGAUAUGAUUCAUCAUGUAACAAUCAUAACCUAGGGUGACACAGAACUAGCUCCAGUUCAUUAAUGUAAUGUAGGCAUGUAUUCCGAAUAUAGUCAUAAGUGCUUAUGAAAAAGAACUUGCAUGACAUCUUUUGUCCUACCCUCCCGUGGCAGCGGGGUCUUUACAGAAACUAAGGGAUAUUAAGGCCUCCUUUUAAUAGAGUACCGAAACAAAGCAUUAACACAUAGUGAAUACAUGAACUCCUCAAACUACGGUCAUCACCGGUAAGUAUCCCGAUUAUUAUCACUUCGGGGUUAACGGAUCAUAACACAUAAUAGGUGACUAUAGACUUGCAAGAUAGGAUCAAGAACUCUCAUAUAUUCAUGAAAACAUAAUAGGUUCAGAUCUGAAAUCAUGGCACUCGGGCCCUAGUGAUAAGCAUUAAGCAUAGCAAAGUCAUAGCAACAUCAAUCUCAGAACAUAGUGAAUACUAGGGAUCAAACCCUAACAAAACUAACUCGAUUACAUGAUAGAUCCCAUCCAAACUACACCACGACACUCAAAGCAGCGUCAAACAAUCUGUCGGCUUAGGUAACCUAAGGCGACACAUUUAGUAUCAACAAAGAACUUUCACGACGGAAAGGAGUUGUCACCUAUAGUGCUGCCGAGAAAGGUUUUUGCCGACAGAUAAAUCUAUGACGUCGGAAAGAAUGACAACGUUGAUGAGAUCUAUGCCGACAGACAUUUCUACACCAAUAGACUAUUCUAUGCCGACAGUUCAUCUGACACUCUGUUAUGCCGACGGAUUGUGUGACGCCAUAGCUACACCGACAGUCUAUCUGAUACUACAUCCGCCGAUAGAUAGUGCAACGGCCAUUUCUAUGUCGACACUUUAUCUGCCAGUACGCAAUACAAUCAAAAUCAUAUUAUUCAAAUCAUUUCAGUACCAAUACAAUUGCACUCUUCCAUUUAUCACGAGAUAACAUGCAAUAACAUACAAUGCAUUCAUUCAACAUAUAUAGAAUAUUCCAAUUGCACUCUCCAAGAUAACAUCCAAUGCAUUCAUUCAACAUAUAUAGAAGAUUCACUAGUUUUCUUCACUCAAGUUUGCUCCAGCCAUUAAGGAAAAACACAAGUCGACAUUCAGGUCAUGGCCUGUUACAAAAUAUGAUGAGCAAGUUCUCAAGAGACCAAUUGUUCGAUCACUUGGCUACUACAAAAUAUUAUGGGAGAUACCUGGUCUUUGAUCAUGCCGACAUCAACUUCCAUAUGAACAACAGAACAUCCUAGAUCAACUUCAGUAGAUGCUACUUUCUCCCAUUUGUCCCUGCAAAAGAACUUGUAUCUUUGAGCAAUUUUAGAAAAUGAGAAGGACAUGCAACAAAAUGAGGGCAGGAUGGAAGAGACCUGAUUUUCUGGACCAUAUUGCAUCCGAACCUAUGCUCAGGAAUGUUAGUGUUUUCUUGUGGAUCUAUACGAAGUUAGUGAUGUGCAAACCAUUUUGCUUAACCAUAAGUUUUACUGAUUCUUGUACUAGGCCUACUCGGGAGCGGGGUUUCCAUAAUAUAUCAAUCUGACACACAACCCCAACCCUGAGAACUCAAAGAAUAUUUUUAUUAUGUGAUGUCGUUUCCUGUACAACAACAAUCACCAUCCUCAUGGCUAGUUAUAUACUGUACAAAAAUUUAUUUAUUUCAGUGCAAAAGAGAUGAUAAAAAAUAAUAUGGUGACUGCUGCUAAAAGUUAUGUACAAAACUGUUUUCAGUCCAAAAGAGAUGAUAUAGUACAAAAUGUUGUUUCCUACCUAAGGAAACCAUCGGUACUUGUUAAUUCUUCAACAUCCAAAUAGCAGGGGAGCCAAAGAUUCAUGUGGAGAGAUAAGGCCAGUAAAUAUGAUCCAGUAUAGGAGGAACAAUCAAGCAAAGAUUCAGGUGGAGAGAUAAGGCCAGUAAAUUCUAGGAAUCAAUAGCAGGAAUGAUAAAUUUUAGUGCAUUAGUGGAGCUUUAAUGGGAUUGAACUAGUGCAUAUGAUAGAACUUUUAGUUACAGAACGAGGAAUGAGAAAUAGAAAAACAAGCAUUGAAGAUUGCACCAGGACACAACCAGGUCUGAAAUAGAUGUACCAGGUCACAAACAGAUGUAAUAUAAACUAGACAAAACAUGCCGAUCCACAAUACUACAUGAAUGAAAAUAAAAUACUUUCGACAACAGAAUUGCAAAAACAUGUUGAUCCACACUACUAGAGGUACUGGUAGUGGUAUACUACUUGCUCUCAGUUCCAAGUGUCAGAUAGAACAUGGUGAUGUUGACAGGAAUAAUACCUGAACUCUGCGAUGACGACAACCGUGACUUUGUGCAAGGUUUGAUCUCCAAAAAUAACAAUUAGUUUGCAUCAGGUGAUAGUUUACGCUAGAACAGGAAAAUGUAUAAAAUAUAUUUUUACCCUAUUUGAUGGCCAUGCAAUGGACAUGUGGUGAGCAUCGUCCAUUGUUUGCAUUCCAUCAUAUCCACAAGCAAGCUCCACCUCUCUUUUCAAUACAACAUUCACAAGAACUUUGUAAUAUUGCAGCCAAGAACUUCACCAAAUAAGUAUUAAUAAAAGAAAGGAGUGAUAUAACUUGGAAACUCUAACCAUGUGGUUGUACUCCAACGUAUCACUAAAGGUAUUUCUGAAUUGGCCAUGAUGUGGUUGUUAUUGCUACUGGACCAUGUAGCUGGGGUCAAAUAGAUUUAGAGAACACUAAACCAGACUGACAUUUACCGAGUGAAAUGACAUCAAGCGGUUUUCCUGAACUUAAAAGGUCCACUUUCUGCAUAAUUGUUUGAUGUUAAUGUAUACAUAGGUUUUUUUAGACCGUCAAUAUAUUUGAAUAGUCCCCCUCAACAGGAAAAAAACAACAUGAAAACUAUAACAGAAAAUCCAGUAGAAUGCAAUUUUUUCUUGCGUUCGCAAAAAUUUAUUCUACCACAUAGUUGUUACAUGUGAAAUCUAGCCGGUAAGUAUGAACAUCAAGAAGUGCUCUGCACAUCUAAAAAAGUUAUCUCUGCAGGGUGCUAUGUACAGCCUCAAAGGUUGGGAAGAAGGUUCAAAGGGACAGUGAAAGACUAACUUUGAUACUUUAAGAUAUACUAUAUGUGUAGAUAUCAUAUGUUUAUCUAAAUUUCUUAUUCCCCACAAACCUCGGGAGAAAUAUAUAUGUCAAAAGCACGUUUCAUGCACCAGUUCAAGAGUACCAGAUCAUUAAGAGAAUGAUUCCCAGUCCAUUAUACUCGAGCCCUAAUUAAAAAUAUAGUCCAUCACAUAUGCUCACUGUAAAAUUUUGCUUUAGAUGUGAUAGAGAACAAUUCAACAAGGGCAGCAAUUUCAGAACAACAAAGAGAUGAAACCAACAUAGAAUUUCUUUGAAUUUUUGUAAACUUUUAAUCCCUCAAUCCUAGAUGCUAGUACUAUUCAUGUGCCCUUCAAUAGUUAAAUUCAAACAACAUAUGCUAAUAUCAUUAGGGGAAUUAGUACAUAAAUAACUUACUAUUGGCUUUUUUAAGCCAUAGCUGGAAAUACAAAUCCCAGGCAGACUUUGUUCUAUUGUUUAGUUUUGGCAUAAAGAUUGUAAUGCUUGACUGAAUUGUAAUUCGGUAGAUAAAUGUUAAUCACUAAAUUCUGUAACAUGUUGAGUGGGAGAAAUGGGAACACAUAAUUAUUGAACAAAAUAACCAGAAAACACUAUGUAUCCAUUUACAAAGCCUAGUUGAUGCAUCACACGUAGAUAUAGCCUAUCAAAUCAAUUAAGUACCAACUAAAAUACAGAAAUUGAGUUCAGACUUUGACUAAUAAGAAGCAAGAAAGAGGAAUACUGUCGAGCUGAUUUUGUUUGAUGGCAACCCAAGCCCGGAGUUGUGUUGAAUCGAACCCUCCUGAUCUCUGAAGAAGACUGCAGAAAUAUGCUGAAUCCCAAUAGUCUGAUGAUGAAGGCGCCAUCCCAUGCCCCGACCACUACCUCGCCCACUCCAUCAGAUCCAAGCAGGGCGCGGUGCGCAGCAUCCAGAUCUCCCCUGAGCAUGGCAUUAUAGAGUGAUAUGAAUUUCGAUCCAUGUGAGACACAAAAAGCACAUCCACGUGGGGACACAAAAAGUUUUUUUCCAGUGGCUUUGUUUCAUCAAAUUAAGAUUUUCAAAGCACAUCUACAAUAAUUUGCUUCAGCUUAAAACUGACGUGUUCAUGUGAUUGCAAGAGAGAUCUAUCUGUGAUGAACUAAAACAACCACUGCAAGAUAGAUCUAUCUAUUUCAGUUUCAGUUCAGUAAAAUGGGGGCAAAAGCUUAAUUACCUCUUGAAAUCUGUAGGCUGGGCGGAGGAAAGAAGAUCAGCAGGAAAAGACAUUGCCGAUGGAGGAAGAACCACGGUGGAUCCUCGGUGGCUGACGGUACUACUUCUCCUCGCCGGUGGACGGUGCUUCUGCAUCUAUCCGGUGUUGGUUGACGGCGCUGCUUCUCCUCGGUGCCGCUGCUGCUCCUGUCGCGGCGGACGGCUUGCUGCUACUGGGAGGAUGGUGCACUGCGGGCUAGAGGGAGGUCGGGGUCGGGAUGAUGAGGCGCGAGGGGACGAGUGGAAGGGCGGCGGCGCGCAGGUCGGGGGCCGCGGCGCAGACGGGUGGGGCCUUUGGCGGCGACGGAAUCGGGUUAGGUUUAGGGUGUGGGUGGCAAGAGGAGAGAUGUGAGAUUGAUAUUUCUAUGUGAGGGGGCGAUAGAGAUGCGAGUGUUUUUUGCUAGUCCGCCCCGAAUGGGUGUUUCACAUAGCGCACACAUGGCCUUCUUUCACGGCCAAGUUUUUUGGAUGUGGGCCGAAGCAAACAACGCCGACAUUUUUUGUGUCCUCAUGAAACGGCGACACACAGACAAUCACUAAAAACUCCAUACGCCGACAUAAAUUACGUCGGUGAUUCCAUGGUGCUUUGGCGACAGAUAAUGUGUCAUAAGUUUAUCUAACACUGACAUGUUGUGUGUCGGUAUAGUUUCGGACAAAAAAAGUUUUGGCGAUGCUCACUUUUACCAACAGCCGCAUGUCGUCUUUGUAGUGUCAUGGUCUAGUGAACCCAUCACCGUCCAACAAGUCUACGAUGGAAUUACUCAUGCACGGCGGUGAGCAUCAUGAAAUUGAUGAUGAAGGAUGAUUGAUGAUGAUGAUGGCGACGGAUUCCCCUCUCCGGAGCCCCGAACGGACUCCAGAUCAGCCCUCCCGAGAAGUUGUAGGGCUUGGCAGCGGCUCCAUACCGUAAAACGCGAUGAAUCCUUCUCUCUUAUUUUUUUCUCCCCGAAACCAAAUAUAUAGAGUUGGAGUUGAGGUCGGAGGAGCUCCAGGGGGCCCAUGAGGUAGGGUGGCGCGCCCCCACCCUCGUGGACAGGUGGUGGGCCCCCUGACCUUCAUCUUUUGCAAGAAUUUUUAAUAUUUUUCGAAAAGUUGUUCCAUGAAGUUUCAGGUCAUUUCGAAAACUUUUGUUUCUGCACAUACAUCAUGGUAAUUCUGCUGAAAACAGCGUCAGUCCGGGUUAGUUCCAUUCAAAUCAUGCAAAUUAGAGUCCAAAACAAGGGCAAAAGUGUUUGGAAAAGUAGAUACGACGGAGACGUAUCAAUCCCGAUCAGCAUCGAACAAUGGUUGAAACCUAAGGACAAAGACUCUCAGGUGUCUUAUGUCAGCGAUAGACAGAAAGCUGAUCUUUGGACCGCGCUGCAGGAAAAUUUCACCUUCCCGCCAGAGGAGGAUCCGGAGAAUCCAGUUAAAAAGCCAAUGAUUAAGGCUUAUGCUCUUAAGAAGAUGGCUGAGCUAUUCAGGAGGUGGAAGAAUGAGCUGAAAUCAUCGUUUGUCGACCAAGACAAGACUCCAGAAUUCAUCGGCCAAUUUGAGAAGAUCAAAGAUCAGUGGCCCGCAUUUGUCACCAAAAAGAAAUCUGAGAGAGCAGCGAAGAUGUCAGCGACAAACAAGAAAAAUGCUGCAAAGAAGAAGCAACACCAUCGCACGGGGUCAGGUGGCUACCUGAAAGCCCAGCCGUUGUGGGACAAGGCUGAGAAUGACCUCAUUGCUAAAGGGAUCGAACCAGAGAUGCGACGCUGGCCAGACCGUUGCAGGACUUGGUUCUUCGGGGUUGGGGGGAAAUUGGACCCUGUAACAGGGAAGUGCGUUUGGACCAACGAGCAGCUGAAC